rnacentral:lncRNA from 1 species
UUGAGACCAAUUAUCAACAUAGAAACUAGAAUAGAGUAGCAACAAUGACAACCAAGAUAUUUUCCCUCCUUAAGCUCCUUGCUCUUUCUGCAAGCGCUACUACCACGCCAUUUUCCUGCAAUGCUCACAAGCUCCUAUAGCUUCCCUUCUUCCCCCGUACCUUUCAUCAGUGAUGGCUUCAGUAUGUGAAAACCCAAUUCUUCAUCUCUAUAGGAUCCAACAGGCAAUUGCAGCAGGCAUCUUAACUUUAUCACCCUUGUUCCUCCAAUAACCGUCAGCCCUAUUACAACAGUUAUCUUUGGUGCAUUUGUUGGCACAAAGCAUCAGGGCACAAAAACUGCAUCAACUUGCGCUGGAAAACCUUACUGCCAACUCUCAGUAACAAAAGUUUAUUCCAUUCAACCAACUGGCUACAUUGAACUCUGUUGCUUAUUUGCAACAAUAACAACUACCAUUCAGCCAACUAGUUGUUGUGAGCCUGUUGCCUUCUUACAUAGCAGCAGUUGUUGCCGUUCUACCCGCACGAUGUGGCUAACACAACCACCCUCUUACAACUGCAACAAUUGCCGCCAUUCAACCAACUUGCGUUGACAAACCCAACAGCGUUCUACCUACAACCCAUCAUUGAUGGUGCCCUCUGUUAGAUUGCUUAUGAGUUAUAGUUCAAUAAUGAAGUUUUUUGGUUGAUGUUUGUGGCUUCCCAGAAAUAAUAAAGUACAUUUCUAGAUUCUCAUGUGCUACUUGUCUCCAAAUGUGGUUGAUAAUUAUUUUGCUCUAAGAUCGAGAGUAAUGAUGUAUAAAUCAUCGUUGUCGUGUGAUACUCGGUCAAUUGAGCAUUAGCACACACAAACAUGACGAGAAUGGUAUAAUCUCCAAAAAUAUGUACUUUGUAGGUGGGACCCUAUAGCCAUGCAAAAUAUGCUAUGUUAGGCAUGCCGAUGGAAACAUGUGAUGCAUAUGUUUCGUGAACCUGUUGAUAUUAUAUGUGAUUUAUAUUACGAUAUUUUACUAAAAUACUAAUAUUUAUUACUAGUAAGUUAUAACAUUCUAUCAAUCUUAAAAACCUAACCAUAAAUAUUCCAUCGUAACUAGGUUUACCAAACUAUACAAAUACACAAUAAAUACAAAAUUAACAAUACAAUAACCAAUAUUUAUGAGCUUAAUAAAUUUAAUUUUAGGGUUGGUCGAUGAUAAUCAUAUUGACUUCCCCUGACUCCUUGAUUGUAAAUAUGCCUAGACCAUGCCUCUUUCUACUAUACGGCAAACAGGGACCACUCUAGGAGACUAGGACGUUGCUUGAGACGAAGACGCCAUCAUUGAUGUAGACUAUCGACCAUCUGACUGCAGUCGAUAAAAAUUAACUAUUUCUGUGAGGCGUUUGACCAAAAAUGACAAAACUUUACUAGGUUCUGUUGGUUGAGUGAGGGCCGACAAAAGUUGAUAAAUUUUCGUGGGAUUAUUUCAAGCCGACAUAAAUUAUUUUGGCUAAUGGAAGUUUCUUUUUUCCUUAGUUGUGUGGUGCUAUACAUAUGCAUGUCUGAUUCACGUGAUAAACUAGGCUAGAAAAACAAUUAUUUGACAUGGAUUGUUGUGGAGGACCAUACCAACUGUGACUGCCAUCUCAAUCCAGCUGACAUCUAAGUGACCUUUGAAUAAAUUAUUAAGCUGACAAAACUUUGACACCAAGAAGAAAGUUUAAGUAUGUAAAUAUUUAUGUUCAUCAAGCUGCUAUUCCCUAUCAUUGGCAUGAACAUUGUCAUCAUUUAGUUCCUAAGAAUAUAAUAAAAACAAGAAGAGCCACCUCACGAGAAUCCUUUAACAUAGACUAAAUAGUAGUUUUUGUGGAACACAACAGAACUGUACACCAUUUUCAGCGGCCAAGGUUAUUUUCGGCGGCCAGGACUUAGCCGCCGAAAAUAAACCUAUUUUCGGCGGCUUCUGACACAGCCGCUGAAUAUACAUUUAUUUUUGGCGGCUACUAACACAACCGCCGAAAUAAGGUUUUUAAAACCGUCGGGCUCCUUCUCUAUUCUCUCUGUUUCUUCUCUUCUUCUCCUCGCUCGGUCGCCGCCGUACGCCGCCACGCCGCCCGCCCGUCGCCGCCGUGCCCGCCACAGCUACAUCCACGCCCCCGCCGAGGCGCCGCGCCACCCCGUGCAGCCAUGCCCCCGGCGGCUCCGUCUCGUCGUCUGCCGUCACCCUCGGCUCCCAUCGACCAAGAAAACUUGAAUACUCCUUAGCCAAAAAAUGGAUGAAUUUCACCUUCCUUAUCUUAAGCUCCUUGAUUUUUCUACUAAGUGUCGCUAUUCUAACCAUUAUCCCUUGGGUAAACCAUAUUUGAUUAUCCAGCCAAAGGACCCAGAAGAUAAAAACAAUUUUUAAUUGCUAUUUCGAGACAAAUGAAUUAGCGUGAUUCGAAAAGGAUUACGACCUUCCCCCUUGACCUUUGUCAUACUUCUUUAGUCUAAUCGAUAGAAUCAAGAAUAGAAAUCACUGAAGAAGUUGAUAAGCGAAGCUUCGACGAUAAUAGGAACAUGGUGACAAUAGGACGAACGAUGAUGCCUUUGUCUAAGAAUGUUAUCUAGAAGAAAUCUCAAUCAAUUGUCGGUACAACGAAAAGAUAGAAACAUGCACCCUUGAGUAUGAAACAUUUAUAUGUAAGAGGAAGGAGGAAUGUAAUUGCUCAUGCCUAAUCAUAUUAUUGAGAGUUUUAAGGCGAGACUUAUGGCAAAGGGUUAUACACAAAAAUAGGGGAAAGGUCAUUUCAAUACUUAAUCAAUUUUUGCCCUUCUAAUGACCAUACAUGUGUUACUUUUUUUGGCUGCCUCACAUGGUCUUAUCGUUCACCAGAUGAAUGUUACGUCUGUUUUCCUAAAUGGAGAGCUUAAUGAACAGAUCUACAAUGACUAGCCUGGUGGAUUUACACCAAUUGGUAAAGAGGAAAAGGUGUUUAAAUUAAAACAAAUUUAUGGUUUAAAACAAGAACCAAAGCACAUGAGAAAUUUGAUAAAGUUUUGACUUUGGCUAAAUUUGUUGCAAAUGAAGCUGAUAAAUGUGUCCAUUACCGGUUUGACAGGGGUGAAGGUAUAACAUUUUUUAUGUGGAUGAUAUAUUAAUCUUUUGUAAUGGUGUUAAUAUGAUCGAGGAAGUAAAGUAAUUUUUGUCUAGUAACUUUGAAAUAAACAAUCUGGGAGAGAUUAAUGUUGUUCUUAACAUAAAGAUGUUCAGAGGAGGAGGAAAUAUGGGGUUAUUCUUGUGCAAUCCUAUUAGGUUGAAAGGUCGAUGAGUUGCUUUGGAUAUAGUGACUACACGUCUGGUCCAACUACUUAUGACCCAAGUGUGCUAUUAAGGAAAAUCAUAUAAUCGCAUAUGAUCAAUUGAGAUAUUGUCAAAGCAUGGUCUUCUCAUGGAUUUGGCUAGUUCAACGAGGCCUGAUAUCUCGUUUGCUAUGAGCAAACUCAGUUGCUUUGUCUCCAAUCUUAGGGAUGAUCAUGACAUGCCCUAGAGAGGGUAUUGCGCUAUCUAAAAGGGACUAUGAGUAAUGUCAUUUACUAUACCACACACCUAAGGGUACCAGAGUGUUAUAGUGAUGCAAACAAAAUAUGUGAUGGUGAUUAGAUUUAAGCCACAAGUAGAUAUGUGUGCUUACUUGAAGGUGUGGUUGUUUCAUCGAAGUCUUGUAAGCAGACCAUCUUAACAAGGUCAACAAUAAAAGUAGAACUCACAACAUUAGAUAUUGCCAAAGUUGAUGCCGAGUGGCUUCGUGAACUCCUUAUGGAUUUACUAGUAGUUGAAAAUCGAAUACUGGUUAUCUAUAUGAGCUAUAAUGAUUAAACAUUGGUAAUCAAAGUGAACAAUUCUUAGGUUAACAUGAAUACUACAAAGCAUGUCAAAAAACGGUUGAAACUGUUAAAACACCAAGAAAUUCUAGAUUAAUUGUGUUGGACUAUGUCCAUACUUCUAAGAAUUUGGUAUGCGAGUUUAUAGAAGAUUUGUCACAUAAUGUGAUAGAUGGUGCAUCGAGGAAGAUGGGCUUGAGACCCACUUAAUGCCAUUCCAUAGUAGUAGCAUUUUCUAUGUGAUUGGAGAUCUCAUAGAGUAGAAUGGUGAAACAAGCUAGAGAAUGACUGAUGGAGAGACUCCUUAAAUAAAAUCUAGGUAAUUUCAUAUGCACAUUUCUCCUUUGAUGUACGAUAGGCUAACUAAAAUAUUAAUAUGAUUUGAGUGACUUAUCUAAGUAGGGAUGUUAUCUUACAGAACAUCCUAGAAGGAACACACCUAUAUGAGUUUCACUGCUAGUCACGAUCUAUGAUAUGUGGGCAAUAUUUAUAUACUCAUGAAAGGCCUCGAAGUUUGACUUAUAUGAUUCAAGCCAAGGGGAUUCUUGUAAUAGUCUAGUACGAGAUAAGAACUUUGGAGAAACUCACUUCAUGCAAAAUUGUCAAUUCAAGGUAUAGUCCAUUGUUCAGAUAUGAAUAUGUAAUCCCUGUUCUAGAUGGAUGGUCAACUUAACAGCCUCCACCAAAACCCUUAUAUAUCAAAGAGUAGUGGAUUUGAAUUUGUCUAAUUUGAAUUUGUCUAAUAUGUAGUUUAUGGGCUUGGCUCAUUUAAAGUAUUUAAUAAUUCUGAAAGACAAGAUUAAACUAACUAUGUAUGAUCCUUUAGCAUCGUGCAGAUGGUCAAUGGGACAGUUACAUGGUUUAUAUAGAUGGACCUAUCUAUAUUCCUUCAGUAGUUGAGAAAAAGGUAAAGGUGUGUCACACUCACACAUGCGCUGCCUCCACCGAGACAAGGCAUGGCGUUGCAAGGUGAGGCAUGGCAUGGUGCAACACGAUCGCAGUCAUGGUCGUGGCGCGGUGUAGCAUUGUUGUGGAUAGAUCGAUAAACUAUUGUUGUAGUUAGAGUACAUGAGUUUUUGAAUGCAACACUAGAAUUUUCUCAAUUUAACUUAAUUAAGAAAUUAUAUCUUGAUGACAUAGAGUUACCUGACCAUUGAUCUCACAUGCCCUUUUAGCUCUCUCGUUCUCUAGUCUCGCCUGACUAUUUAGGUCUCCUGACUCGCCAAUAGAAAGACCAUCCUAUCAUUUGCUCUCGAAUACUUCUGUGUCAUAACUUGAAAGUCGCCUAGAGCGGGAGGUGAAUAGGCGAAACCUAAAAUUUAUAAACUUAAACACACACAAAGGUCGGGGGUUAGAGUUAGAAUUAAAUUCUAGUCCAGAAGAAUAUCUCUGUUGCUAGGAGUUGCUCAAGGAUUGCAGAUGAUGUAUGUGAGCCAACUCAAAUUCACACUAGCAAGGAAAUGUUAGAGAGAGGAAAACAAAUCAAACAAGAAUCAAGGCGAGUGAACACGAUGAUUUGUUUUACCGAGGUUCGGUUCCAAAGAACCUAGUCCCCGUUGAUGAGGUCACAAAGACCGGGUCUAUUUCAACCAUUUCCCUCUCUCAAACGGUCACUUAGACCGAGUGAGCGUUUUCCUUAAUCUCUCGGGUCACUUAGACCCCGUAAGGACCACCACACACUUAGUUGUCUCUUGCUUCAAUUACAAGUCACUUGAGAAAUAGACGGGAAAAGAAAAAGGCCAAACCAAGCAACAAGAGCAACAAAGAACACAAGAUAUCCUCUCACAAGCCCUAAUGCACUAGAGUUGAUUUUGGGGCUUUGAGUGGAUUGAUUGCUUUGAUUGUGUCUUGGAGUGUUGGACUUUGCUCUUGCAAUGAAUGAGAGUUCAGAAAUGCUUGGAUGGUUAUGAAUGAGGUGGUUGGGGGUAUUUAUAGCCCCCAACCACUUCCAUAGCCGUUGGUGAAGGCUGCUAGCGAUGGGCGCACCGGACAGUCCGGUGCAUCACCGGAGAGCCACUGUGUACUGUCCGGUGCGCGCCACAUCAGCGCAACCGUUAGGGUUCGGAGCUGGUCAACCGUUGGAGUCUUUGUCGUCUUGUUGCACCGGACAGUCCGGUGCCCUCUGACUUCUGACAUCCACUGUUCAUCGCGACAGAGUCGACCGCUGGCGCAUAGAGCCGUUGCUCCGCUGGUACACCGGACAGUCCGAUGAAUUAUAGCGAAGCGCGCCCUAGAAUUCCUGAGAGUGGCUGGUUCAUCUGCUGUACGACCUGGUGCACCGGACCCUGUCCGGUGCGCCAUUUUUUAGCACACUCAAGUCCUUUUGCUCCAAUUAAAUUGUGUCCCUAACUUAAUUUCUUUCUUGGUUUGUGUUGAACCUUAUGCACCUAUAAUACAUGAAUUCUUGACAAACUAGUCAGUCCAUGUGUUUGUGUUGGUCGUCAACCACCAAAAUUAAUUAUAGGAAAUGGUUAACCCUAUUUCCCUUUAAAUCUCCCCCUUUUUGGUGGUUGAUGCCAACACAAACCAAAGCAAAUAAUAAAUGUAGAAAUAUAACUAGUUUGGAAUUGAGAUGAAUGUGCAUAGGUUACUUGGAAUUAAACCAAUAAAAUAUUUUCAACAUAUGAAUAAGAGUGAAUGGAUUGGCUUUCUUUUAUUUAAUAUUUUGGACCACAUUUGCACCACAUGUUUUAUUUUUGCAAAUCUUUUGGAAAUCUAUUCAAAAACUUCUGCAAAUAGUCAAAGGUAUAGGAAUAUGAUUGCAAGAAGCAUUUUUUAGGAUUUUGAAAUUCCUCCCCCUGUUUCAAAUGCUUUUCCUUUGACUACAUAAAAGCUCCCCCUAAAUGAAAUUCUCCCCUUAGCUUUCAAGAGGGUUUUGAAGUAGAUACCAAUUGAAAAAAUUUCUCUCACAUAUGAGUUGAAAGUUAGAUACCAAUUGAAAAUAUAUUAAUUGAAAUUCUUCCAUACUUAAUGUGAAGUUUUGAAGAUACCAAUUGAGAAAUUUUCUUCACAUACCAAUUGAAAAUUCAUUUUGAUCAAAUACCAAUUGAAAUAUACACCAGUUGAAGUUUACCAAUUAAAGAAAAUUUCAUUUUGAAUUUUUUUGAAAUGGUGGUGCGGUCCUUUUGCUUUGGGCUUAAUAUUUUCUCCCCCUUUGGCAUUAAGCGCAAAAAAUGGAGAAUUCGAGAGCCCUUUUUCUCCCUUUAUGGGGUCUAAUACUUUCUCACAAAUGGUAAAAUGAAUAUGAGUGAAUGAUUAUACCAAUUGAGAGUGUGGAGGAACAACGACAAAGGGUAUACCGUCAGAGUUGGAGUGGAAGCCUUGUCUUUGCGGAAAACUCCAUUUCUUUUUCAAUCUACGACUUAGUAUAGAAAUACACUUGAAAACACAUUAGUCAUAGUCUUGGCACAAGAAGAGUAAGAAAUAUGUAUUUGCACCAAAUGAAAGAGAUAUGAUCAAAUGUAUAUAAAUUAGCUAUGUGUGCAAAGUUUCAAUCAAAGUUCCGUGAAUCAAGUAUAUUUAGCUCAUUCCUAAGUUUGCUAAAUGUUUUCUCAUCUAGUGGCUUGGUAAAGAUAUCGGCUAAUUGGUUGUGGGUGCUCACAUAAGCAAUUUCGAUAUCCCAUUUUGUUGGUGAUCUCUCAAAAAGUGAUACCGGAUGUCUAUGUGCUUAGUGCGGCUAUGUUCAACGGGAUUAUCCGCCAUGCGGAUUGCACUCUCAUUAUCACAUAGGAGAGGGACUUUGCUCAAUUUGUAUCCAUAGUCCCUAAGGGUUUGCGUCAUCCAAAGUAAUUGCGCACAACAAUGACUUGUGACAAUGUACUCGGCUUUGGCGGUGGAAAGAGCUACAGAGUUUUGUUUCUUUGAAGCCCAUGACACCAGGGAUCUUCCUAAAAACUGACAAGUCCCUGAUGUGCUUUUCCUAUCAAUUUUACAUCCGGCAUAAUCGGCGUCGGAAUACCCAAUUAAAUCAAAGGUAGAUCCCUUGGGGUACCAAAGCCCAAACUUAGGAGUGUAAACUAAAUAUCGCAUGAUUCUUUUCACGGCCCUAAUGUGAACUUCCUUAGGAUUUGCCUGGAACCUUGCACACAUGCAUAGAGAGAGCAAAAUAUCCGGUCGAGAUGCACAUAAAUAGAGUAAAGAUCCUAUGAUCGACCGAUAUACCUUUUGAUCUACGGAUUUACCUCCCGUGUCGAGGUCGAGAUGCCCAUUGGUUCCCAUGGGUGUCUUGACGGGUUUGCCAUUCUUCAUCCCAAACUUCUUAAGUAUAUCUUGUAUGUAUUUUGUUUGGCUGAUGAAGGUGCCCUCUUGGAGUUACUUGAUUUGAAAUCCAAGGAAGUACUUCGACUCCCCCAUCAUAGACAUCUUGAAUUUCUGUAUCAUGAUCCUACUAAACUCUUCACAAGUUGACUUGUUAGUAGACCCAAAUAUAAUAUCGUCAACAUAAAUUUGACAUAUAAACAAGUAUUUUGCAACAGUUUUAGUAAAGAGAGUAGGAUCGGCUUUACCGACUUUGAAUCCACUAGUGAUAAGAAAAUCUCUCAGACAUUCAUACCAUGCUCUUGGGGCUUGCUUGAGCCCAUAAAGCGCCUUUGAGAGUUUGUAAACAUGGUUAGGGUACUCACUAUCUUCAAAGCCGGGAGGUUGCUCAACAUAGACCUCUUCCUUGAUGGGUCCAUUGAGGAAGGCACUUUUCACGUCCAUUUGAUAAAGCUUGAAGCCAUGGUAAGUAGCAUAGGCAAGUAAUAUACGAUUUGUCUCAAGCCUAGCUACAGGUGCAUAAGUUUCAUCAAAGUCCAAACCUUCGACUUGUGAAUAACCUUUGGCCUCAAGUCGGGCUUUGUUCCUUGUCACCACACCAUGCUCAUCUUGCUUGUUGCGGAAUACCCAUUUGGUACCUACAACAUUUUGAUUAGGACGUGGAACUAAAUGCCAUACCUCAUUCCUCGUGAAGUUGUUGAGCUCCUCUUGCAUUGCCACCACCCAAUCCGGAUCUCUUAGUGCAUCCUCUAUCCUGUAUGGCUCAAUAGAGGACACAAAAGAGUAAUGUUCACAAAAAUGUGCAACUCGAGAUCUAGUGGUUACCCCCUUGUGAAUGUCACCAAGAAUGGAGUUGACGGGGUGAUCUCGUUGAAUUGCUUGGUGGACUCUUGGGUGUGGCGGUCUUUGAUCUCUUAUUUCUUGAUCAUCUUCCUUGUCUUGGUUAUCAUCAUCUCCCCCUUGAUCCAUGUCCUCCUCUUGAGGUGGCUCAUCCUCUUGAUCUUCAUCUUCAUUAUCUUGAGCCUGAUCCUCGUCUUGAGUUGGUGGAGAUGCUUGCAUGGAAGAUGACAAUUGAUCUUGUGCUUGUGAAGGCUCUUCGAAUUCCUUGGGACACAUAUCUCCAAUGGACAUGUUCCUUAGUGCGACGCACGGAGCUUCUUCAUCAUCUAGUUCAUCAAGAUCAACUUGCUUCACUUGGGAGCCAUUAGUCUCAUCAAACACAAUGUCACAAGAUACUUCAACUAAUCCAGUGGAUUUGUUGAAGACUCUAUAUGCCCUUGUGUUUGAGUCAUACCCUAGUAAAAAGCCUUCUACAACCUUAGGAGCAAAUUUAGAACUUCUACCUCUUUUAAUAAGAAUAAAGCAUUUACUCCCAAAGACUCUAAAAUAUGAAACAUUGAGAUUUUUACCAGUGAGGAGUUCAUAUGAUGUUUUCUUGGGGAUUCAGUGAAGGUAGAGCUGGUUGAUGGAGUAGCAAGCGGUGUUGAUUGCUUCUGCCCAAAACCGUUCCGGAGUCUUGUAUUCAUCAAGCAUGGUUCUUGCCAUGUCCAAUAGAGUUCUAUUCUUCCUCUCCACUACACCAUUUUGUUGAGGUGUGUAGGGAGAAGAGAACUCAUGCUUGAUGCCGUCCUCCUCAAGAAAUCCUUCAAUUUGAGAGUUCUUGAACUCCGUCCCAUUAUCGCUUCUUAUCUUUUUGAUCCUUAAUCCAAACUCAUUUUGAGCACGUCUCAAGAAUCUCUUUAAGGUCUCUUGGGUUUGAUAUUUUUCCUGCAAAAAGAAUACCCAAGUGAAGCGAGAAUAAUCAUCCACAAUAACAAGACAUUACUUACUUCCGCCGAUGCUUAUAUAAGCAAUCAGACCGAAUAGAUCCAUGUAGAGUAGCUCAAGUGGCAUGUCCGCUGUCAUGAUGUUUUUGUGUGGAUGAUGGACUCCAACUUGCUUCCUUGCUUGACAUGCGCUACAAAUCAUGUCUUUCUCAAAAUGAACAUUUGUUAGUCCUAAAAUGUGCUCUCCCUUUAGAAGCUUAUGAAGAUUCUUCAUUCCAACAUGGGCAAGUCGGCGAUGCCAGAGCCAGCCCAUAUUAGUCUUAGCAAUUAAGCAAAUGUCUAGUUCAGCUUGGUUAUCAUUAAAAUCAACUAAGUAUAGCUGACCAUCUAAUACUCCCUUAAAUGCUACUGAAUCAUCACUUCUUCUAAAGACAGUAACACCUACAUCAGUAAAUAAAUAAUUGUAGCCCAUUUUGCAUAAUUGGGAAAUAGAAAGCAAAUUGUAAUGUAAAGAAUCUACAAGAAAAACAUUGGAAAUAGAAUGGUAAGAAAAUAUAGCUAUUUUUCCCAACCUUUGACCAAACCUUGAUUUCCAUUCCCGAAUGUAAUAGCUCUUUGGGGAUCUUCAUUUUUCUCAUAGGAGGAGAACAUCAUUUUCUCCCCUGUCAUGUGGUUUGUGCACCCGCUAUCGAUUAUCCAACUUGAUCCACUGGAUGCAUAAACCUGCAAAACAAUUUAGGCCUUGUUCUUACGUACCCAAACAGUCUUGAGUCAUUUGACGUUAGAAACAAGCACCUUGGGCACCCAAACACAAGUCUUGGGACUCUUGUGUUUGCCCCCAACAUAUUUGGCAACUAUCUUGCCUGAUUUGUUAGUUAAAACAUAUGAAGCAUCAAAAGUCUUAAAUGAAACAUUAUGUGCAUUUGAUGCAGUAGGAAUUUUUUUUCUAGGCAUUUUGACAUGAGUGGUAUGCCUAGAGCUAGACGCCUCAUUUUUGUACAUAAAUGCAUGGUGAGAAACAGAAUGAGGUUUCCUAGCAUGAAUCUUCAUAAUCUUAUGUUCAAGAUAGUUUGCAGGAUAUACAAUGUAACCCUCACUAUCCUAAACCAUGGGAGCCUUACCCUUAACAAAAUUAGACAAUCUUUUAGGGGUAUUAAGCUUGGUGUUGUUUUGAUUUCCUUGUUGGAAACCAAUACCAUCCUUAAUGUCAGGGCGUCUCCCAUUAUAGAGCAUGCUUCUAGCAAAUUUAAAAUUUUCAUUCUCUAACUCAUGCUCGGCAAUUUUAGUAGUUAAUUUAGCUAUAUGAUCAUUUUGUUGUUUAAUCAUGGCAAGGUGAUCAUCCAUAGCUUCAAUAUUAACAUCUCUACAUCUAGUGCAAAUAGUAACAUGAUCAACAGUAGAUGUAGAUGGUUUGCAGGUAUUUAAUUAUUCUAUCUUAGCACUUAAUCUAAUAUUCUCAUCUCUAAGACAGGAAAAAGGAUCAUUGCAAACAUUCAAUUUUUCAAUCUUAGAAACUAAACUAGCAUUUUCAGUUCUAAGACUUGAAAUUGAAUCAUGAUAAAUGCUAAUAUCCUUAGAUAAGUUUUCACAUUUUCUAUUUCCUGAGCAUAAGCAUUUUUUAAUUUAACAAUUUUAUUGUUCUAUUUAACGAGGAAGUCCUCUUGGCUUUCCAAGAGGUCAUCCUUCUCGUUAAUGGUUUCAAUUAGUUCAUUUAUUUUUUUCUUUUGUUCCAUGUUAAGGUUGGCAAAAAGAGCAAGUAAAUCAUCUUCAUUAUCGCUAGAGCUACCCUCAUCACUAGAUGUUGUAUAUUUGGGGUGGCUCACUAUACGACGGUUGAUCUUUAGCGACUCUUAUUAGGGACUGACGGUUGGUCGCUAAAAGUUAUGGACCGACGGUUGGUCGCUAAAUGCGUUUAUAGCGACGGUCUGUGGGUCGCUAAAAGUCUAGAAAUUUAACGACAUAUGGUUGGUCGCUAUAGAGGUAAGUGUGUGACUGAUGGUGGGUCGCUAUAGGGGUACGUGAUUUUUGUGUUUCUUAUUUACUCACCAAAGCCCAUCUAAAGGCCUACUAAACAAACGAAACCCUAUUUCACGCACCAAACCACAAGCGCAGCCGCCGUCACUUCUGCCCCAUCACGGCCCCAUCCUGCCGCUCGUCGACGACGCCACCCCGCCCCUCGGCCGCGGUCGCCGUCAGGCAGCCAGCCACCGCGACAUUGGCCAUGAUUUUUUGUGCCUGUUCUUGCUUAACUUUAUAACUGAUAAAGUUUCCAAUCACAAGAUUUACUUAAUUUAUACUAUUAUUAUCUUCUGUUGCAGUAUUUCCUUAUUAUUAAAGCAGCAAGGUUUGCCGCUUCCUCGUGUGUCCACGUCGGCAAAUUUUUUUGCCGUCCGAUCGUUCAUCAAUGGUGACAAUCUCACCCCUGCACAGUGUGUGUGGAUGGUUCUAGUUUCUUCUCUCACCAGCUCAUGCGUCUCCAAAGUAAAAAGGAUAAGAGAGACUCUGGGUUGCCGAGGUCCGCUUUCGUAACUACAGGAGGUAGGCAAAGGAGACGGCGACGACGAAGAACAUGUACUUCCUCCAUUACGUCCUCUAUUCCUAUCAUUGCCUUUCGUUUCUUUUCUUUUCUACAAUCGGCGUUACCUGCUGCAGUCGACGGCUCGGUCCCCUUGGUAUCUAAUGCCUUUGCGCGGCACCUGAGUUCUACACUUGCGACGAACUUGAGCAUUGCAUUCGUCGUUGUUCUUGUGUCCAUUCUUGUCUCUGACUCGGGCCGCCGCGAGUUCCUCCAUUCCCACUGCCAUGGAAUACGCCAGUGCGCUGAAUGACGCCUGCGUCUUCACGGAUCUCCUCCUCCUUUUGGCUAACAUGGCUCCUCAAAGAUGACCGCGUACGUUUGUCGAGCGGCGCUGGCAAGGGCCACGUGAACUGCGUUGGUCGACGCUUCCACACGCGCCGCUAAGCCUGCCCUGCCGCCCCCUAUGCGAUGCUGCUCCUCCCCUUUCUUCUCCGCCUAGGCUGGCGCUUGGAGGAGGAUGCCACCAAGGUUACCAACUACUUAAUGUACGCGUGCAAGAUGCUCGAUGAUACACCCCAACGGAAAGCAGUGUCGUGGACGAUGGUAGUCGUGGGGAACAUUGUAGACUCCACGCCGGUUGAGGAGGAAAAACUCCAUUGGCUCUUUUGUCACCUUAAGGGAUUUGCCUAACGUUUCCUUUUUUUUCUUUUAAAUAUGAUUUCCCCCAUACGUAUGCAGAUGCAGUUGCCAUAUUUUAAUGCUCAAUGCUGCCUACUUUAAUUUUAUGCUUAAUUUUUUUUAAUGCUCAAUGCUGCCUACUUUCCUUCACUGAUUUGGCUGCUCUUUUAUUUAGCUUAUAGCAACGGAAAAAAGUUAGCACAUUCCAAAAACUUCAAAGACUGCUGUGUACGACAUCCUAUAUUACCGGUAUGAGUACUUUUGAGAGCUUAAAUGUUGUUAGUCUUCUGUUUGCUAUUACGUGCUUUUGCUUUCCUGAAAAACUUCACACAGUUUCAGCUACGAAUUGACCAAUGACGAAAACAAGAUAUAUGAAGUGGCACAAUACUCAGUUUUACUUCUAAAAAUUGAAGAGAUUUAAAGAAGGAUUAUUCCAACAAUAAAUAUCUAUACUUUUGUUAGCAUACAUUUUCUUUUCUCAUGGCAUAUAUUUUCUUAAGGGCUAGUUUGAAAAUUUUAAAUCCUCUCCGGGAUUCCCGGAUAUUGAGAAGAAAAUGAGCUAAUUUCCCACUCAAUCCCUGAGAAUACCGGAGGAGAUUUUUAAGUUUCCAAAUUAGCCCUAAGUGUAGUAACUGAUUUUCACUUAAUUUUGCAGACUGCUUCUGUUUGAAUUGAACGGCAUCUUCAGAAUCUCGGCGACGCUAAUUUCUAACUCAUAUGGGAGAGGUCUAUUUCUAGAAUUUUUGUUUUUCUUUAAUAGAUUUGCCACCUACAUUGGCAUUUUUUCCCACUGCAAUCGAUUAUAAACUACAGUUUUGCAACCUUUCAGUGACAUGAACAUCUAACCAUAUUCAAGUUUGCCCUCAUCUCAAUAUCCAGAUAUCUCCACCUCAUCGACUCAAUAGUUAACCAUAUUCAAGUUUGCCCCUUUGAAACCAUCUGCUUGGAUUUUAUCGAUUCCAUUACCUAAAAAUAUGGUACAAUUUCAGUACGCCAGUACAUAUUAUGCAAAUGAAACACAAUUAAAAUCAGCAUUGUGAACUUUAUUGUUUGCCCAUUUUUUUGAUAAAUUACCCAUUUUAUGAUUCUACUGGGCCCUUUUCGCCUUUGCCCUACAAUUAUUCCUCCUCUUCGCUCUUUUGUUUCAUUGUUUGUUCUGCUUUGCACUUCUAUUCAUUGCAUUCUUCGUCGGUGAUUGUGCUCGUCCAGUUCGUCGGCCAUGUGUUCUAUCAUUUUCGUCAGAAAUCCUUUCUUAAGCCCUCCACUUUUCUCCUUUUUUGUUACCUUCGCACUUCGUUUUUAUUGUUCAUGUUCUCUGUCGUCGAGAUCUACUGUCUCAGGUUUAUUCUGGCUUUCAUAGUAAAUAAAUUGCUCUUCUUCCCCUCAUUUCUUGCUGGACGCAUAUUAUGCUUUUCCACUUUGCGACAACACUGUUUCCCUUAUUUGUGUUCGAGUAAAGUUCAGACUUUAUCCUCAGAGGUAAUUGUUACUUGCCUUAGCUUGCACUCUAUACACAUAAAGCGCUACUGUGCUGUUGCAUCAACUGUUUCGUUCCAUAGUUUUUGUUUUAUCCCACUUGGUUUAUGUCUUAUGUGCGCAUCAAACACUUCAAGCUAACAAUUACGCUUUCUAGUUUUGUAGACAUUAAAACAAAUGUUUCACUCCAAUGUAGGCCAAACAUAUUUAAGCGGUAUCGCAACAUGUGCAUGGUACUUUAAUGCAGACAUUUCUAAGGCACAUAUGUAGUAUAACAUGUACGGGAAAAUAGAUAAACAAAACACUAUCCAUUCUUGUAAUUACAUUUCCCCUUAAACCUGUUCUCCUUACAUGUCAUGUUGACAAUCAUCUACAUUAUCUAGCUGUCUGGUAGUAGCAUUUUUGUAAAACUAACAUACAAAUCUAGCAUUAACUUUUGCCCCAAAUUUCUAAAAUCUAUUAUGAACUACAAACAAGUUCCAAGUAUUCCUUUUCACAUGAAUAUGAGCACACUUUUUAAGCCAUCCAAUAACAUUUAAUCAACAUGUAUCGUCUACAUUAUCUAGCUGUCUGGUAGAAGCAUUUUUGUAAAAUUAACAUACCAAUCUAGCAUUAACUUUUUUCCCCAAAUUUCUGAAACAUAUUAUGAACUACAAAUAAGUUCCAAGUAUUCCUUUGCACAUGAAUAUGAGCACCCUUUUUUAAGCCAUCCAAUAACAUUUAAGCAACAUGUAUGCUUAAAUUCCACAAUACUGACCAAUUACACAAAUGUUUGCUACUAUUUCAAUUUUUGUUGUCACAUCAUUUAAAGGUUACAAAAUAUUGAACUUUAGUUGCUACGACCUACAAUACUUGAAGAAGAGAUCCAGGUUUCCCAGACACCUACUUUCGAGGACAAAACCAUCAAUGAAUUGGUUGAAAUUGAUCCAGAUAUAUUCCAUGUAAUCACUUUAACUUCCUAUUUUGUUGAACUCAUUCAUUACAUCAACUACAACUCCAUCUUAUUUAUAGUAAACUUUUUUCGCGAAAUGCAGCCACAAGGUUAUAGAUGUACUAAUCGCUAUAUCACGCCUCACACAGGAAGGUAGAUGGUGGUUCCCAUCUUGCACUAAAUGCAACAAGUCUUCAAUUCAGACCUCUACUAAAUAUCGCUGCAUACGUGUGAUUGGACAGAAACUAAAUUUAGGUAACCUUUCACACAAACAAUUACUUUGUCGUUAUUCGUCUGAGAUAAAACACUUCCUCUUACUUAUCAAAUCACUGCCACACAACAUUAACAGUUCAUAAUUCAAAGAUACAAACUCGGCUUCAUUGCUACUGAUGGAACAUUCGAAGCAGAAUUCUUUUGUUUUGACAAUAUAGCUAAACAAAUAGUAGAAAAACCUUGUGAAACCCUUGUUAGUAUCCUUCUCUAGAUUUAGUUGCCAUUGUCUCUCUCAGAUUCACCUUUGCAGAUACCAUUAAUAUGUUCGCGUUCUCCGUCACAAAUCGAGUCUUUUUUGUUCUCUCCGUGUUAACAAAUCAUGGAAGGAAAAGGUCAGCACCAUGUACCAUACAAAACUAUCAACAACAAGAAUUAGUGACACAAGAUGACAUAUUAGCCUCACAACCACAUAAAACUCUCCAACAACAUCGUUUGCAAAGCUAUCCACUUUUGGUGACCAUAAAAAUGUGGUGAGAAUUUUUUAGUGCAAACUACAACUAUUUCACAUGAACUUAUAUAUGUGCAUAGACUAAUGAAAUCUAUUUGACAGGCAUGUCACAGCCUUGCAUAUUCUAAUGCACUACAUGAUAUAGAGGUAAGUUUUUCUACCAUCACGUUUAGGCUCCAUAUGUACCCAAAAAUGACAUAAUUGUCUACCUCAAUUAUUUUGUGAUGGGAGAGAGUAUAUCUAUUCAUAAUUUGAAGACAGUGAUUUUUUUCCAUACAUAUCUAUGCAGGCAUAAAAUUACACACAAAAGAAAAAGAAUACUAUCUAUGCAAGAUGGACUCGAAAAUCCUUUCAACAUGUGGAUCAAUCUAAUUAUUUUAGAUUUUUUCUAAAUUUGCCUUUCAAUGGCUGAAGUCCCAUUUUGAUGCAAAUGAAAAAGCGAACAUCCUGUAGACUGCUGUUGCUGUGCAUCUCAACUGUUUUGGUCUUCCAAUCUUUUUGGAAGUAUUAUUAUUUUUACUUUCACUUACUCUUAUAAUUGCAUCAUGUUACACGAUGUUGACGUCAAUAUGGAUAUACACCCAAACAAUCUAAAUUCAAGGUCUUGUCAAAGCAAACUAAGGUUCUUUUUUUAAUACAAAGUCGUAUGGAUUCUGUUAGAUCUUGUAUUUUUUCCUACUAAUGUCAAUAUCAACCCGCAAGCGUCUCUUAAGUCACUCUUUUUAGGAUCAUUAUUUCACAUACUUUAAACCACAUAUGAAAUUUUGUUAGGCACACUAUUUGACAAUUCUUAUCCACUUACAGAAUGUUGACUAGCUUUCAGAACACCUUAACAAAAAAGAUCUUUUCUAAAUUUGCCUUUCAAUGGCCAAAAUCCCAUUUUUAUGCAAAUGAGAAAUGAACAGCCUACAAACUAUUUUUGUUGUGCAUCUCCACUGUUUUGGGCUUCCAAUCUUUUCUUGAGUAUUUUUUUACUUUCAAUUACCCCCUCUUAUAGUUUCAUCAUUAAAAAGUAUUGUUUUUUACUUUCAAUUACUCCCUCUUAUAAUUUCAUCGUGUUACACAAUGUUGAUGUCGAUAUAGAUAUACACCCAGACCAUCUAAAUGCGAGUUCUUAUCAAAGCAAACUUAGGUUCCUUUUUUUGAUACAAAGUCGUCUGGUUUCUCUUAAACCUAUCUAGUAUUUUGUUUCCUACUAAUGUCAAUACCGACCUGCAAGCCUCUCCUACCUCACUCUUUUCGGGAUCACUAUUUCACAUACUUUAAACCACAUAUGAAAUUAUGUUAUACAUUAGGCACACUAUUUGACGAUUCUUAUCCACUUACUUACAGGAUGUUGACUAGCUUUCAGACCACCUUGACAAAAAAAUCUGGCAUCCCCACCUAAGAAGUAUGUUUAAAAAAAAGAGGAGAGCAAAUGCAACCCGAGCAACAAGUUGCUUCCUUUUUUACACUAUGUACCAUAGUCCUUUCUAAGUUCUAACAUUGCAGAACACAUACAUGAUCAAAACUAGCAGGCUUCAAAAACAUCAAAAAGAUUUUACAGGCCCUGAAAGCGAUGUCCGGUAGAUCAACGUCAUUCUCAUCAAGGCGCGACAUAAUUUUACACCUCUUCUCUACACACAACUUCUAAUCAAUAUAAUUUGUGCAUUGUUCUUCACUCUCCUUUAUAACCUUUGCGCAAAAAUAGAAUAGCUCACAAACUCUUCAACGACAACUGAUCUGUCCUUUUUUCUGUACAGAUAAUUGCUUUGCGUAUCUACAACGACCAUCACUACUUUUGAAGCGCAAACGCUUUUAUGUACAUAUAACCAAACCGAUGAAACUUCUCUAGCUUAGUAUUUGUUUAUGCGAUCCUCAGCUCUGCUUUCUGUACCUAUGACGAUCAUCGUCACUUUUGCAAAGCAAAUGCUUUUGUGUACAUAUUACCAAGUUGAUGAAACCUUGCCAGUUUAGCGUCUGUUUAUUAUGAUCUUUAGCUCUUGGAACACACUGCUGAAAUACAAUGUAAUAUGUAUAGUCCUCUCAGUCUACUCUAGACUUGCUGUAACCGCUAUAAUUAUUAUCUUAGUACAACAAUUUAUGUAAGCACUGGGACCAGUUUAAAUUUGCUCUUAAACUGAUGACAGCAUGUGCUAUAUAACAAGUUCUGAGUGUACAUUAUCCCAAUGAAAUUGUGUCAUUAUCCUAACAAAAUUGAUCAUAAAAAUAGUUCAUAUUGCUGCAGGUACGCGCGCAUGGGCGCGCACGAUACACUAGUUGAUUAUACUUAAAAAUGUACAUCCCAAAUGUCGCUUAGUCCAAACCGUGUAUAUUUCACCCAAACCAACUCGAGUUUGUAUGUGUAUUUGCCUACUCGAGUUUGUAUGUGUAUUUGCCUUCGUAUUUUCGAGAAUGAAAUAAAAUUAAGUGGGAAAAUCCCAUUUUUCUUUAUCCUCCACCGCCGUAUUUUCUUUUUGCUCCCCGAAGCUGCAACCAUCGUUUCCUCCUCUCCUGAAGCACGACAGCCAGUCCAGCCACCAUUUGGGUGCUCAUCUCCCUCUGCUCGGCACCUAGCCCCAGCUCGCCCGAGCUCCCUGCGCCGACCUCAUCUUCCCCAUGGCGCGUCACCUUCUAGUCCUCUCCUUCCCACGGCACAGCAGCGCCCCUGCAGCUCCCCUUCUCCAGAUCCAUGGCACCCAACACCUUGAGCGCCCCUGCCGCUGCUCCUCCACCGGGAUCUCCUCCUCCACUAGGCGUCCAGGCUUGUCCCACCGUGGCUGCCCCUCCUCCAUCUCCUCCCUCCCCACCAGGUUACCCAGAUUCCAUGGCCGCCGCCGCCCCAGCCAUCUCCCUGGUGGCCGACCUCGCCCCUGCCCCAGCCACAGCUCCCCCUUCGGCCCUGCUGCUGCAAGCACUCAGCCUCUCCCAUGGCACACGGUACUCGUCCAGCCCCUUUCUACUGGUGGCUGAGCCAUCUCUCUGGUGCUCGAUGAAAUGACCAUGAGGAGUUUUGUGUUGUGUGCAGCCCCAUCUGCAACACCGUCGACCCCCGACGAGGUCCUUUCUCGCCUUGUCGUUUUAGUACUCGGCGUCGAUUAAGUAGAUGCUAACCGUGUGUAUAUUCGUGUGUUCUUGUGAGGAGAAAUCCCAUGAUUUGGGGGAAGACGAAGUCCAAGCACAACCCCCGCCAAUCGCUCGAUGAAAAAUCUAAACCAAAACCCUCAGCGUUUUCAAGGGUUCCGGAGGGAUUUUAUGUUGGUAAGGUAAUUUGUGUCCUAAUUAGUUCACUCAGUUAUUGAGUUGAAGAGAUUGUUAGUUGUAUGUGUCGAUGAUGCUAUUUUGAUUAGCAGGUGUUGUGCGGUGUGAUCUCCAAUUCCCUAUUGCUGUUUUCUUACUCCAUCAUGACCUUAGGGAAGGAUGUUUUCCUCUAAAUUACUCGUAAUAAUUAUGCUUGGUGUAUGUGUUGUUUUAGCUACUUGAUGAAAUGUUUUAGUUGUGUGCGAUAAUAUGGUUGCCGUUCGAGUGGAAAGUAGAUGUGUUGUAUGACCUGAGUUGGAGUUGAGGCAAGUAUGUGUGUCUCGUAUUACGAAACUAAUUAGAGAUAUGCAUGAUGUUUGUAGAUGGAUUAUGUGUAGAGUGUUUUAGUACAAGUAUUUUUUUUAGGUAUAGUUGAACCAGUUAUUGUAUAUGAAUUGUGCGAUAUCAAGGUAGUUCUAAUGUUCUUUUAACAUCUUGCUAAUAAGGUGUUAGAGUAUUCUAAAUGCCAAACAUAGGAUAAUUUUACAAGCCAAAUAGAAGUUAAAUUGAAGGUAUUGCUGUUUAGGGCUGUAGGUAUAGUUUUAGUUAUGCAGCUAGUCCAAUAAAGUAGAUCAUGUUUUCUGUAGAAGCGUUAUAUAUAAAACUUGUAGAUAAUCUUUUUAUCUUACUUGUGUAAAAAUUUCAUGACCAUAGGUGUAGUAGUUUAGGAGUUAUGAUUUUUCCAAGUCCAGUCUCAGAAUCUGUCCAAAUUCUGUACAGGUUUCGAAAAUUGGAUUGCUUGGCUAAGCUAAACUGAGAAUCAGCCCUUAGUAAUUAUAGAAGAAUUUUAGUACUUUUCUUAAGCUUUCCAACAAAUUUUGGAGCACCCUUUUUGGUGGUCUAGAUAUCAAGUUACAGCUGUUUGAACUAUAGAGUCUGAAUUUGUCCAAAUUUGGACAGCGAAGUCUGUUUGUAGUAACUGACUUUGAUAUGUAUUGAAUUAACCUGAGAUGUUUAUAAAUGAAUUGUAGACAAUUCUAUUAACUUUCUAAAAAGUCUAGGAUCACCUGAUUUGGAUUUCGGAAACUCCAGUUCUGGACUUUUGAAGUAAGUAGUCGAAUUCUGUCCAAAUCUGGACAUAAUUUAUGUUUAGCGCUGUUUGACCUUUGUAAAGGUCGAAUUUUGUUGUGAUGGUAAUACAAAAGUUAUAGAGGACUUUAUAAGCUUUCCAAAAAGUUCUAGUUUACUAUUAUUGGAUACAUAUUUUAUGAAUUGUGAGCUAAACAGAUAGUUGCUGACUUGCUGUUCUGCUGUCCAAACACAUGUCUACUGUCUGAAAAUAGCUCAUUUUGUAGUUACAUUUGCAUUAGGCUUUGAUGAUUGCUGUACAAGGAUGAUAUGGCCUCCCGCCCAAAGCUGUCUGGUAUUCAGAAGCAGGUUUUGGCGCUGUAUAGGGGAUUCCUUCGGACAGCACGCCUUAAGGCCCCUGAAGAACGCCGCAGGAUCGAGUCUGUUAUCUUGGCAGAGUUCCGUGACAACGCAAGGAGUGUUGACCUUAGGAACUUUGUACACAUAGAGUACUUGUUGAGGAGAGGGAAGAAGCAUCUUGAGCAGCUCAAGAAUCCUGAUAUUACUGGACUCGCUACCCUUGUAGUAAAGAAAUGAGGUACGUAGUUUUCAAAAACACUUAUUUGACUGUGCAUGGUCUUCGAAACAAGUUUUAGUUUUUAAGUUUGACCAAAUCUUGUCAUAAACAUCAAGUUUUUUUUUUAAACAACGGAAGUCGAUUAGUAUUUAAAAUCAGCAAGUAUCAUCCAUUAGUAUUUUAGGUCUUUAGAUUUAAAAAUUGUGGACUUGUCAAAACUCUAUGUUAUUUGAUAAGGCUCUACUUGUUAAAUUAAGUGGUGUGGUGCUUGAUUUAGUCGAUGUGCUAUGCCCGAUAAUCUAGAUUAGUAACUCUAAAAUCUAGUUAAAGUAUUUCUAUUCGUCACUUUAAGUUAUAGGUAUCCAUGGUUGUUGUGUCUAAGUAUCCGAUUUCUGAGCUCUGCCCCUGCUGUUUAGGAUAGCAUAUGGAGUUCUUUAUGUUCCACAAGCACAAUUGAUCUUAUGGAAUGGAAAUAGUAGAACAUUACCUGGUGAGAGCACACAAAUACCUUAUACAAAGCAGGUAUUGAGUCAAAUUGUUGUGUACCCAUUUGUGGUCUGGAUACACUGGUUUGGUGAAAAUGAAAUAUGCCCAAAGCAACAAAACCCAGUUCACAUGAACUGCUAUCCUGUAUUUACGAAUCUUGACUAGUCUAGUAAUAUAUGUAUGUGGAAAUAUGAAGGUUUCUUUAUUUCUCUUCUUAAACAGCAAGAGAAGAAGGAAGACUAGUCAGACAAAAUAGAAGACGAGAAGAACUGAUGUAGCCAUGUUCAUGCUUCCAUGUAAUAGUUCAUUAUUCCAUACAUAUUUCUGUCUAUCCAGAAUCUACUAUUGAAAUACAUAUCUAGCAUAGCUUGCUCAGCUCCUAUAUGUUGUUUCAACGUUGAUUUAAAAGAAGAGCUGGUAGUUGUGGGCUUUUGAACAAUAGCUGGAGUGAUAUGAAAUAUUAGUGAUGUAGUUGUGGGCUUUUAAACUGCUUCAAGCUGGAGUGAUGUCGCUGUGGUGCUUUUGUGACUGAUCAUCUCUAGAGCUUUUGUGAAUGAUCUAGCUAGCUAUCUGUAAAUGAUCUAGUUGUGAAUGAUAUUAUAAUUGUGAUGCUUUUGUGAAUAUAUAAUUGUGGUGCUUUUGUGUUUAUGUGAUGGAUCUAUGACUGUGGUAUACUGAUUAACUGUGUAUGUCUUUAUGAUUUGUGUAUAAAAAUCUGUGAUUUGUGGUGCUUAAUUAAAUGUAUAUUUUUAUUAAUAACAACUGUAAAAGGGCGACUUUUUGUUGGUUGCUAAAUGUAUAGUAUGACGACUUACAGUUGGUUGCUAAAUCUAUACUACAGCAACCCACGGUUGGUCGCUAAAUAUACAAUAUUAGCAAUAGACGUCGGUCGCUAAAAAGAUGUCGGUCGCUAAAGCCUUUAGCGACGGCACUUACAGCGACCAUCCUUAUGGGUCGCUAAAAGUUUUUAGCGACCAACCGUAGGUCGCUGAAGGCCGUUUUAGCAACCAACCGUAGGUCGCUGUAAGUGAACCGUCGUGUAGUGGCUCUAGAGUGUACCUUUUUCUUCUUGCCGUCCUUAGCCAUGAGACACUUGUGGCCGAUGUUGGGGAAGAGGAGGCCCUUGUUGACGGCAAUGUUGGCGGCGUCCUCGUUGGAGGAGGAGUCGGUGGAGCUCUCGUCGGAGUCCUAUUCCCGACAUAUGUGUGCAUCGCUGCCCUUCUUCUUGUAGUAUCUCUUCUUCUCCUUCUUCUUCCCCUUCUUGUCUUCGUCCCUGUCACUUUCACUAGAAAUUGGACAUUUAGCUAUGAAAUGAUCGGACUUACCACAACGGUAACACACCCUCUUGCAGCGGGACUUGUAGUCUUUCCCCCCUCCUUUGUUUGAGGAUUUGACGGAAGCUCUUGAUGAUGAGUACCAUCUCCUCAUUGUCGAGCUUGGAGGCGCCGAUUGAAAGUCUACUUGGUGUAGACUCCUCCUUCUUUUCUUCUGUCGCUUUGAAUGCGACGGGUUGCACCUCGGGUGUAGAGGUGGCACCUUGCUCCAAGUUGACAAUGUGUUUGGAGUCUUUGAUCAUUAGUUCAAAACUCACAAACUUGCCAAUAACCUCCUCGGGAGACAUUAGUUUAUAUCUAGGAUCCCCACGUAUUAAUUGAACUUGAGUAGGAUUGUGAAAUACGAGGGAUAUAAGAAUAACCUUGACCAUCUCAUGGUCAUCACAUUUGGUGCUCCCGAGGUUGCACACUUGGUUCACCAUGGUCUUGAGCCGAUUGUACAUCGCUUGCGGCUCUUCUCCUUUGUUGAGGACGAAUCGACCGAGUUCUCCUUCGAUCAUCUCGCGCUUGGUGAUCUUGGUCACCUCGCCCCCUUCAUGCGCGGUUUUGAGGAUGUCCCAAAUUUCUUUGGCACUCUUUAACCCUUGCACCUUAUUAUACUCCUCUCGACACAAGGAGGCGAUGAGUAUAGACGUGGCUUGGGAGUUAAAGUGCCUAAUUUGGGCGGCCUCGUCCGAGUCGUAGUACUUGUCCCCCACCUUUGGUACAUGCGCUCCAAACUCAACAAUAUCCCAAAUGCUUUCAUGGAGUGAGGUUAGAUGGUGCCUCACUUUAUUACUCCACAUACAAUAAUCUUCACCAUCAAAAUAUGAUGGUUUGCCUAGGGGUACAUAAAGUAAUGGAGCACGCUUUGAAAUACGAGGAUAACAUAGGGGCAUCUUUCUAUACUUCUUGCGCUCAUGGUGCUUAGAAGUAAUGGACAAUUCGGAGCUUGAUGUGGAGGGUGACGAAGAGUCGGUCUCGUAGUAGACCACCUUCUUCAUCAUCUUCUUCUUGUCACCUCUCCGAUGCGACUUGAUGGAGGAAGAGGAUUCCUCCUUGUGUUUGUUGCCGGACUCCCUUGAGAGAGUCCUCCCCAAGCUUGCGGCCUUUUUCGCUGGUCAUGAUCUCCCUCUUGGCGUGAUCUUCAGACAUCACUUCGAGUUGGUUAGACUCUUAAUGAAGCACUGGCUCCGAUACCAAUUGAAAAGUCGCCUAGAGGGGGGUUGAAUAGGCGAAACCUGAAAUUUAUAAACUUAAACACACACUAAGGUCGGGGGUUAGCGUUAGAAUUAAAUUCAAGUCCAAAAGAAUAUCUCUCUUGCUAGGAGUUGCUCAAGGAUUGCGGAUGACGUAUGGGAGCCAACUCAAAUUCACACUAGCAAGGAAAUGUUAGAGAGACGAAAACAAAUCAAACAAGAAUCAAGGCGAGUGAACACGAUGAUUUGUUUUACCGAGGUUCGGUUCCAAAGAACCUAGUCCCCAUUGAGGAGGUCACAAAGACCGGGUCUAUUUCAACCCUUUCCCUCUCUCAAACGGUCACUUAGACCGAGUGAGCCUUUUCCUUAAUCUCUCAGGUCACUUAAACCCCGCAAGGACCACCACACACUUUGGUGUCUCUUGCUUCGAUUACAAGUCACUUAAGAAAUAGACGGGAAAAGAAAAAUGCCAAACCAAGCAACAAGAGCAACAAAGAACACAUGAUAUCCUCUCACAAGCCCUAAUGCACUAGAAUUGAUUUUGGGGCUUUGAGUGGAUUGAUUGCUUUGAUUGUGUCUUGGAGUGUUGGGCUUUGCUCUUGCAAUGAAUGAGAGUUCAGAAAUGCUUGGAUGGUUAUGAAUGAGGUGGUUGGGGGGGGUAUUUAUAGCCCCCAACCACUUCCAUAGCUGUUGGUGAAGGCUGCUGGCGAUGGGCGCACCGGACAGUCCGGUGCGCCACCGGACAACCAUUGUGCAUUAUCCGGUGCGUGCCACGUCAGUGCAACCGUUAGGGUUCGAAGCUGGUCGACCGUUGGAGUCUUUGUUGUCUUGCUGCACCGGACAGUCCAGUGCCACAUCGGACAGUCUGGUGCUCUCUGACUUCUGCGCUCUGACUUCUGACAUCCACUGUUCAUCGCGACAGAGUCGACCGUUGGCGCAGAGAGUCAUUGCUCCGCUGGUACACCGGACAGUCCGGUGAAUUAUAGCGGAGCGCGCCCUGGAAUUCCUGAGAGUGGCUGGUUCAUCUGCUGUAUGGCCUGGUGCACCGGACACUGUCCGGUGCGCCAUUUUUCAGCACACUCAAGUCCUUUUGCUCCAAUAAAUUGUGUCCCUAACUUAAUUUCUUUCUUGGUUUGUGUUGAACCUUAUGCACCUGUAAUACAUGAAUUCUUGACAAACUAGUUAGUCCAUGUGUUUGUGUUGUUCGUCAACCACCAAAAUUAAUUAUAGGAAAUGGUUAACCCUAUUUCCCUUUCACAACUCAACUGUCAGAUGAGUACUCCAUUACAGCACUUACGUACACGAGUUCUAUGAGAGCAGACCUCCAAAAUGAAUAUCUGCUAAGUGUUUAUCUACUUAGAUGAAGGACGACAAUCACUUUCUUGGGAAAUAUUAGCGACACAACUCCUUACAUCCUCCGCUUCUUCCUAGUGUUUUUUGUUGUGAUUGAGUCGACACAGCAACAACACUGCACUAUUACAACCAGUACGACUAUAUCAACUAGCAAUGUCUUCCUUAUAUGUUACUAUUUAUUUUGCUAAUAUUCAUUAUGUUUAAAUCACAUGUGCACCUUUCUAUUGACAUCAAAAAAUUAGUGGGGAUCGAGUGAUUCUUUAAACCGAUUAUUACACAAGUUAACCACACUAAAAUUAACAUUGGUGAAUCGUGCCAUGAUUUUUUUCUAGUGCAAAAUAGCCAAACCAAGCAAAACAUAUGUGGCUAUCGUUACACAUGUGUAAAGGUAUUGCAUCACACCAUUGUCACCCAUGUAUUUGGACAAUACCGAGAGGAAAAACCACUUAUUUAUUGUAUUUUAUCAAGUUUAUCUUGCUUACGUAUAAAUUAUAACCCAACAAAGUAAUCACUAAAUGUCAAAACCAACUAGAUACCAUGUCAUCUCUACCUUAUCUUACUAAUAUUCUUUUUGCAAAAUCGAAAAUUAAUCUUGCACAAGCACAAGGACUGAGAUGUGUAUAAAUAUCUCUUAGAUUAGUAGAUAAUAUAUCGCACAUAUUAUUGAGACCAACUAGCAACAUAGAAAGCACAAUAUUGUACCAAUAAUGGCAGCCAAAAUAUUUUGCCUCAUUAUGCUCCUUGGUCUUUCUGCAAGUGCUGCUACGGCGAGCAUUUUCCCGCAAUGCUCACAAGCUCCUAUAGCUUCCCUUCUUCCCCCAUACCUCUCACCAGCGAUGUCUUCAGUAUGUGAAAAUCCAAUUCUUCUACCCUACAGGAUCCAACAGGCAAUCGCAGCAGGCAUCUUACCUUUAUCACCCUUGUUCCUCCAACAAUCAUCAGCCCUAUUACAGCAGUUACCUUUGGUGCAUUUAUUGGCACAAAACAUCAGGGCACAACAACUACAACAACUCGUGCUAGCAAACCUUGCUGCCUACUCUCAGCAACAGCAGUUACCUUUGGUGCAUUUGUUGGCACAAAACAUCAGGGCACAACAACUACAACAACUCGUGCUAGCAAACCUUGCUGCCUACUCUCAGCAACAACAGUUUCUGCCAUUCAACCAACUAGCUGCAUUGAACUCUGCUGCUUAUUUGCAGCAACAACAACUACUACCAUUCAGCCAGCUAGCUGCUGCCUACCCCCGGCAAUUUCUUCCAUUCAACCAACUGGCAGCAUUGAACUCUCAUGCUUAUGUACAACAACAACAACUACUACCAUUCAGCCAGCUAGCUGCUGUGAGCCCUGCUGCCUUCUUGACACAGCAACAUUUGUUGCCGUUCUACCUGCACACUGCGCCUAACGUUGGCACCCUCUUACAACUGCAACAAUUGCUGCCAUUCGACCAACUUGCUUUGACAAACCCAGCAGUGUUCUACCAACAACCCAUCAUUGGUGGUGCCCUCUUUUAGAUUGCUUAUGAGUUAUAGUUCAAUAAUAAAGUUUUUUUUGCUGAUAUUUGUGGCUUCCCAGAAAUAAGAAAGUACAUUUCUAGAUUCUUAUGUGCUUCUAGUCUCCAAAUGUGGUUGAUAGUUAUUUUGCUCUAAGAUCGGCAGUAAUGAGGUAUAAAUACUUGUUGUCGUGUGCUACUCGGUUAAUUGAGCAUUAACACACAUAAACAUUACAAGGAUGGUAUAAUCUCCUAAAAUGUGUACAUUGUUAGGUGUAACCCUAUAGCCAUGCAGAAUGUGCUAUGUUAGGCAUGCCGAUGGAAACGUGUGACACAUACGUUUUGUUAACCUAUUGAUAUUAUAUGUGCCUUUUAUAUUACCAUAUUUUAUUAAAAUACUAAUAUUUAUUACUAGUAAGAUAUAACAUUCUAUCUAGCUUAAAAACUAACCAUAAAUAUUCCAUCAUAACUAGAUUUACCAAACUAAUAUACUAAAUAUACAUAAUAAAUACAAAAUUAACAAUACAAUAUCAAUAUUUAUGAGCUUAAUAAAUUUAAACAUUAUGGUUGGCCGACGAUAAUCAUACUGACUUUCCGUAAUUGCUUGAUUGUAAAUAUACUUAGACUAAUGCCUCUUUGUUCUACAUGGCAAAUAGGGACCACUCUAGGAGACUAGGAUGUUGCUUGAGACGAAGAUGUUAUCAUUGGUGUAGACUAAUUUCUAUCAGCCGCUGACUUCACUAUUGUAACCAUUAUCUCUUGGGUAAAUCAUAUACGAUUAUCUAGCCAAAGGCCCAGAUGAUAAAAACAAUUUUUAAUUGCUAUUUCAGGACAAAUGAAUUAGCAUGGUUCGAAGGAUUGCGACCUUCCCCCCAUGACUUUUAUCGUAUUGUGUUAGUCUAAUCGACAAAACCAAGAUUAGAUAUCAUCGAAGAAGUUGAUAAGCGAAUCUGUGACCACUAUCAGAAUCAGCUGCUUUGCCGAGUGUCUAAAACACUCGACAAAGCCUGAAAAACACUCGGCAAAGGAUUUGCCGAGUGUAACACUCAGCAAAGAAAGCUCGGCGAAGUAUACAUCGGCAACGACUUCUUUGCCGAGUACUUUUUAUCGGGCACUUGGCAAAGAAGCGUCAUUGUCACGACGAUAGGUAAUGCCGACGGAGUCUGUGACGAGUGUCACAGAGUGACGCUCAGCAAAGGCUCACUCUUUGCUGAGUGACCACUGUACAGACACUCGGCAAAGAAGCCCCCGUGGGUCCCUUUAUCAGGGCCUUUGCCGAGCGUAUUAGGUGGCACUCGGCAAAGGCUCCAUCUUUGGUGACUGCCCGCCAGACUAGCAAUCGACAAAGGGAUCAACAGCGGAUCCCUUUGUCAGUUCUUUUGUCGAGUGCUCUAGGAGGCACUCAAUAAAGCUUGUGUUGGGGGCCUUCUUCUUCCGAAGGUCCUCAAAAACGUGACUAACCAUAGGUUUUCAGUAUGACAUAGACUAUUAUAGGAAGCUUUGGCUUUGGGAUGAAGGCGUGUGAUAUGAGGAUACAGCCCAAAGGCAACAUGGAUGGACGUCGAAGCUAUGGCUAAAGGAGUUUCGGCUUGGCAUGUUAGCGAAGAUGAAGGACGAAACCGACCUAAGGGAGAAAAGACUAGUUAGUCCUUGAUAGUUUGCAUUAUGAUUAAGAGCAGAUAUCAGGGGCAUGCAUGUAAUCUUAUCCGGGCUGCGUCCCGUGCCUAUGAAUAGAUGAAUAGUAACACCGUACUGUUCACGCUGGAUUAUAAUCGCUCCUACGUCACUCUCGCGUCUUCACCUUUUGGUAAGCUGAAGGUAUCAAUGUAAUACAAAUAUUGAUGAUGUUUAUUCAUGUUUAUGAAAUGAGAAUAUAAAUAGCUUGCUGAUUCGUAAUCAUUAUUUAUAUUCUUUUGUAUUUCAUGUACCCUUAUUUAGAUGUGUUCACUGAGAUGAUGAAGGUAUGCCCUUCAUGACCUUCGUUCGGAAACCAUUAUAUCCAAAAGGAGAUAAUGCUUCGAAGGACGAAGGUCUCUAAUUAUUGACAAUCAUGUUGUCUUGUUCUUGAUGUAUAGCAUUUGGGAACAAGGACCAACAUUGGCGCCCACCUCCCGUGAACUCAAUCGACCACCUUCGGCAAGCAUCGACUUUCGUAAUGCCGCCGAAGAAGACAAUAGUGCCAGGGGCUGCCCUGCAGCCACUGGACACUAAUCAGGAAACGCUGCGAGAAGCUAGGAUCUAGAAGAGGAAGGCUACUAGCCCAACACCUCAGGAGGAGGAGCUAGAUCAGGAGAUCAGAGAUUUGGAGGCUAUCACCAGCAGGUACAAAGAAAAAGGGAAAAGAUGCUUCAGCUCGUCGAACUUCAGAGAAAGAUCGACAAAGCUGCUGAAGAAAUGCGUCACCUUACCCAGGAUGACCAAGACCGAAGGCCCCAACAUAGGGAGCUUCAUCAAGAAAGCCCAAUUAAUGACGAUGAGUGGUAUGGUGACUUUCAUCGUGGCAAUUUUGCUUUUGAUGAUGCUUCUCCCUUGGCAGCAGAAUUGCAGGCUACCCCGUGGCCGCCAUCAUACAAGCCACCUCAGCUCCCCAUGUAUGACGAGCACUCAGACCCGAAGCAACCAUAUCCUCAUAUGGGGGCAAUACUGCGGUCAUGGCAAAGUCCUUCGUCAUGGCAGUUAGAAGCGUGGCUCAAACAUGGUGCUCUUCUCUUCGGCCAGGGACAAUUACGUCGUGGCAAAAGCUAAAAUACAUACUGGUCACUAGCUUCUAGGGUUUCCAAUCGAAACCAGUUACUGUCCAAACUCUGUUCCAGUGCACACAGGACCAAGAAGAAUACCUCCAAGCGUAUGUCCGAAGGUUCCUGCGAUUGAGAGUUCAGGCGCCUACAGUGCCCAAUGAGAUUGUCAUUGAGGCCAUGAUCAAGGGGUUCAGACCAGGACCAACGGCGCAAUACUUUGCAAGGAAGCCACCACAAACCCUAGAGAAGCCGACGAUGAUUUUCGGCAAAGAAGGCAAGAAGCCUACAGAUACUCUGAGAUGGCCAGGGGCUUCGGAGGAAGAUUUCACCCUAGGCAUGUCAGGUCAAUCCAUAAUACCAGCUCAAGUGACGACAAGGGAAACCAUACCCAAAGGCAGCAACACAGCUCUCAGUCGUCAGGAGCACAACAAAGCUCUUUGAGGCCACCGGCUCCAAGAGGUAGAGGGGGGAGAAGCUUCGGAGGAAGAUAUGGAGAUCAGCCCAGUAAACAGUUUUGUUUGUUCUGCGGUGAAGAUAAGGGGCAUACCACAAGAACGUGCCAAGUUAUGAUUCAGAAGCAGAAAGAAAUUGCUGAAGCUGAAGCACGUUCGAAUCAGCCGAAGCAGGUUCUGCAUACUGCUUCGUGCUACUCUCCCUACGUCCCGGAGUAUGUAGACAAUCAACAGCCUACGACCUUGGUCGCUUCGGCAAGCCAUUCUCAAGCUUCCUGGGCCCAGUUGCCACCACCACCACCGCUAGCACAUGCUCUGGUCCGCAAUCAAUAGCCAGAAGGGCACCACCAUGCUUAGUAAUAGCGCGACCUUCGGGAGGAGUCCGAAGCUCGCACAGUCAACAACAUUGUGCCUAAGUCGAAGCACAUCUAUUAAAGGUGCCACGGUGAUUCAAUUAAAGAAUAUCUUACCCUAAUGUAUCUUAGUUUUUCCGCCAUUUUAUUUUCUUGCAUGAAAAACAAUUCACGAAGGAUUAAUUUCCAAUUUGAUGUAAUAAUACCGUGGUCGCACCAUCGAGUGUGGAGCGCAUCGCCUUAACAAUACUUCCGAAGCUACAAAGACGUUCCUAAGGGAGCGCGGAGUAAGUUCUGAAGCUACAAAGUUGUUCAUAAGGGAGCGCAGAGUAAGUUCCGAAGCUCAAAAGUCGUUCUUAAGUGAAUGCAGAGCCAAGAUGCCACCAAAAUAAAAGGUGAAGAAGCUCAAAAGUCAUUCCUAAGGGGAUGCAGAGCUUAAAUGCCACCGAAAUAGAAGGUGAAGAAGUUCCAAAGUCGUUCCUAAGGGGAUGCAGAGCUUAGCUCCAAAGAUGUUCCUAAGGGGAUGCAGAGCUGAAAUAUAACCUAAGUAAAAAGUGAAGAGACUCAAAAGUCGUUCCUAAGGGGAUGCAGAGUCUGGAUGCAUUUUCGAGUGGGUGUGUUUCUUCGGCAUAAACAUCAUGCUGUAUCAUAUCAUCACAUCAUUUCUCAUAGCAUUACAUCAUACAUCACAUCACAUCAGCAACAGAACUGUGGAGAAGCAAAGAUGCUUCUUUCAAAAUAUUUGAUGAAUGGAACAAUGGGCUGAAGCAGAAAGUGUACCUUCAACAGCUAUAAUUUUACAUACCAAGAAAAAUCUUCGUCGACAAACAAUAUUAUAUAACAGCUACGACAUAAGAAGGGGUGAUUUUUUAUUUGUGAAGCAUGAAAAGAAGGGAAGGUGUUUUUUCACCAAAGGCUAAAAAACAGGUAAGUACAUACAUUUCAUGCAUCACAAAGAAAUAUAUUACAUUAAUAUACAAACAAAUGUUCGAUGUUCGACUCAUACACGAAUAUUACAUUUCUUAGUACACAAGAAUUUAGUCUUCUUUCAAUAUUUUCUCGGUAGCUUCAUGUAGGAGUUUGUUGACAGCUUCAUCAACGGCUUCUUCGGCAAUCCUUAUCGUUUCUAAUGCCCCCCUCAUGGCCGGAUCGGCCUCGGGAUCAUAUGGCUCAGGCGGUGGUGAAAAAUCAGCUGUAAUAAAGAACAAGUUGUUAAUAUCAAAGCCAGAAACAAAUACUGAAGCUAAAAUUCAGUAAUAAUACCUAUACGCCUUGCGCGCUCAGCAACCUCUUGGCUCGCUUAGCUUAUUCUCGAGCAUCAUGGGAUUCUUUUUCAUUUGUCUUUAUAGCUUCAUCGGCUAUCUCACGGCCACCUUUCAUCCAAACAUUGGAAUAAAACUUCUCGCCCAUCAAAGUAGCUUCGGCCGAAGGCUCCUUCAUGUCGUCUAUGGAGAAGACGGCUUCCGCCUGGGCUGCAGUUUUAACAUGUUCACAGCCAGUUUUCUCCAAAACUGCUGCAACCCCUCGGGCACCGGCGAAGGCACAAAAAUCCUCGCGUUCGCUAAGUAUUUCCUCAAAAGCUUCAACUUCUUCGCAAAUCCAUUGAACGACUCCUUUUGGAUCGCCUCGAAUAAAUUUUUGCUCCGAUGAGUAUGCACCCACCUUUGCAAAACUGUCUUUCAGUUUCUUUGCAUAGUCCAUGGAUACUUCGUAGCAUUUCUCUCUGGAACCCCGAAGUUCUUCAACAUUCUUCUCAAGCCUGGAGCUUGUCCAUUCACUUAUAUCUUACUUUGCCUUAGCAAGUUCAAUAUUUUCGCUCAUUUCGGCAAGUUUUUUGUGAAGGUCUUCGACUUCGGCUUGGUGAGCUUCGGAUUGUGCAUUAAGUUUUGCUUCGUUGCUCUUCAGUUUAUCCACCAAGGAAAGCAGUAUUUUAUCUUUUUCAAGCGCCUCGUUCCUUAAUGUAAUAACUUAUGACCGAAGGUUCCCAAGGGCUAUUUGGCAGCUUUCAUCUUCUGCAUUCUUUUGUGCCCUUAAAGCCUUGCUUAGGAUUAAUGCCUACAAAAAAUGAAGGAUCAGCACACAACAAUAAGAAAAGAUACAAAAAGUAAUCUGCUUAUAAGCUAAAAUGUCCUCACCAUCAGACUGUUAUAAGCAAGGAUGUCUGCAAGGUCAUCUUUCGACAUUGCAGACAACCCAAGCUCUAGCUUCGGGAAACCUAUAUUUUUUGCCAUCUCCCGACAAACAAAUAUUUUCUUGUUGUCUGGAAGGCAAUACAAAAAAUCAUCUUCGUCAGUGCCAUUAAACAUGAGGGAUCCUGGGGGAUACUUCAGAUCCUUAGCAAAUUGCCUAGCUUCGGCAACCUGCUCCUCUGAUAGUUUUUCCCUACCGCGUGACACACUAUAAAUUCCGAUCCCUCAGUAGAAGCUUCAACGGCAAGGAAUUCAGAUUCUUUGCUGGUUCUCUCUUUUCCUAACGGUAACGGAGCUUUUUCAGCAUCCAAAGGUCCUUUUUCAGCAUCCUUUUCAAUAAGCUCUGCAGGCCCUAUUUCUGCGGGAACUGAGGGCCCAGCUUCAGCUUCAACCCAAGUUAUGAUAGCUUCGGCAGUUUCCUUUGUACUUUUCUUACCCAUGCUAGGUACUUCUGUAGAGGCAGGAGUUAGUACUUUUGUCGAUUCCAUGACAGCAUCCAGUACACUAGCCAUUCUCCUCCUUUUUGGAGUUAUCAAAGUAGUUUUUUGAAUCUUCGGCAAUUCUGCCUCUGGCCGUGAAAAAGUUUUUGGCUGCUCCGCUGCUAUCUUCAGAAUUGGCUCUUCGGCUGAUCCCAAUAUGGCUUCGGCAGUAGCGAGAUGAUUUUGCUCAGCUGCAGAAGAAGACCCUUCAACAGGCUUUGACACUUUGGCCGUCUCAGAGUGCCUGGGCCGGUGUGUCAAGACUUUGCCAUUUUUCCCUUCGGCGUGGCAGAGAUUGCCGAAGCAGUAGCCUUCCUUUUCUUUCCCUGCUUUCGCGAGGGAUAACAAUAGUCUGGGUACACAAAACCAAUUACAUCAAAAACCCUAUUUAAUCUCUUCUUGCCUCGUCCUCCGAAGGCCAAUGUCAUGGCAUCGUCUUCGGCCCUUGUGUAGGCCCCAAGCAAUUCGUCACUAGUAGCCUCAAUGCAAUCCAACCAGUCAUCGUUCGGCUCAUCGAACUGAUCUCUGUAUCUGAAGGUGUAUUUCAGAUAAACUAAACUAACUUGACUGGACCCGGCCGCAGCUUCCUUCGACAUCUCCCAGCCACUUCCAAGAGGCCACACUCUGUAAGCAAUAUGCUCCUAGACUAAGUCCCUAGUGCCAAUAUAAGUACAUAAAGUGUUAAAGUCCGUAUGGCAUGCUUGAAUAUCAUGUCCAUGGACAGUGGUUGGCCUCCUAAUGCCGAAGCGAGACCAGAUAGGGCAUUGAAUGAUCCCCUUUAUAUCUUCUCUUUCAACUAAGUUGUUCUUCACAUAAAACCACUCUUGCAUCCAGGCUCCUGGCCACCUCUUCCAAAAUGUUGGGACGGGAUAGCUCACACCAGAGCGAGGCAUGAAGCCGUAACAACGAAAAUUAUUAUGAUAUUGUUCUAUGCCAGUAGCCUUUGUCUCAUAGGACAGGUCAUGCAUGUUGCAGAAGCAUUUUGCAUUCGGCUCUAAACCCUGGCCCAAAUGAAAACUCCCAUUCUGAUGAUAUCUUCGGGGGUAAUUUGAUGAAGGUAAAUUUCAAAAGUCUUCAAAACUUCAACUAAAAAUUUGUUCAGGGAGAAUCGAAGCCCUGCUUUCAUAGAACUCCUGUAGACAACAACUUCGUCUGCUUCGGGCAUAGGGGCACUGCUAUCUCCUCUGGCCCUCAUGAUAGAAAUAUCGCGGAAGUAUCUUCCUUUCAUUGCAUCAAUCUGACUCUGUUUGAUGGUUGAUUUAGCAAAGAUGGUAUGACUCGGUCGCCAGGGCUGAUCUUCGACAUCUUCGUUUCCACUUUCUAAGUCAAAACUUUCACUAUCGCUGGAAUCUUCAGACAACCCAACCAACAUCUCAUUGGUGAUCUUCUUCAUAUUUGUCUUCUCCAUAGCUUCAUAAAACCCGGCCAAUGCAGGGUCAGCAAUCUUCUUCUCUUUAGCCAUUUAGACAACGAUUGCACGAUUGUCGAAGCUUAAAACUCAAUCAAAACUCGACAGAGCAAGAGAAUUCAGAAUGUCUAAAAUAGCGCAAGCAACUGAAAUAGCACAGCAAAUGCUGCCAAUGCGAGUUUCUAUUUAUAUGCCUCACGAUUUGGUGGGCCAUACAUGUCAGUGGCUUUCGCUAUUCUAGCGAAGGGAAGGUGUUUUUUCGGAUCUUCGGUUAAAGGCCUUCGUUCACGUCACAGUCUAAAUUUGUUACAAAGAAACAAAUUAAUACUACGAGGGGCUACUGUUGGGGGCCUUCCUUUUCCGAAGGUCCUCAAAAACGUGGCUAACCAUAUGUUUUCAGUAUGACAUAGACUAUUAUAGGAAGCUUCGGCUUUGGGAUGAAGGCGUGUGAUAUGAGGAUACAACCCGAAUGCAACAUGGAUGGACGUCGAAGCUAUGGCUAAAGGAGCUUCAGCUUGGCAUGUUAGCGAAGAUGAAGGACGAAACCGACCUAAGGGAGAAAAGACUACUUAGUCCUUGAUAGUUUGCAUUAUGAUUAAGAGUAGAUGUCAGGGGCAUGAAUGUAAUCUUAUCCGGGCUAUGUCCCGUGCCUAUAAAUAGAUGAGAAGUAACACCGUACUGUUCACGCUGGAUUGUAAUCGCUCCUACAUCACUCUCGCAUCUUCACCUUUUGGCAAGCCGAAGGUAUCAAUGUAAUACAAAUAUUGAUUAUGUUUAUUCAUGCUUAUGAAAUGAGAAUAUAAAUAGCUUGCUGAUUCAUAACCAUUAUUUAUAUUCUUUUGUAUUUCAUGUACCCUUAUUUAUAUGUGUUCACUGAGAUGAUGAAGGUAUGCCCUUCAUGACCUUCGUCCGGAAACCAUUAUAUCCAAAAGGAGAUAAUGCUUCGAAGGACGAAGGUCUCUAAUUAUUGACAAUCGUGUUGUCUUGUUCUUGAUGUAUAGCAUUUGGGAAUAAGGACCAAUAGCUUGCUUCUUUGCCGAGUGCCAAGGCCACAGCACUCGGCAAAGAGUCUUUACCGGUGCGCAGGUGUGCCUUCUUUGCCGAGUGCUAUGACAUUGACACUCGGCAAAGUAUCUCUUUGUCGAGUGUAACACUCGACAAAGUGACCAGAUUAUCCCUUUUUAUUUGUUUUUGCUAUUCCAUCCAAACAAAUAAAAGAUAUAUCGCAUAAUCAUCACAUAUACAUCAUAGAUAUCACAUAAUCAUCGCAUACAUAAUAGAGACUGCAUAUUUCACAAAAAACACAAAUCUCACAAGUUUUUCUCAAACAUGUCCAUGUUCAUACCAAGAUUCACUAACAUAAGUAUCACACAACUCUAAAACAUAAGUUUUUCACAAACAUAAGUUUAGGACAAGUUUAUCACACAAGCUAAGAGAAGAUCAUGAGCGAGGUGGGCGGCUGGACUGGUGCGGCGACGGGCUGGGCGAUCCACGAGGGUUGUUGGAUGCCGCCCUAGAUUGUCCCUGCACAGAGAAGAGAUUGCCUGUGUUAUACUAGAUAAAUAUACAUCAUGCAGGACUAGAAUUUUGAUACUCAUAGGAGUAUGGAACUGAGCAGGGUCAACUGGAGGGAACAACGGAGGUGGUGGAGCAAAACCCUGUGCGGUGCCAAGGCUCUGCAUGUACUGGAACAUCUCUGCCAUCCUCUGUUGAUUUUCCAUGUGGGCCUCCCGCUCCGCCAUCAUCCUCGCCUCCAUAUCCUACCGUUCCCUCCUCUCUUCUUCUAGCUAGGCAUAUAAUAUUUCAACCCAGUGUUAUAAUAACUCAAAGAGAAGGUAUAUAACUCAAGGAAAGACGAGUUACAGAAGCACUAACCUGGAGUUGUUGUAUCUCAUGAUGUGAGUUGUCCUGUCGAGGUCGUAUGGCUGGGCUUGAGCUCGUGGUCCUUGCUCGCACCUGAGACAGAGUGGGAGUGGACAACGAGUCGAUUGUCCCGUCGGCAAUCCAGUACCUCCCAUGCCUCUUGCCUCCUCUGACCCUCAUGAGAACAUCUCCGUCGAUUUCCUUGGUCCUCGGAUCGUAAUCUGGCCCAUGGACCUCAUGUGACAUGGCAGUGUACUCACUUAGGCGGUUGUAGACGGCGGAGUUGCUAUAUGCCUCGGGCCCGUCAUCCGGGUUGUAGGUGACAUCGGACGUCGCCUUUCCCUUGUGGGCCAUAGCAUAAACCGAGAAGAUGGAGCAUGGCUGGCCACCAUGUAACACCAAAUGCAAUAAAAUCAAUGAGAUAGUUAGAAAUAAUAUCUAAACCAGUGCUAUAUACCUAAAUAAAAAGAGGGCGUACCCAUGCUUCUACAUAUUUCCAGAGGUUGCGACUGCCUUGGUGGUGGGAGGGACCUUACAUCAUCAAAUGUCGUUCCAUGCUAGCGUUGUGCGCCUCGUCCCACUUAGGCGAGCACCACCUAUCCACCAUCUGCUCCUAGCACUGAGGAUGCGCGGCGCACCAAUAAGGAAUCAUCUACAAACUAAAACAAGUACAUUGCAUAUCAGAAGAUAAAAUUAAGCAAUUUUUUUCACGAAUAUUAAAGUGAUGUAUUUACCUGCAAGUAUUGGUCCCUAGUCAACGACAUGGUUCGGGCCUCUUGUUUGGUCACCUUCUCUCUAAGGACGGAGCCAUGGUAGAUGAUGAUGACCUAGAUUCGUGCAUCGUAGUGCAUGUCCACGACGAGCUUCUUACAGCUUGUGGUGGCCACCACAUUUGCCCUGGCCUCGUAUCCAGCCUCGCAUCUGAAGAAAUCCUACAUACAAAGGCGAUAUAUCCAUACAUUAUUUCAAGUAUGUGCAACAAAUGCGACAUAUUUUACAAUAUAGUAAGACUUACUCAUAGCUUUUGCUUCACCCGCUCUGCCAUGUUGUUAAAUUCCCUAUCGUCCUAGUCUACUGCAUCAGGGGUGACGACGUAGUGGUCGAAGGUGUAGGCAGUAGGUUGGGCCCACCACUCCAGCGUACUCAACCAGUCCAGGGAAGUGUUCCCUACACAUAAGGCCAAGGAUGCCAUUGGGUUGUGGUCGUGACUCCCUGCAUUCUCCACAACCUUUCAAGACCUGUCCAAGUGAUAAAUAAAAAGUAUUAGUUUAUAUUAUGAAUUUGAACACAUAAUAUGAACAAACAGUGAGAACAUAAAAUUACAUGUCUCUCCCCAUCCUUCUGAAUCAGCGACCGCCUAUCUCGAAGUAUGGGACGCUGAGGGAGACUCGUGGGACCUCGCUGGUAGACGUUCCUCGAAUCUGAAGCACCAGAACCUGAGGCGUCUUGCUGAGCGUCGUCGUCGUCCUACUGUGUCGCAUCGAUAACGACCUGCUGCUGGACGUCGUCAUCCUGUUGUGCCUUCUUCGCCUUCCUACGGGUGCUCCUCCUCCCCCUCCUUGUCCUCAUCCCACCGCCCACCAUAUUUGUCCAACAACCUGUAAUUAAGGGUAAGCAAAUAAGCACAUAUAAAAAAGUUUAUUUACAAAUAGGCGUGAAAUAAAAAAAAUAGCAUUACAUCGUUUAAAAAAAUCUUCAUAUGUGUCGGGGUUAGCCAGAUCAUAAGUGUCAUCAUCACAAUCAACCAUUUCAUAGUCAACACCAUCUGAAGGCGCAAGUUCUUCAUUAAUGUCAUUGCCUUCAAGUAAUUCUAAGUCAUUCUCAUUUUGCACCUCAUCAACAACCAUUUCAAUAUCUACUUCCAUUCCGAUAGCUUCGGUUAAGUCUAUCUCAAAUCACCCUUCUAGCCCAUAUUCUUGGAAGAACUCUCCAUCAUAUGUAUCCGGGUCUAAGUUAUAAUCUUCAUCAUUUGGAACAGGUAAUUUACCGUGCAGUGAUACCUUAUACACAACAUCCCAACCCAUCCAUGCCUCAUAUAGGAGAUGAAGAAUCAAAUGCUGCAUUGGAUUGAAGAAGUCGAGUGGAAAUAUCUUCUCAAGCUUACACAAAAACACGGGUGUCAAUCUUUCCAAGUCUGCAAUCACGGACCAAGAUAACUCUUUCACACAAAGCUGGCAGAAUAAAUAGCUGAACUUUGUAAGCGCUAGCCAUACAUGCUCAGGGACAUAGCCUCGAACCAUCGUCGGAAGAAUCUGUUCAAUCCAUAAGUGGAAGUCAUGACUCUUCAUCCCUAAGACUCACAGAGUAGAUAAGUUCACCCCCCUACUUAGGUUAGCUGCAUACCCAUCAGGAAACAUCAACAUCUUGAUCCACUAAAGUACUUCCUUCCUCUGGGCCCUACUUAGGACGAAAUCGGCCUUAGACCUUCUCCAUGUCUUUCCACCACUAGGCGGCUUCAUUUCUUGGUUUGGUCUAUCACAUAACGCUGUCAGAUCCACUCUUGUCUUUACAUUAUCCUUUGACUUAUCAGGAAUGUCCAUAAUUGUUGCCCAAAGUGCCUCGGCGACAUUCUUUUCAGUGUACAUCAAGUCAAUGUUGUGUGGAAGGAGUGGGUCAUCAUAAUAGGGGAGCCGAGUCAAGCCCGACUUAUGUGUCCACAUAUGCUGCUCACCAUAUCCCACAAAUACACCUUCUGGAUUGGCCACGAGCCCAUCUAUUUGUUGACGAAUUUCGGCACCAGUCAUCAUUGCAGGUGGUUGGUCUGUCACUACAACACCUUUCGUAAAGUUAUUGAUGUCUAGGCGGAAUGGAUGGUUAGGAGGGAGAAAUUGUUGAUGUUUAUCGAACAACGAAUAUUUGCCACCCUUUUUCAACCAAAUGAACUUAAGAGCUUCCUUACAAACUAGGCAUGGGAACUUACUGUGAACACAAUAGACACAGAAUAGCCCAUACGCCGGUAAGUCAUGCAUGGCGUACUAGUACCAAACAUGCAUUUUGAAGUUUUUCUUCGUAGCUCGGUUAUACGUCCAUACCCCUUCCUCCCAAGCAUGUACGAUUCAUCAAUCAAAGGCUCCAUGUACACGCCCAUUUUAUUCCCCGGGUGUCCGAGAAUUAUCAACGACACAAAUAUGUUCUGCCUUUAAAAGCAUACACCGGGGGGAGAUUGAUUGGGAUAACAAACACGGGCCAACAUGUGUAUGGGGCAGCGCUCAUUCCAUAGGGAUUGAACCCAUCUGUGGCCAGCGCAACACGUACAUUAUGAGCCUCUUCAGCUUUCUCGCGGUAAAUGGCAUCAAAGUGUUUCCAUGCUUCACCAUCGGAUGUGUGCACCAUCUUAUCAUGAUUGUAUCGUUUGCCAUUUUUGUGCCAUGUCAUCUGUUUCGCGGAUUCCUCAGUCAUGUAUAGACGCUGGAUCCUCGGUGUGAACGGAAGGUGGUGUAGGAUUGUCACGGGGAUGUCGAGCUGCCUAUCAUGUCCAUCACCAAAGUCUACCUCCAUGAACCUAGACGAUUUACACUUCGGACAGUACUUUGCUUCCGUGUAUUCUUUCCUAAAUAGCACGCAGUCCUUCGGACAAGCAUGUAUCUGCUCAUAUGUCAUCUUGAGUGCACGGAGGAGUUUCUGUGUGUUGGGGACCUUCGGCAUCCGAAGGUCCUCAAAAACGGGAUUUAACAGUAUUUCUGGAAGUAUAAUGUGUGAGCAGGUACCUUCAGACUCAAGUCGGUAUCACGGCAGGAGAAGACCCGGAUAAUACGAAGGUCUUGAUACAACGCCGAAGAUGUUAGCAGGAAAGCUUCGGCAUGGUUGCAGAAAAUGAAACCGACUUAAAGAUGAAAAGGCUAUUCAGACCUCGAUAGAUUACUAUAGAAUUAUUAUCAAAUGUAAAGGGCAUGAAUGUAAUUUUGUAUGGGCUGUGUCCCGUGCCUAUAAAUAGGUGAACAGAACCCCCGUACUGUUCACGCUGACUUGGCAUUCGCUUUUUGCGUCACGCUUGUACUGUCAUCUCCUUCCGAUUGAAGGUACACUUGUAAUUCAACGAUAUUUCUGUUUAUGUCUGAUAAUAAUAUAUAAUUGUUCAUAUUGUCUUUUAUGUUCUUUACAUUUCAUUCUUCGUCAUUGCUUAAUGAAUUUAUGAAGGUACGUCCUUCAUAACCUUCGUCCGUAAACCAUUAUAUCCUAAGGGAAAUAAUGUUUCGGAGGGCGAAGGACUUUAACGAUUAACAUUUUCUAUGUUGCCUUGUUCUUAACUCAUAGCACUUGAGAACAAGUCCCCAACAUUGGCGCCCACCUCCGGUGAACUCACUUCCACUCUUUGAAGUUUUUUGAACACCUUCGGCGAUCAUAAAUCUUCGUUAUGGCGCCGAAGAAAGCUUCAGCGACUGGGGCUGCAGCUCUGCAACCACUGGACCACAAUCAGGAGACAGUUUCCCUGCGGGAGGCCCGAAGCCAGAAAAGGAAGGCUGUCAGUCCGACACCACCAGAGGACGAGAUAGAUCAAGAAAUCAGAGAUAUGGAGAUGCUUCAUCAACAAGUACAGAGGAAGAAAGAAAAGAUGGCCAGGCUAGCUGAACUGCAGAGGCAGAUAGACGAAGCCUCUGAAGAAGUUCGUCAUCUUGCUCAGGAUGAGCAACACCGAAGGCCUCAGCACCAAGACCUUCAUCAGGAGGGUUUUCCCAACGAAGAUGACUGGUAUGACAAUUUCCAUCAUGGGAAUUUUGUUUUUGAUGAUGCUUCUCCUCUGUCCGCUGAGCUGCAGGCUACACCUUGGCCUCCGUCCUACAAGCCGCCUCAGCUUCCCGUAUUCGAUGGUCACUCAGACCCGAAGCAGUUUUUGAUGAGCUACGAAGCAACAGUAUCUUCGUAUGGUGGCAAUGCUUCAGUCAUGGCCAAAUCUUUCGUUAUGGCUGUCAGAAGUGUUGCUCAAACCUGGUAUUCCUCCCUUCGACCAGGAACGAUCACUUCAUGGCAGAAGCUGAAGGACUUGUUGUUAACUAGCUUUCAAGGAUUUCAGACGAAGCCGGUCACUGCUCAGGCUCUGUUCCAGUGCACCCAGGAUCACGAAGAAUACCUUCAGGCGUAUGUCCGAAGGUUCUUGCGUUUGAGGGCACAGGCACCAACGGUGCCCAAUGAAAUUGUCAUCGAGGCCAUGAUCAAGGGGCUUCGGCCAGGACCGUCAGCUCAGUACUUCGCCAGGAAGCCUCCUCAAACUUUGGAGAAGCUGCUCCAGAAGAUGGACGAGUACAUUCGGGCCGAUAAUGAUUUUCGCCAAAGAAGGGAGGAGGCUUUCAGGUUUUCUGAAAUGACCAGGGGCUUCGGAGGGAGGUUCUACCCGAGGCACGUGAGAUCAAUUCAUAACUCUACACAAAAAUGAUGAUAGAGGAAGCCAACAGCAAAGGCCACAAUGCUCCUCACAGGCUUCGGGGCAACAGCAAAGCUCCUUCCGACCACCAGCUCCAAGAGGCAGAGGCGCCAGGGGCUUUGGAGGAAGAUUUGGAGAUCAACCGAGAAGAAUCUUUUGCUUAUUCUGCGGUGAGAACAAAGGCCAUACUACCAGGAUGUGCCAUGUUACUAUUCAGAAGCAAAAGGAAAUAGCUGAAGCCGCAGCACAACAAGCUCAGCCGAAGCAGGUCAUGCAUACAACUUCGUAUCAUUCGCCCUACAUCCCAGAAUAUGUGGGCAACCAUCCUGCAGUUUCUGUUGCUUCGGCAAGUCAGCCUCAAGCUUCCUGGCAACAGCCUCCGCCUCCACCUCCGUUGCAACAAGGCCAGCAACCAGAAGGGAGCCAGUAUGCUCCACACCAGAGGGACUUCAGAGAGCAGUCCGAAGCUCGUACAGUCAAUAGCACUGUGCCAGAGUCAAAGCACAUCUAUUGACGAAUAUCCUACCUUAAUAGCAAUCUUUUUCAUUCAGUUUUAUUUUCUGUAAUAAAGGACAUUGUUUAGGUUUCAUGUAAUUAGUUUCGUUGAUUCCUACAAGAAAAAUAUGUUUUCCUCACAGGCUUAAAUUGAUUGAAGUUCAAAGACUUGUGAUAAAAAAAAGGACCUUCGAACUAUCGAAAAUUCUUCGAAGCAACAAAAAGUCGUUCUAAGGAACGCAGAGUAAGUUUGCCGAAGUCACAAAAAGUCGUUCCAAAGGGAGCGCAGUGUAAGUUUUCUGCUCCAAAGUCGUUCCAAAGGGAAUGCAGAGCAUACAGCGAAAAGUCAACGCUGAUACCGCCUAAGUAAAAGGCGAAGCGCGAAAAGUCAACGCGAAUACCGCUGAAAGUAAAAGGCGAAGAAGCUCCUAAGGGAGGCUUACAGCGAAAAAUAAACGCUGAUUCCGCUGAAGUAAAAGGCGAAGAAGCUCCUAAGGGAGGCUUAUAAAAGAUGUGUUUUAUUGCAGGGAUGCGUAUGUAUCUUCGGAAUAAACGUCAUCUCACAUAACAUAACAUCAUCGCAUCAUUUCGCAUAGCAUAAGCAUCAUACAUCAUUUUGCACAUGGCACAAGAGGUGGACACAUUAUUAAUCUACAGAAGAACGCUUUGAAAAAAGGGAGAAAUCAAAGUCACAAAAAGAUACAUCAUUGAUCUUCGGAAGUGUAUCUUCGGAAGUGUAGCUUCGGAAAAUAUCUUCACGAAGCCUGGAUAUUAAUCAUCAGAACAUUGGAUAUUGUUGUGACAAAGAAAAAUUCUUCUUCACGAAGCAUGAAAAGAAGGGAAGGUGUUUUUUCGUCAAAGACUCAAAAGUGGUACGUGUAAAGUUUCAUGCAUCGUAAAGAAUUGACUAACAAAAAUAGGUAUAUUACAUUUGGGGUUACAAAAUGUUACAGUAUAUUACAUUUCAGAAAGUUUUCACAAAAAUACUUAAUCUUCUCUCAAAACGACUUCUGCAGCCUCGUUCAGGAGCCGAUUGACGACUUCGUCCAUAAUAUCUUCAGCCAUCUUUUUAAUUUCGUCGUCUCCUUUCGGCUGAGGGCCCGAAGACGCUUUAGCACGAUCUGAAGUAAGACAGCAUGCGGCUACAUUGCUAUUACAAAUCGCAAACAAAUCUUAAAGCCUAAGAUUACAACACGAUAAAAACUAUUAGUUAAUACCUAAUUGACCUUCGGCCUCUGCGCUCUUUUCAGCAGCCUCAGCCACUUCUCUAGCAUCGUGAAUGCCCUUUUCACUUCUUCGAAUAAUUUCUCCGGCCAUUUCUCAGCCACCAUUAUCCCAGAUAUCGGUAAAACAUUUUCCACCAAUUAUACUAGCUUCGGCCGAAGGAUCUCUUGCAUCUUCAAAGGGCAAAGCAGCUUCGGAUUGUGCUAAAAUUUUUACAUGUUCGCAGCCCUUCUUCUCUAAGAUGGUGGCAAUCCCUCUGGCACCAGAGAAGGCACAUAUAUCUCCUCGGCUAUUUAAAAUUUCUUCGAAGGCUUCAGCUUCGUGGUCGAUCCAUUCGAUGACACCUUCGGGAUUGCUUCUCGAAAAGUUUUCCUCACUUGAGAAUGCGCCGACCUUGGCGAAGCUAGCCUUUAGCUUCUUAACACAAUCUAUAGAUUUAUUAUAGCAUCUCUUUUUGGACGAACGAAGCUCUUCAACAGUCACUUCUAGGUGAUCUGCCCAUUGAUCGCUGAGUUCACGCUUUGUUUCUUCAAGUAUGCGUUCUUCCUUGGCUCUGGCCAGUUGUUUCCGAAGAUCUUCAAUUUCGCGCUUCUGAGCUUCAGCUUGACCUUUAAAAGCAGCUUCGUCUUCCUUUAUUUUAUUUAUCAAUGAGUAUAAUAUUUUAUCUUUUUCGAGACCUUCGUUCCUCAGUUCAAUUACUUCGGAACGAAGGUUGCUCAGGGCUAUAGUACACCCUUCGUCUUCAGCAUCUUUCUGUGCCCUGAGGGCAUUGCUAAGUAUCAGGCCCUGCAAAGAGAAAUAUGUGUGCGUCAAUAGGUUUAAACAAACGAAAAAUACAAGGAUUUCAUUUCUCGCACCUUUAAGCUAUUGUAAGCCAGGCUGUCGGCCAGAUCGUUCUUCGACAGCACCGAGAGCCCGUCUUCUAAAGUUGGGAAUCCGAAGCUCUUGCUCAUCUCCCGACAGACAGAAAUUUCCUUGCUAUCGGGGAGACAAUACAAGAAGUCUUCUUCUCCACUGCCAUUGAAUAUUAACGCCCCCUUUGGAUAUUUCAGUUUUUGGGCGUAGUGCUGGGCCUCUUGCUCUUCUUUUUCUGAUAGUUUUUUCCCCGAAGCAUGGCGAACAAUAUAAUCACGAACUUUGGGGGAUGCUUCGGGGGCAAUGGCACCGGUUUCUUCAACAAAAGUUGGCUUUGUUAUUUUUUCUGCCUCACUUUCCAAGGAUUUUAUCUUUGCAGGCUCUGAGGGCCCAGCUUCGGCUUUAGUCUCUUGCCCUGAAGCUUUAGAUCCAGAAAUUUCAGUUGUUUCAGGAAUGACAGCAGCCCUCUUCGGAGGUGUGCUUGAAGAUUUGAUCGUUUCCAGUACAUCUAGCACAUUAGCCAUUCUCUUUCUUUUCGGAGUCACUGCUGGCACUUUCACUAUCUCAAUGUUUGCUGCAGGACUCAAAACUUCUGAUGUUUUGGAUCCCUCAGUUGAUUCUUUUACCUUUUCCAUUUUUUCUGUGGACGGCGCUUCGGCUUUCUCUUUCGUUUCUGAUAACAAAAUUUUUGAUUGUUCCAAUUCUAUCUUUGUUGGCACUUCGGCCGUUUCUGCGACUUCUGGCAGCAAGGUUGGCUCGGUUGGUUUUUCAGCUUCGGUGGCCGAAGAAGUUUCUCCGGUAAACUCAGGCACCGAAGCUGGUUCAAUAUAGCGCGGCCGAUGCGUAAGGACCUUUAUCUUCUUUCUUUUCGGUUCUGGCUCGCUAGGAGCAGUUGCAGCUUCUUCUUUUGCAGAGGUUGUGUUUUUUCUCUUCUGCCUUCGAAUGGGAUAGCAAUAGUCAGGGUAGACAAACCCGAUUGCAUCAAAUACCCGAUUCAGCCUCUUCUUUUUUCGGCCUCCGAAGGCUGCUGACAUUGCAGUAUCUUCGGCCUUCGAAUAGGUCCCAAGCAGCUCAUCACUUAAAUUUUCAAUGCUUUUUAACCAGUCAUCAUCUGGUUCAACGAAUUUAUCUCCAAACUUAAAAGUGUACUUCAACCUGAUAAGUCCACCUUCGUCGGCCUCUUUUAUGGUUUCUUGUGGCAUUUCCCAUUUCUCCGCAAGUGGCCAUACCCUGAAGGCGAUAUGCUCUUGUACUAAGUCCCUCGUUCCAAUAAAAGAACAGAUAACACCGAAGGCCCUCUGGCAUUCUUCGGCAGCCUCACUCAUUUCAACCUUCGGCCUCCGAAGGCCGAAGCUUUGCCAAAUAGGGCGCAUAAUUAUACCUUUGAUAUCUUCUCGCGCUGUCAGAUCAUUCUUCACAUAAAACCAUUCUGUCAUCCAGUCGCCGGGCCAUCUCUUCCGAAAGGUCGGCACGGGACAGCUUGACCCGGACCGAGAAACGAAAUUGUAGCAGCCAAAAUUAUUGUGAUACUGUUCCUUACCCCAAGGUUUUGUUUCGUAUGAUAAUUCGUGUAUAUUGCAGAAACUUUUUGCAUCAGGCUUCAGACCUUGGCUUCUCACGGCCCACACGAAGAUAUUUAGCCUUAUAAUUGCCUCAGGGGUAAGUUGAUGGAGAUAGACUUCGAAUAUUUUCAGUACCUCCACAACGAAGCUGCUCAAGGGAAAUCGCAGUCCAGCUUUCAAAAAGCUUCGGUACACUACGACUUCAUUCUCUUCAGGGUGUGGGCAAGUUUUUUCCCCUUCGUCGGCCCUCACAAUGGACAAAUCCCGGAAAUACCUUCCUCUCAUGUUGACAAGAUGAUUCUCUUUGAUAGUUGAUUUACCAUAAACUGAAUGGCUUGGUCGCCAGGGACGAUCUUCGGAGUCCUCACCACCACUGUCCACAUCAUAGCUGUCACUGUCACCAGUAUCUUCAGACAAACCUUCCAGAAUCUCCUUGGUAAUUUUUUCUGUAUUGGUCUUUGACAUCGCUAUAAGAAACCCCAAGUUUUUCUCUUCGUCAAGGCUCAGCUUCAUCUCAGCAACAGUCUUCUUAUCUUCAGACAUCUUCGGAGACGCUAAAAAACUAUUUUCAAAGCCGAAGCUUCAAAACUAAAAGCUUAGCAAAUCGCAGUGCACAAGAGCUAAAAAUUGAGUGAGCGGGAGUAGUUGGCCAGAAAGCGUGUCAAAUGAGUUUGCGGUAUGGCCGUAUUUAUACGCCAAGAGCGUUGAAAAUUCAAAGACCCCGCUUGUCAGUGAAUGUUGCUAUUCUAGCAAAGGGAAGGUGUUUUUUCGGACCUUCGGCGUAAAGCCUUCGUCCAUGUCGCAAUCUAAAUUCGUUAUUUUAAAACAAAUUAAUAUUGCGAGGGGCUACUGUUGGGGACCUUCGGCAUCCGAAGGUCCUCAAAAACGGGAUUUAACAGUAUUUCUGGAAGUAUAAUGUGUGAGCAGGUACCUUCGGACUCAAGUCGGUAUCACGGCAGGAGAAGACCCGGAUAAUACGAAGGUCUUGAUACAACGCCGAAGAUGUUAGCAGGAAAGCUUCGGCAUGGUUGCAGAAAAUAAAACCGACUUAAAGAUGAAAAGGCUAUUCAGACCUCGAUAGAUUAUAUAGAAUUAUUAUCAAAUGUAAAGGGCAUGAAUGUAAUUUUGUAUGGGCUGUGUCCCGUGCCUAUAAAUAGGUGAACAGAACCCCCGUACUGUUCACGCUGACUUGGCAUUCGCUUUUUGCGUCACGCUUGUACUGUCAUCUCCUUCCGAUUGAAGGUACACUUGUAAUUCAACGAUAUUUCUAUUUAUGUCUGAUAAUAAUAUAUAAUUGUUCAUAUUGUCUUUUAUAUUCUUUACAUUUCAUUCUUCGUCAUUGCUUAAUGAAUUUAUGAAGGUACGUCCUUCAUAACCUUCGUCCGUAAACCAUUAUAUCCUAAGGGAAAUAAUGUUUCGGAGGGCGAAGGACUUUAACGAUUAACAUUUUCUAUGUUGCCUUGUUCUUAACUCAUAGCACUUGAGAACAAGUCCCCAACACUGUGCCUCAUACAUGCUCUUUGGUAGAACGUGAUCCUCCGGAAGCAGGCUACCAAUAACUGUCAACAAGCAAUCGAAUGCGUCUUGACUCAUGUUAUACUGCGACUUGAACGCUAUUACAUGCCCAAUGGCAUCCAGUUGAGAAACCUUUGUCUGGCUGUGAAGGGGCUUCUGUGCCACGUCAAACAUGUCGUAGAACGCCUUUGCAAUCGGCUCUAGCUCGUCCUCCAUACAUCCUCCGACGAACUAUGCCUCAUGAUAGUCGUUCAACAUAUCUGCUACCCCCGCAUCAGCAUCAUAAUCCUCGACGUGUUGUCUCUGAAAGGGAAAUAAGCUUACACCUUUUCCUAAAUGAUUUUGGUGGUUGAAUUGCCCAACACAAAUAAUUGGACUAACUAGUUUGCUCUAGGUUAUAAGUUCUAUAGGUGCCAAAGGUUCAACACAUACCAAUAAAAAGUCCAAGAAAGGGUUCAAAUAAAAAGAGCAAAAGACAACCGAAGGCUGCCCUGGUCUGGCGCACUGGACUGUCCGAUGUGCCACCGGACAGUGUCCGGUGCACCAGAGAGAUUCACUCCAAACUUGCCACCUUCGGGAAUUUGGGAAGCCACUCCGCUAUAAUUCACCGGACUGUCCGGUGUGCCAAGCGGAGCAACGGUCGCCAACGCAAUGGUCGAGUUCAACGGUCGGCUGACAACGCUACAGUGCGCGGACUACGCGCGUAGAAGUCAGAGAAGGCGCAGAUGGCGCACCGGACAGUGAAGAGGACCUGUCUGGUGCACCAUCGGACUGUCCGGUGGCCCACAUGUCAGAAACUCCAACGGUCGAACCCUAACGGUUGGGUGACGUGGCUGGCGCACCGGACAGUGUCCGGUGGCGCACCGGACUGUCCGGUGCGCCCAUCGACAGCAGAGUUCCCCAACGACCACUUUGGUGGUUGGGGCUAUAAAUACCCCCCAACCACCACACUUCGAUGCAUCCAAGUUUUCAGCCAUCAAACCUCAUACAAGAGCUCUAGACUUCAUUCCAAGACACAAACAAAGAGAUCAAAUCCUCUCCCAAGUCUGGAAUCACUCCAAACAAAUUAGUGACUAGAGAGAGAGAGACUUUUGUGUUCUUUUAAGCUCUUGUGCUUGGAUCGCUUUUCUUCUUCCUCCUUUCUUGUUCUCAACUCAAUUGUAAUCAAAGCAAGAGACACCAAGUUGUGGUGGUCCUUGUAGUGGACUAAGUGUCCCGUUUGAUUGAAGAGAAAAGCUCACUCGGUCUAGGUGACCGUUUGAGAGAGGGAAAGGGUUGAAAGAGACCCGAUCUUUGUGACCACCUCAACGGGGAGUAGGUUUGCAAGAACCGAACCUCGGUAAAACAAAUCACCGUGUUCAUCUGUUUUAUUUCUUUGUUGAUUUGUUUUCCCUUUCUUUCGGACUUGAUUAUAUUUCUAACGCUAACCCUUGCUUGUAGUUGUGCUUAAACUUUAUAAAUUUCAGAUUUGCCUAUUCACCCCCCUCUAGGCGACUUUCAAUUGGUAUCAGAGCCCGGUACUUCAUUAGAGCCUAACCACUCGAUGUCAUGUCGGGAGCUCACGCCAAGAAGGAGAUGGUGACCGGCGAGAAGCCCGCCACAAGCCACGGGAAGGCUCCAUCGGGAGAGUCCGGCAACAAAAGGGAGGAAUCACCUCCCCACGUCAAGUCGCACCGGAGUGGUGACCAGAAGAAGAAAAUGAAGAAAGUGUUCUACUGUGAGACCGAUUCUUCGUCGCCAUCCACCUCCACGUCCGACGCGCCGUCCGUCACUUCUAAGCGCCAUGAGCGCAAGAAGUUUAGUAAGAUCUCCUUACGCUAUCCUCGUAUUUCCAAAUGCACUCCUUUACUUUCCGUCCCACUAGGCAAACCACCGGUUUUUGACGGUGAACAUUAUUGUAUGUGGAGUGAUAAAAUGAGGCACCAUCUAACCUCACUCCACGCUAGUAUUUGGGACAUUGUUGAGUUUGGUGCGCAGGAACCAUCCGUGGGGGAUGAAGGCUAUGAUUCGGAUGAGGUAGCCCAAAUCCAGCACUUCAACUCCCAAGCCACCACUAUACUCCUCGCCUCUCUAAGUCGAGAGGAGUAUAAUAAGGUGCAAGGGUUGAAGAGCGCCAAAGAGAUUUGGGACGUACUAAAGACCACACACGAAGGAGACGAGGUGACCAAGAUCACCAAGAGCGAAACGAUCGAGGGGGAGCUCGGUCGCUUCAUGCUUCAUCAAGGGGAGGAGCCACAAGCAAUGUACAACCGGCUCUAGACCUUGGUGAACCAAGUGCGCAACCUCAGGAGCACCAAAUGGGAUGACCAUGAAAUGGUCAAGGUUAUUCUAAGAUCACUUAUAUUUCUUAAUCCUACACAAGUUCAAUUAAUUCGUGGUGAUCCUAGAUACAAGAUAAUGUCUCCCGAGGAGGUUAUAGGAAAAUUUGUGAGCUUUGAAUUGAUGAUCAAAGGCUCCAAGAAAAUCAUCGAGCAAGGCGCCUCCUCCACACCCGAAAUGCAACUCGUCGCAUUCAAGGCAACAGAGGAGAAGAAAGAAGAGUCUACUUCAAGUAGACUUCCCAUCGACGCCUCCAAGCUCGACAACGAGGAAAUGGCGCUCAUCAUCAGGAGCUUUCGCCAAAUCCUCAAGCAAAGGAGGGGGAAGGACUACAAGCCCCGCUCCAAGAAAGUUUGCUACAAGUGUGGUAAGCCCGGACAUUUCAUUGCUAAAUGUCCAUUAUCAAGUGAUAGUGACAGGGGCGAUGACAAGAAGGGGAGAAGGAAGGAGAAGAAGAAAUAUUACAAGAAGAAGGGCGGCGAUGCCCAUGUAUGCCACGAGUGGGACUCCGAUGAGAGCUCCACCGACUCCUCCUCCGACGAGAACGCCGCAAACAUCGCCAUCAACAAGGGUCUUCUCCUUCCCAACGUCGAUCACAAGUGCCUCAUGGCAAAGGACGACAAAAAGAAGAAGGUAAAAUCUAGAGCUUCCACUAAAUAUGCAACAUCUAGUGAUGAGGCUAGCUCUAGUGAUGAUGAGGAUGAUUUGAUCACCCUUUUUGCCAACUUAAACAUUCAACAAAAAGACAAAUUGAAUGAAUCGAUUAGUGUUAUUCAUGAGAAGGAUGAACUCUUGGAUAGCCAAGAGGACUUCCUUAUUAAAGAAAAUAAGAAGCAUGUUAAAGUUAAAAAUGCUUAUGCUCAGGAGAUAGAAAAAUGUGAAAAAUUAACUAGUGAUCUAAGCACUUGCCAUGACACUAUUUUCAACCUUAGAUUUGAAAAUGACAAAUUGAUUGCUAAGGUUGAGAAAUUAAAUGUUAGUGAUGAUUCUCUUGUCAACCUUAGAAAUGAUAAUGCUAAUUUGAUUGCUAAGGUUGACAAAUUGAAUGCAUCUCUCUCUAGCCUUAAAAUUGAGAAUGAAAAAUUAAUUGCUAAGGCUAAAGAUUUAAAUGUUUGCAAUGUUUCUAUUUCCAAUCUUAGAGAUGAGAACACUAUUUUACAUGCUAAGAUUGUUGAAUUAAAUACUUGCAAACCCUCAACAUCUACCGUUGAACAUGUUACUAUUUGCACUAGAUGUAGAGAUGUUAAUAUUGAUGCUAUUCAUGAUCACAUUGCUAUGAUUAAACAACAAAAUGAUCAUAUAGCAAAAUUAGAUGCUAAAAUUGCCGAGCAUGAAUUAGAGAAUGAAAAAUUUAAAUUUGCUCGUAAUAUGCUUUAUGGUGGGAGACGCCCUGGCAUUAAGGAUGGCAUUGGCUUCCAACAGGGAGGCGAUGUCAAACUCAAUGCCCCUAAGAAAUUGUCCAACUUUGUUAAGGGCAAGGCUCCCAUGGUUUAGGAUAACGAGGGUUACAUUUUAUACCCUGACGGUUAUCCCGAACAUAAAAUUAGGAGAAUUCACUCUAGGAAGUCUCACUCUGGCUCUCAUCAUGCUUUUAUGAAUAAGAGUGAGGCAUCUAGUUCUAGGAAAUCCACCCAUGCUAAAUUGCCUAAGAAGAAAACUCCUAUAGCAUCAAACGAACCUAAUUUUUCAUUUAAGACUUUUGAUGCUUCUUAUGUGCUCACUAACAAAUCAGGCAAAAUAGUUGCCAAAUAUGUUGGGGCUAAACACAAGGGAUCAAAGACUUGUGUUUGGGUACCCAAGGUGCUUGUUUCUAAUGUGAAAGGACCCAAGACCAUUUGGGUACCUAAGAACAAGGCCUAAACUUGUUUUGUAGGUUUAUGCAUGCGGGGGCUCAAGUUUGAUCAUCGAUAGCGGGUGCACAAACCACAUGACUGGGGAGAAAAUAAUGUUCUCCUCCUAUGAGAAAAAUCAUGAUCCCCAAAGAGCUAUCACAUUCGGGGAUGGAAAUCAAGGUUUGGUCAAAGGACUUGGUAAAAUUGCUAUAUCCCCUGACCAUUCUAUUUCCAAUGUUUUUCUUGUAGAUUCUUUAGAUUACAACUUGCUUUCUGUUUCUCAAUUAUGCAAAAUGGGUUACAACUGUCUUUUUACGGAUAUAGGUGUUACUGUCUUUAGAAGAAGUGAUGAUUCUGUAGCAUUUAAGGGAGUGUUAGAGGGUUAGCUAUACUUAGUUGAUUUUAAUAGAGCUGAACUCGACACUUGCUUAAUUGCUAAGACUAACAUGGGUUGGCUCUGGCAUCGCCGACUUGCCCACGUUUAAAUGAAGAAUCUCCACAAACUUCUAAAGGGAGAACACAUUUUGGGACUAACAAAUGUUCAUUUUGAGAAAGACAGGGUUUGUAGCGCAUGUCAAGCAGGGGAAGCAAGUUGGUGUUCAUCAUCCACACAAGAACAUAAUGACGACCGACAGACCGCUUGAGCUACUCCACAUGGACCUAUUCGGCCCGAUAGCUUAUAUAAGCAUCAACGGGAGUAAGUAUUGUCUUGUAAUUGUGGAUGAUUAUUCUCGCUUCACUUGGGUGUUAUUUUUGCAGGAAAAAUCUCAAACCCAAGAGACCUUAAAGGGAUUCUUGAGAUGGGCUCAAAAUGAGUUCGGCUUAAGGAUCAAAAAGAUAAGAAGCGACAACGGGACGGAGUUCAAGAACUCUCAAAUAGAAGGCUUCCUUGAGGAUGAGGGCAUCAAGCAUGAGUUCUCUUCUCCCUACACACCACAACAAAAUGGUGUAGUGGAGAGGAAGAAUAGAACUCUACUUGACAUGGCGAGGACCAUGCUUGAUGAGUACAAGACUUCGGACCGGUUUUGGGCGGAAGCAGUCAACACCGCUUGCUACGCCAUCAACCGUCUCUACCUUUGCCGAAUACUCAAGAAGACAUCGUAUGAACUACUCACCGGUAAAAAGCCCAAUGUUUCAUAUUUUAGAGUCUUUGGUAGCAAAUGCUUUAUUCUUGUUAAAAGAGGUAGAAAAUCUAAAUUUGCUCCUAAGGCUGUAGAAGGCUUUUUACUUGGUUAUGAUUCAAACACAAGGGCAUAUAGAGUCUUUAACAAGUCCUCUGGACUAGUUGAGGUUACUUGUGACAUUGUGUUUGAUGAGACUAACGGCUCUCAAGUAGAGCAAGUUGAUCUUGAUGAGCUAGAUGAUGAAGAGGCUCCAUGCGUCGCGCUAAGGAACAUGUCCAUUGGGGAUGUGUGUCCUAAGGAAUCCGAAGAGCCUCCACAAGCACAAGAUCAACCAUCUUCCUCCAUGCAAGCAUCUCCACCAACUCAAGAUGAGGAUCAAGCUCAAGAGGAUGAAAAUGAAGAUCAAGAAGAUGAGCCACCUCAAGAGGAGGGCAAUGAUCAAGGGGGAGAUGCCAAUGAUCAAGACAAGGAAGAUGACGACAGUCCAAGACCACCACACCCAAGAGUCCACCAAGCAAUACAAAGAGAUCACCCCGUGAACUCCAUCCUCGGCGAUAUUCAUAAGGGGGUAACCACUCGAUCUCGUGUUGCUCAUUUUUGUGAACAUUACACCUUUGUAUCUUCUAUUGAGCCAUAUAGGGUGGAAGACACAUUAAGGGAUUCAGAUUGGGUGUUGGCGAUGCAAGAGGAACUCAACAACUUCACGAGGAAUGAGGUAUGACAUUUAGUUCCACGCCCUAAUCAAAAUGUUGUAGGAACCAAGUGGGUCUUCCGCAACAAGCAAGAUGAGCAUGGUGUGGUGACAAGGAACAAAGCCCGACUUGUGGCCAAGGGAUAAUCACAAGUCGAAGGUUUGGAUUUCGGUGAAACCUAUGCACCCGUAGCUAGGCUUGAGUCAAUUUGUAUAUUACUUGCCUAUGCUACUUACCAUGGCUUCAAGCUUUAUCAAAUGGACGUGAAAAGUGCCUUCCUCAAUGGACCAAUCAAGGAAGAAGUCUAUGUUGAGCAACCUCCCGACUUUGAAGAUAGUGAGUACCCUAACCAUGUGUAUAAACUCUCUAAGGCGCUUUAUGGGCUCAAGCAAGCCCCAAGAUCAUGGUAUGAAUGCCUAAGAGAUUUUCUUAUCGCUAAUGGCUUCAAAGUCGGAAAAGCCGAUCCUACUCUCUUUACUAAAACAAUUGCAAAUGAUUUGUUUGUAUGCCAAAUUUAUGUUGAUGAUAUUAUAUUUGGGUCUACUAACAAAUCUACAUUUGAAGAGUUUAGUAGAUAAUGGUACAAAAAUUCGAGAUGUCUAUGAUGGGGGAGUUGAAGUAUUUCUUAGGAUUUCAAGUGAAGCAACUCCAAGAGGGCAUCUUCAUCAGUCAAACGAAGUACAUUCAAGACAUACUCACCAAGUUUGGGAUGAAGGAUGCCAAGCCUAUCAAGACACCCAUGGGAACCAAUGGGCAUCUUGACCUCGACACGAGAGGUAAAUCCAUAGAUCAAAAGGUAUACCGGUCGAUGAUAGGAUCUUUACUCUAUUUAUGUGCAUCUCGACCGGAUAUUAUGCUUUUCAUAUGCAUGUGUGCAAGAUUCCAAGCCGAUCCUAAGGAAGUUCACCUUAGGGUCGUGAAAUGAAUCUUGAGAUAUUUAGUUCAUACUCCUAAGUUUGGCCUUUGGUACCCCAGGGGAUCCACAUUUGAUUUAAUAGGAUAUUUAGAUGCUGAUUGGGCAGGGUGUAAAAUUGAUAGAAAGAGCACAUCAGGGACUUGUUAGUUCUUGGGAAGAUCCCUGGUGUCAUAGGCUUCAAAGAAGCAAAAUUUUGUAUCUCUUUCUACCACCGAAGCCGAGUACAUUACCGCAGGCCAUUGUUGCGCGCAAUUGCUUUGGAUGAGGCAAACCCUUAGGGACUAUGGUUACAAAUUAACCAAAGUUCCGCUCCUAUGUGAUAAUGAGAGUGCAAUCCACAUGGUGGAUAAUCCCGUUGAGCACAACCGCACUAAGCACAUAGCCAUUCGGUAUCACUUUUUGAGGGAUCACCAACAAAAGGGGGAUAUCGAGAUUGUUUAUAUUAACACCAAAGAACAAUUAGCCGAUAUCUUUACCAAUGUUGGGGACUUGUUCUCAAAUGCUAUGAGUUAAGAACAAGGCAACACAAGAAAUGUUAAACGUUAAUGCCCUUCGUCCUUCGAGACAUUAUUUCCCUUAGGAUAUAAUGAUCUUCAGACGAAGGUCAUGAAGGACAUACCUUCAUCAUUGCAAUAUACGAUAAUAAAAGGAGAAUCAUAUAGAAUGUAAGAGACAACAUGAAUAAGUAUGUAAUAUUAUCAGCACAUUUCUAUUUUAUUAUCAUGGACAAAUAGAAAUGAUAUCAAAUUACAAAUGUACCUUCAGCUUGAUGGAAGGUAAAAGUACAAGUGUGACGCACGAUCAAAUACAAGUCAGCGUGAACAGUACGGGAGCACUGUUCAUCUAUUUAUAGGCACGGGACACAGCCCAUGUAAAAUUACACCCAUGCCUUUUACAUUUGCUAAUGACUCUAUAGUGAUCCAUCGAGGUCUAAAUGACCUUUUCCCUUUUAAGUCGGUUCCCUUUUCCGCUGUUAUGCCAAAGCUCCCUUGCGCGUAGCUUCGGCGCUACGUCAACCUUCGUAUUCUUUGUGCUUCUCACACUGUGGUUCUGAUCCGAGUCCGAAGGUACCUGUUCAUGUAUCAUACUCCAGAAAUAAUGUUAAAUCAUGUUUUUGAAGACCUUCGGAAGACGAAGGCCCCCAACAGUAGCCCCUCGCAAUAUUAAUUUGUUAGAAUAACGAAUUCAAAUUGCGAUAUGGACGAAGGCCUUAAGCCAAAAUUCUGAAAAAACACCUUCCCUUUGCUAGAAUAGCAACAGUCGAUGACAGACGGGGCCCUCCAAUUUGGAACGCACUGGGCGUAUAAAUAGGAACUCACCCCGAGCACAUUUGGUACGCUAUCUGCCGCCUGCUUUGCUUGCUCAAUUUUUUAGCUCUUGCCUACCAACGCUUGCUUGGUUUUUUAGACUUUCUAAGCUUCGGCUUUAAGGACACAUUUUCGCCAUUUCCGAAGAGAAGAUGUCUCAAGACAAAAAAGUUGUUGCUGAGACGAAGCUGAGCGAAGAGGAGAAGCUCCAUGAGGAGAAGACUGCUGGAUUUGUUGAAUCAAUAGCAAAGAAAAAUACAGAAAAGAUUACUAAGGAGAUUCUAGAAGGCUUAUCUGAAGAUACUGAUGACAGCGACAGUUAUGAUGCGGAAAGCGGAGGCGAAGACUCCGAAGAUCGGCCCUGGCGACCAAGCAUGCAGUCUUCGGGAAAUCAACCAUCAAACAGAGUCAUCUUGAUAAUAUGAGAGGAAGGUAUUUUCGAUAUUAUUUUUUUGUUCUUAUAUUAACCCAUUCAUUCUUUUCAUAUAGGGUUUAAUACUUAGCAACGCCUUAAGGGCGCAAAAGAAUGUCGAAGACGAGAGUUGCACUAUUGCUCUCAACAACCUUCAAACAGAGGUUAUCAAGCUGAGGAACGAAGCUUUGGAAAAAGAAAAAAUUCUACUUACAUUGGUGGACAAAGUAAAGGGGGAUGAAGCUAACUUCAAGGCUCAAUCUGAAAUCCAAAGGAAUGAGAUUGAAAACCUUCAAAAACAACUGGCCGAAGCCAAAUUGAAAUGCGCUAUUGCCGAAGCUGACCGAGUUGCCAGUGAGUACUAGAAAAAUUAUCUUGAAAAACAGUUGCAGAGCUUCGCUCAUCAAAAGAAAGAUGUUUUGAAAAAUCUGUGGAAUGCGUGAAAAAGAUAAAAACUAGCUUUGCCAACGUUGGCGCAUAUUCAAGCGAAGAUAACUUCAUACGGGGCGACCCCGAAGGCGUAAUCGAGUGGAUCAGCGGUGAGGCCGAAGCCUUUGAAGAGAUUUUGAGUGACCGCGGGGACGUCUGUGCCUUCUCUGGUGCGAGAGGAAUUGCAGCUAUUUUGGAGAAAGCAGGGUGCGAACAUGUUAAAACUUUGGCCCAGGCCGAAGCUGCCUUCUCCACCGAUGAUAUAAAGGACCCCUCGGCCGAAGCAAACUCAAUAGGUGGAAAAAAUUUCACUGAUAUCUGGGAAAACGGUGGCCGAGGGAUGGCCCAUGAAAUUAUAAAGAAAAACGAAAAAGAUAUUCACGACACUCGAGAGUCAAUAAAAGAAGCUGAAAAGGCUGCGGAGCUUGAGAGACGAAUAUGUAUUACUUAAUGGUUUUUAACUUUGUUGUUUAUUUUUGUGACUUUGAACUGAUUUAUGUUUUCUACCUUAGCUGAACUAUCUCCUCCCCCAGCGCCCUUAGAGUCAUUGGCCGACCCAGAGGCAAAGGAAUCAACAGAACUUAUUAACAUGGCCGAAACUAUUGUAGACGAAGUCGUUACCCAACUGCUGACCGAAUUUGCACAUAAAGUUUUGAAGGAAGAAGAGUAGCUAUUGUAAAAACAUUGCUAGAAUAUUAAUGUAACAUUUGCCGGACUAUGCUUGUAAUAUUUGGUGCUCCUAGGUUUUGAAUGUAAUAUAUGAAUGGUUUUGUAAUUCAUUUCUUUGCGAUGCAUGAAACUUUUAUGUACAUACCGUUUUUGAGCCUUCGGCGAAAAAACACCUUCCCUUCUUUUCAUGUUCGUAAAGAAGAGCUUUUAUGCUUCGUAAAAAAUCCUCCAAUCGUCGCAAAAACAUUAAUGCUUCGUCAACAACAGAUUUUUCCUCCACAUCAGAGCUGAUGAAGCUGUAUUUCUUCAAAACUUAUUUUGUGCCUUAGCACAAUUUCACUUUUUUCGAAGCAUUCUUCGAAGGUCAACAUUGUAUCCCCUUCUUGUGCCAUUGAUGCAAUAUGAUGUAUGAUGUUAUGUUAUGUGAAAUGAUGUGAUGAUGUUAUGUUAUGCAAAAUGAUGUUUAUGCCGAAGACACACACUCACACCCCCAUAGUGGAAUACACAAUCUCUUUGCCGCUUAUUUUUCGGCUUCACCGCUUAUUUUUCGGUGUAUCAGCGCUGACUUUUCACUGUAAGUUCUGCAUUCCCUUAGGAACGUCUUUUGAACUUCUUCACCUUCUAUUUCGGCGGUAUUCGCGUUGACUUUUCGCGCUUCGCCUUAUAUUUCGGCGGUAUUUGGCUCUGCAUUCCCUUUGGAAUGACUUUUGAGCAGAAAACUUACACUGCGCUCCCUUAGGAACGACUUUUUGUAGCUUCGGCAAACUUACGCUGCGUUCCUUAGAACGACUUUUUUGUGGCUUCGGUGAUACUUGUAAUGUGAUUUUUAGCCCCGCGUUCCCUUAGGAACGACUUUUGUGCUUCAGUGACUUUUUGAACUUCGUGAGUCUGUGGAGAAGAUAUAUUUCACUAUGGCAAGAACGAAGUUAUUACAAGAAAUCAAGAGAGCUAGGUUUUCAAUAAUUGUUCCUUAUUAAAAAGGAAGUGAUAAUGAAUGUAAAAACUGCUUCAGGGGUAGGAUAUCUCUCAAUAGAUAUGCUUCGAUUCUAGCACAGUACUGUUGGCUGUGCGAGCUUCGGACUCCUCCCUGAAAUCUCGUUGCUGAUGGGUCUGUUGGCUCCCUUCUGGCUGCUGGCCUCGUGAAUAUGCAGGUUGUAGUGGUGGCAGAGGUGGAGGCUGUGGCCAAGAUGCAUGUGGCUGGCUAGCCGAAGCAACAGAAGCUGCAGGAUGGUUACCCACAUACUCUGGUAUGUAGGGUGAGUGAUACGAAGCAGUGUGCAUGACCUGCUUCGGCUGGUUCUGCUGAGCUGCGGCUUCUGCUAAUUCCUUUUGUUUCUGAAUGGUGACAUGGCACAUCCUUGUAGUAUGGCCCUUGUCCUCACCACAGAAUAAGCAAUUUUCCUAGGUUGAUCCCCAAACCUUCCUCCGAAGCCCCUGGCACCUCUGCCUCUUGGAGUUGGCGGCCGAAAAUAGGUUUGUUGCUGCCCCGAAACUUGCGAGGAAUAUUGUGGCUUCUGUUGCUGACUUCCUCUGUCGUCAUUCUGGGUGGAGUGGAUUGAUCUGACAUGCCUUGGGUGGAUUCUUCCUCCGAAGCCCCUGGUCAUCUCAGAGAACCUGUAGGCUUCCUCCCUUCUUUGGCGAAAGUCAUUGUCAGCCCGGAUGUAUUCAUCCAUCUUUUGAAGCAGCUUCUCCAAAGUCUGUGGAGGCUUUCUAGCAAAAUACUGGGCAGUAGGUCCUGGAUGAAGCCCCUUGAUCAUGGCCUCAAUGACAAUUUCAUUGGGCACAGUAGGCACUUGUGCUCUCAGACGCAAGAACCUUCAGACGUAUGCCUGGAGAUACUCCUCAUGAUCUUGCGUGCAUUGAAACAGAGCCUGAGCUGUGACUGGCUUCGUCUGAAAGCCCUGGAAACUUGUCACCAGCAUGUCCUUGAGCUUCUGCCAUGAAGUGAUGGUCCCUGGCCGAAGAGAAGAAUACCACGUUUGAGCCACAUUCUUAACUGCCAUGACGAAGGACUUGGCCAUGACAGCUGCAUUGCCUCCGUAUGAAGAUAUAGUUGCUUCAUAACUCAUCAAAAACUGCUUCGGGUCUGAAUGCCCAUCAUACAUUGGAAGCUGAGGUGGCUUGUAUGAUGGGGGCCACGGGAUAGCCUGCAGUUCUGCUGCCAAGGGAGAAGCAUCAUCAAAAGUAAAGGUAUCAUGAUUAAAAUCAUCAUACCAUCCAUCGUCGUUGAACAAGCCCUCUUGAUGAAGCUCCCUGUGUUGGGGCCUUCGAUCUUGCUCGUCUUGAGCAAGGUGGCGUACUUCUUCAGUGGCUUCGUCAAUCUGCCUUUGAAGGUCAGCUUGUCGGGCCAUCUUCUCCUUCUUCUUUUGCACUUGCUGAUGAAGCAUCUCCAUGUUUCUGAUUUCUUGGUCCAACUCGUCCACCUGGGGUGUUGGACUAGUGGCCUUCCUCUUCUGGCUUCGGGCCUCUCGAAGAGAAAGGGUCUCCUGAUUUGGGUCCAGUGGCUGCAGAGCGGCAGCCCCUAGCGCUGAAACUUUCUUCGGUGGCAUGACGAAGGUCAAUGCUUGCCGAAGGUGGUCGAAAAGAGUUCACCCCACGGUGGGCGCCAAUGUUGGGGACUUGUUCUCAAAUGCUAUGAGUUAGGAACAAGGCAACAUAAGAAAUGUUAAACGUUAAUGCCCUUCGUCCUUCGAGACAUUAUUUCCCUUAGGAUAUAAUGAUCUUCAGACGAAGGUCAUGAAGGACAUACCUUCAUCAUUGCAAUAUACGAUAAUAAAAGGAGAAUCAUAUAGAAUGUAAGAGACAACAUGAAUAAGUAUGUAAUAUUAUCAGCACAUUUCUAUUUUAUUAUCAUGGACAAAUAGAAAUGAUAUCAAAUUACAAAUGUACCUUCAGCUUGAUGGAAGGUAAAAGUACAAGUGUGACACACGAUCAAAUACAAGUCAGCGUGAACAGUACGGGAGCACUGUUCAUCUAUUUAUAGGCACGGGACACAGCCCAUGUAAAAUUACACCCAUGCCCUUUACAUUUGCUAAUGACUCUAUAGUGAUCCAUCGAGGUCUAAAUGGCCUUUUCCCUUUUAAGUCAGUUCCCUUUUCCGCUGUUAUGCCGAAGCUCCCUUGUGCGUAGCUUCAGCGCUACGUCAACCUUCGUAUUCUUUGUGCUUCUCACACUGUGGUUCUGAUCCGAGUCCGAAGGUACCUGUUCAUGUAUCAUACUCCAGAAACAUUGUUAAAUCAUGUUUUUGAGGACCUUCGGAAGACGAAGGCCCCCGACAACCAAGCCACUAGAUGAGAAAACUUUUACCAAUCUUAGGCAUGAGCUAAACAUUCUAGAUUCUAGGAAUUUUGAUUGAUAUUUUGCACACAUAGCUUAUUUCAAUACCUUUGAUCAUAUCUCUUUCAUGUGCUAUGACUAAUGUGGUUUUCAAGUAUAUUUCAUGCUAAGUCAUAGAUUGAAAGGAAAAUGGAGUCUUCGGCGAAGAAAAGGCUUCCACUCCAUCGAAUUAUUCAUCCUUCGCCGACACUCCACAUCGCUCUCCAAUUUGGUAUAAUCUUCACUCCUACAUUAUUUACCAAAGGGGGAGAAAGUUUGAAAAAGGGCUUAUAUUUUCACUCACAAGUAUCCGUUUUUGGCGAUUCAUGCCAAAGGGGGAGAAAGUAUUAGCCCAAAGCAAAAGGACCGCACCACCACCAAUUUCAAAAAUGAAGUCUUUUAAAUUUGUACUAAAAGAAGGUUUUUCAAUUGGUAUCUUAUUUUUGAUAGAAUUUUCAAAUUGGUAUAACCCAUUUCAAAAUUAAUAUCUAAAACUCUCUUGAACAAUAAGAGGAGAAUUUCAUUAAGGGGGAGUUUUGUUUAGUCAAAGGAAAAGCAUUUGAAACAGGGGGAGAAAAUUUCAAAUCUUAAAAAUGCUUCUCAAAAUCUUACUCAUUUACCUUUGACUACUUGCAAAAAGACUUUGAAAAGAAUUUCCAAAAGAGUUUGCAAAAACAAAACAAGUGCUGCAAGCGUGGUCCAAAAUGUUAAAAUAGAAGAAAGCAUCCAUGCAUAUCUUAUAAAAUGUAUAUUGGUUUAAUUCCAAGUAACCUUUGCACUUUCAUUAUGCAAACUAGUUCAAUUCUGCAAUUAUAUAUUUGCUUUGGUUUGUGUUGGCAUCAAUCAUCAAAAAGGGGGAGAUUGAAAGGGAAAUAGGCUUACACCUUUUCCUAAAUGGUUUUGGUGGUUGAAUUGCCCAACGCAAAUAAUUGGACUAACUAGUUUGCUCUAGAUUAUAAGUUCUACAUGUGCCAGAGGUUCAACACAAACCAAUAAAAAGUCCAAGAAAGGGUUCAAAUAAAAAGAGCAAAAGACAACCGAAUGCUGCCCUGGUCUGGCGCACCGGACAGUGUCCGGUGCACCAGGGAGAUUCACUCCAAACUUGCCACCUUUGGGAAUUUGGGAAGCCACUCCGCUAUAAUUCACCGGACUGUCCGGUGUAGCACCGGACUGUCCAGUGUGCCAAGCGGAGCAACGGUCGUUAGCGCAACGGUCGAGUUGAACGGUCGGCUCACAACGCUACAGUGCGCGUACUGCGCGCGCAGAAGUUAGAGCAGGUGCAGAUGGCGCAUCGGACAGUGAACAGGACCUGUCCGGUGCACCACCGGACUAUCCGGUGGCCCACAUGUCAGAAGCUCCAACGGUCGAACCCUAACGGUUGGGUGACGUGGCUGGCGCACCGGACAGUGGCCGGUGGCGCACCGGACUGUCCGGUGCGCCCAUCGACAGUAGAGUUCCCCAACGGCCACUUUGGUGGUUGGGGCUAUAAAUACCCCCCAACCACCACACUUCAAUGCAUCCAAGUUUUCAGCCAUCAAACCUCAUACAAGAGCUCUAUACUUCAUUCCAAGACACAAACAAAGAGAUCAAAUCCUCUCCCAAGUCCGGAAUCACUUCAAACAAAUUAGUGACUAGAGAGAGAGACUUUUGUGUUCUUUUGAGCUCUUGCGCUUGGAUCGCUUUUCUUCUUCCUCCUUUCUUGUUCUCAACUCAAUUGUAAUCAAAGCAAGAGACACCAAGUUGUGGUGGUCCUUGUAGUGGACUAAGUGUCCUGUUUGAUUGAAGAGAAAAGCUCACUCAGUCUAGGUGACCGUUUGAGAGAGGGAAAGGGUUGAAAGAGACCCGGUCUUUGUGACCACCUCAACGGGGAGUAGGUUUGCAAGAACCGAACCUCGGUAAAACAAAUCAUCGUGUUCAUUCGUUUUAUUUCUUUGUUGAUUUGUUUUCCCUCUCUUUCGGACUCGAUUAUAUUUUUAACGCUAACCCCGACUUGUUGUUGUGCUUAAACUUUAUAAAUUUCAGAUUUGCCUAUUCACCCCCCCUUUAGGUGACUUUUAGUCUCAACACCUCCUCUCUCGUACGAUGCGCUUUACCAUGGAAGAUCCACCGAGUAUAGUCUGGCGUAAAUCUGAUCUUCCAAAUAUGUUCUACCAUGGCCUUCUUUGAUUUUCUUUUCCGGUUGGCACAUUUGCUGCACGGGCAUGGGACUAGACUCGCUCCUUUAGCAGCUUUGCCAUAUGCCCGUUCCACAAAAGCAUCGGUCUUUCUAAUCCAUUCAGGGGUGACAUCAUUCCUACUUACACGGCAUGUGUACAUCCACUCACGGUCUUCCAUCCUCUAACAUAUGUAACCGAGUAUAGUUUAAUAUAAACAUGUAAUGCAUGUACGCUAUGUUCCUACCUUAUAAUAGGUGAGUAUAGUUCUUAAUCUCACUCGCGGUUGCGUAGACGAAGUUAGUUUCCAUGCUCUACUUCGAUCCAAGACAGAGUUCCGGCAGCACCUCCCCGUUGUUCUCCGGAUACACGCCCUAGCAGGUAGAAUGUACUGUCCGGAGAUCAACAUGGAGGUGAAACCGAAACUCUGUCUCGGACCGGAGUAGAGCAUGGAAACUAAUACCAGGGCGACGGUGGAGUAGGGAUAGCGGGGCUGUGGCGGGUCGGUGCAGUGGCGACGUGUCGCAGUGCAGGUUCUAGUGUGGCGGCAAGGAAUACCUCUGCAAAAAAAAAUUAACACAAGUUUAUCAACAAAAAAAUCGGCAGGACUUCCCCUGCACGAGGAGGUUGCAAAAAACCAGCAAAUAAAACUAACAGCACGAUGGCUGACAUCCACACAUAUACUAGCAAAAAAUAGACUUGCGUGUGUUAUUUACAAUUGUGUUAGUUACACACAAUCUAUUGAUGCCAUAUUUGUUGUGUACUAGCGAUUGGCAAGAAGAAUCAACUUUUAGGCACUAAAACAUCUAGUGGGUUCAAAUUAAAGAACUUCUUCUAUUAAUUACAGAACCACCCCAUCGGCCGACCAGGAUCCAAAUUAAAGAACUUCUUCUUCUAUUAAUUAUAGUAUAUUAUAAUUACCAAGUCUCUUCUUAUAUUUACAUGUUCAUUUGCUUGCUUCUUGCAUAACAUAACGGCGAUCGAUGAUGACCAUCGUUAGUUUUAGUCCUACGUGUAUUUGAUUCAAUCCCUCCAUGUUCAUAGUAUAAAUUCAACCAAACCUAAAUAAGUUUCAGUCAGCUUGAUCUUAAAAUUGCAUCAUACACACACAUACAUAGUCUUACUAGAAGUAAGCAAUUUCUUUUAAACUAAUUUCCAGCCAACAUUGAUGAAUGAACUAGAAUGUGGCUAUAACCGAGACCUGUGUGGGUGGUGCUGGAGAUGGGGACGUUGGGCCGAGGCUCACCGGCGUCGAGGCCUGUCCGAAGAUGGCCGACCGCCAGGCCGGGGACGGGGCUCGUUGGAGAUGGCCGGGUCGAGCGACGGUGGGGACGUCGGAGGCAGGGAGGAUGGCCGGCACGGUGUCCGGAGCCGGAGGGGAUGACCGGAGAGGAGGAUGGUCGGCGCUUGCUCCGAUGGCGUUGGCGGCGAGUGGCGUUGGCGGAGGGGACGACUGGUUAGGGCUAUGUACACAGACUUUGCCGAGUGCCAUAUCACGGGCACUCGGCAAAGAUUUUUUUUAAAUUUAAAAAUAAACUUUGCCGAGUGUCACAGAUCACUGACAGGCACUUGGCAAAGAUUGUUUUAAUUUUUUUAAAAAAACUUUACAGAGUGUCCCACGGCAGGCACUCGACAAAGAAUGCUUUACUGACUGCCUUAUUUUGACACUCGACAAAGAAUUCUUUGCCAAGUGCCCGAUAAAAAGCACUUGGCAAAGCACCGAGCACUCGGCAAAGAGCCGGAUUCCGGUGUGGUUGUUUCAUGGAAGUUGUAAGUAGACCAUCUUAACAAGGUCAACAAUAGAAGUACAACUCACAACAUUAGAUACUGCCAAAGUUAAUGUUGAGAGGCUUCGUGAACUCCUUAUGGAUUUACUAGUAGUUGAAAAACCAAUACUGGUUAUCUAUAUGAGCUAUAAUAAUUAAACAUUGGUAAUCAAAGUGAACAAUUCUUAGGUUAACAUGAAGACUACAAAGCAUGUCAAGAACGGUUGAAACUGUUAAAACACUAAGAAACUCUAGAUUAAUUGUGUUGGACUAUGUCCAUACUUCUAAGAAUUUGGUAUGCCAGUUUAUAGAAGAUUUGUCACAUAAUGUGAUAGAUGGUGCAUCGAGAAAGAUGGACUUGAGACCCACUUAAUGCCAUUCCAUAGUAGUAGCAUUUUCUAUGUGAUUGGAGAUCUCAUGAAGUAAAAUGGUGAAAUAAGCUAGAGAAUGACUGAUGGAGAGACUCCUUAAAUAAAAUCUAGGUAAUUUCAUAUGAACAUUUCUCCUUCGAUGUACGAUAGGCUAACUAAAAUCUUAAUAUGAUUUGAGUGACAUAUCUAAGCAGGGAUGUUAUCUUAUAGAACAUCCUAUAAGGAACACACCUAUAUGACUUUGACUACUAAUCACAGUCUAUGAUAUGUGGGAAAUAUUUUUUUACUCAUGAAAGGCCUCGAAGUUUGACUUAUAUGCUUCAAACCAAUGGAUAACUGAUUGAAUCUGUUUCAGACAGCAGCAUAGUUAACUUCAAAAUUCUAUAUCUCCCAAACUUCUCAACCAAAAAUUAUUAAAUUAUGCUGACAGUAAGAACUUUUAUCCCUCUACAAAAGUCUCCAUAGUUGGAAGAGCCAAUUCGGCCAUUUACUAGAUGAAACCUACCAGUUAACAGACCCGCUCAUUUUUGUCAGGCAAACAAGAACCCUUAUAUAUCAAAGAGUAGUGGAUUUGAAUUUGUCUAAUAUGAAGUUUAUGGGCUUGGAUCAUUUAAAGUAUUUUAUAAUUCUGAAAGACAAGAUUAAACUAACUAUGUAUGAUCCUUUAGCACCGUACAGAUGGUCGAUGGGACAGUUACAUGGUUUAUAUAGAUGGACCUAUCUAUAUUCCUUCAGUGGUUGAGAACAAGGUAAAGGUGUGUCACACUCACGCGUGCGCCGCCUCCGCCGAGACGAGGCAUGGCGUUGCAGGGUGAGGCAUGGCAUGGUGCAGCACGAUCGCAGUCAUGGUCGUGGCACAGUGUAGCACUGUUGUGGAUAGAUAGAUAAACUAUUGUUGUAGUUAGAGUGCAUGAGUUUUUGAAUGCAACACUAGAAUUUUCACAAUUUAACUUAAUUAAGAAGUUAUAUCUUGAUGACACAGAGUUACCUGACCAUUGAUCUCACAUGCCCUUUUAGCUCUCUCGUACUCUAGACUUACCCUGACUAUUUAGGUCUCCUGACUCGCCAAUAUAAACACCAUCCUAUCAUUUGCUGUCGAAUACUUCUGUGUCACAACUCAACUGUCAGAUGAGUACUCCAUUACAGCACUGAGCAGGCCUCCGAAAUGAAUAUCUACUCAGAUGAAGGACGACAAUCGUGUUCUAGGGAAAUAUCAGCGACACAACUCCUUACUUCCUCCGCUUCUUCCUAGUGUUUUUUGUUGUGAUUGAGUCGACAUAGCAACAACACUGCACUAUUACAACCAGUACGACUAUAUCAACUAGCAAUGUCUUCCUUAUAUGUUACUAUUUAUUUUGCUCAUAUUCAUUAUGUUUAAAUCACAUAGGCGCCUUUAUGUUGGCAUCAAAAAAUCAGUAUCAACUUUAUAGAUUAAAAUGAAACUAAAAGUACCUAAAUUUCUAUCGGUGGGGAUCGAGUGAUUCUUUAAACCGAUUAUUACACAAGUUAACCACACUAAAAUUAACAAUGGUGAAUCGUGCCAUGAUUUUUUUCUAGUGGAAAAUAGCCAAACCAAGCAACACAUAUGUGGCUAUCGUUACACAUGUGUAAAGGUAUUGCAUCACACCAUUGUCACCCAUGUAUGUGGACAAUACCGAGAGGAAAAACCACUUAUUUAUUGUAUUUUAUCAAGUUUGUCUUGCUUACGUAUAAAUUAUAACCCAACAAAGUAAUCACUAAAUGUCAAAACCAACUAGAUACCAUGUCAUCUCUACCUUAUCUUACUAAUAUUCUUUUUGCAAAAUCCAAAAUUAAUCUUGCACAAGCACAAGGACUGAGAUGUGUAUAAAUAUCUCUUAAAUUAGUAGCUAAUAUAUCGCACAUAUUAUUGAGACCAACUAGCAACAUAGAAAGCACAAUAGUGUACCAACAAUGGCAGCCAAAAUAUUUUGCCUCCUUAUGCUCCUUGGUCUUUCUGCAAGUGCUGCUACGGCGACCAUUUUCCCGCAAUGCUCGCAAGCUCCUAUAGCUUCCCUUCUUCCCCCGUACCUCUCACCAGCGGUGUCUUCGGUAUGUGAAAACCCAAUUCUUCAACCCUACAGGAUCCAACAGGCAAUCGCAGCUGGCAUCUUACCUUUAUCACCCUUGUUCCUCCAACAAUCAUCAGCCCUAUUACAACAGUUACCUUUGGUGCAUUUAUUGGCACAAAACAUCAGGGCACAACAACUACAACAACUUGUGCUAGCAAACCUUGCUGCCUACUCUCAGCAACAGCAGUUUCUUCCAUUCAACCAACUAGGUUCAUUGAACUCUGCUUCUUAUUUGCAACAACAACAACUACCAUUCAGCCAGCUACCUGCUGCCUACCCCCAGCAAUUUCUUCCAUUCAACCAACUAGCAGCAUUGAACUCUCCUGCUUAUUUACAGCAGCAACAACUACUACCAUUCAGCCAGCUAGCUGGUGUGAGCCCUGCUACCUUCUUGACACAACCACAGUUGUUGCCGUUCUACCAGCACGUUGCGCCUAACGCUGGCACCCUCUUACAACUGCAACAAUUGCUGCCAUUCAACCAACUUGCUUUGACAAACCCAGCAGUGUUCUACCAACAACCCAUCAUUGGUGGUGCCCUCUUUUAGAUUUCUUAUGAGUUAUAGUUCAAUAAUAAAGUUUUUUAUCUGAUGUUUGUGGCUUCCCAGAAAUAAGAAAGUACAUUUCUAGAUUCUUAUGUGCUUCUAGUCUUCAAAUGUGGUUGAUAGUUAUUGUUGGGGACUUGUUCUCAAAUGCUAAGAGUUAAGAACAAGGCAACAUAAAAAUGUUAAAUGCUAAAGUCCUUCGUCCUUCGAAGCAUUAUUUCCCUUAGGAUAUAAUGAAUUUCGGACGAAGGCUAUGAAGGACAUACCUUCAUAAGCACAACGAAUGAUGAAGAAGAAUUCAUAUAAAUUAUGAGAUAUAACAUAAACAUUUAAACAUUAUUAUUAACUCAUUUCUAUUGACUUGUCAGGGAAAAAUAGAAAUGAUAAUAAAUUACAAAUAUACCUUCGGCUUGAGAGAAGGUAAAGGUACAAGCGUGAGGCAAAAGCAAAUGCCAAGUCAGCGUGAACAGUACGGGAACACUGUUCAUCUAUUUAUAGGCACGGGACGCAGCCCAUGCAAAAUUACAUCCAGGCCCUUUGCUUUUGACAAUAACUCUAUAGUAAUCUAUCUGGGUCUAGAUAGUCUUUUCCUCUUUAAGUCGGUUUCCUCUUUUCUGCCAUCAUACCGAAGCUCCCUUGCGCACAGCUUCGGCUCUGCUCCAUCCUUCGUAUUGUUUCCGUGCUUCUUCAUACCGUGGGCUCUUGUUCGAAGAUCCCUAUCCACACAUUAUACUCCAGAGGCAUUGUUAAAUCAUGUUUUUGAGGACCUUCGGAAGUCGAAGGCCCCCAACAGUAGCCCCUCGCAAUAUUAAUUUAUUAGAAUGAUAAAUUUAGAUCGCGACAUGGACGAAGGCCUUAAGCCGAAGGUCCGAAAAAACACCUUCCCUUUGCUAGAAUAGCAACAAUCAAUGACAAGCGGGGCCCUUUCCCUUGCAACACACUAGGCGUAUAAAUAAGAGCAUACCGCGAGCGGAUUUGGCACGCUUUUUGCCAUCUGCUCUUGCUCACCCAACUUUUAGCCCUUGCACACCAACACCUGCUUGGCCUUUUUUUAAAAAAAUUUAAGCUUCGGUUUCGAGAGCACUUUCUCAGCAUUUUCGAAGAUGUCUGAAGAUAAGAAAGUUGUCGCUGAGUCGAAGCUGAGACUUUCUGAGGAGAUGAAUCUCGGCUUUCUUGAAUCAAUAGCGAAGACAAAUACAGAGAAGAUUACUAGGGAGAUUUUAGAAGGUUUAUCUGAAGACACUGGUGACAGUGACAGUUAUGAUGUGGAAAGUGGUGGUGAAGAUUCCGAAGAUCGACCCUGGUGACCAAGCCAUGCAGUUUUUGGAAAAUCAAGCAUUAAACUAAGCCAUCUUGUUAAUAUGAGGGGCAGAUAUUUUCGGGAUUUAUCUAUUGUGAGGGCUGAUGAAGGAGAAAAAACUUGUCCUACUCCUGAGGAAAAUGAAGUCGUGAUAUUCCGAAGCUUCUUCAAGGCUGGGCUUCGGUUUCCUUUAAGCGGUUUCGUGGUUGAAGUUUUGAAGAUUUUUGAAAUCUACCUCCAUCAAAUUACUCCUGAAGCAAUCAUAAGGAUGGGAAUCUUCGUAUGGGCUGUGAAGAGCCAAGGUUUGGAGCCGAAUGCAAAAAGUUUCUGCAAUAUGCAUGAGCUAUUAUACGAGACGAAACCUUGGGGUAAAGAGAAAUAUCAUAACAAUUUUGGCUGCUACAGCUUCGGCGCCCGCUCUGGGUCAAGCUGUCCCGUGCCAACUUUUUGGAAGAGAUGGCCCGGGGACUCGAUGAAGGAAUGGUGUUAUGUAAAAAACGACUUGAAAACGCGAGAAGGUAUUAAAGAUAUCAUCAUGCGCCCCAUCUGGCAGCGUUUCGGCCUUCGGAAACCGAAGGUGGAUAUUGACGAAGCAACCGAAGAAUGCCAGAGGGCCUUCGGCGUAGUUUGCUCUUUCAUCGGGACAAGGGAUUUGAUCCAGGAACAUAUUUCCUUCAGAGUAUGGCCACUUGUAGAAAAGUGGGAAAUGCCGAAGGAAACCAUCAGCAAACCUGAUGAAGUGGACUAGUUAGGUUAAAAUAUACCUUCAGAUAUGGAGAUAAGUUUGUGGAGCCAGAUGAUGACUGGCUGAAAUGUAUUGAGGCCACAAGCGAUGAACUGCUUGGGCCAUAUUCGAAGACAGAAGAUACUGCACUGUCCGCGGCCUUCGGAGGUCGGAAGAAGAGACUCAACCGAGUGUUUGAUGCCAUUGGGUUCGUCUAUCCUGACUACCGUUACCCAACACAGGGUCAGAAAGGGAAAGAUACGACUUCUGUGAAGAAAGUUGCUUCAGCCGCUCCUAGUGAGCCGGCGCCGAAGAGGAAAAAGAUGAAGGUUCUUACGCACCGGCCACGCUAUAUUGAACCGGCCACAGUGCCUGAGUUUGUCGGUGAGACCUCUUCGGCCACCGAAGCCAAGGAGCCGACUCUCCUGCCGAAUAUUGAAGAGCCGGCCAAAAUGCCGGCAAUGGAAAAAAUAGAAGAACCGAGGGCUGAAGAGACAAAGACAUCGGAAAAGAAUGGUUAACGUGCUAAUGCCGAAUAUUGAAGUCCUUCAGCAAGAAUCGAGGUGCUAAUGCCAAUGCCGAUGGCACAAAAAGACCUUACGACAACCCCCAAGAGGAAAAGAAUGGUUAACGUGCUAGAUGUACUGGAAACGAUAAAAUCUUCAAGCUCUACUCCGAAGAUAGCUACUGAAGUUCCAAAGACACAAACUGAGGCCAAAGCUGCCAAAAGUCAAGCGGAAACUGAAACUGGGCUUUCAGAGCCUACCAAGAGGGAAUUCUUGGAAAUUGAAAAAGAAACGGAAAAAGAAUCUGCAGAAGAAACUUUUUCUGAGAAAAUCGUCACACAUAUUCCCGAAGCAUCUUCUGAAGCUUCUGACUAUGUAUUACGUCAUGCUUCGGGUAAAAAUCUGAGCGAAAAAGAAAAAAGAGAAGCUCAAUUCUAUGCGCAAAAAUUGAAAUAUCCAAAAGGGGCGCUGAUAUUCAACGGCAGCGGAGAAGAAGACUUCUUGUAUUGUCUCCCUCAUAGCAAGGAGAUUUCUGUCUGUCGGGAGAUGAGCAAAAGCUUCGGAUUCCCAACAUUAGAAGACGGGCUCUUGGUGUUGUCAAAGGACGAGCUAGCCGACAGCUUAGCGUAUAAUAGUUUAAAGGUGAAGAAAAUGAGAUCUUUGUAUUAUUUCUUGAAACCAAAAUUUUUCAUUUGCUUAAACUUAUUAACGCAUUUUUUUACAGGGUCUUAUACUUAGCAAUGCCCUCAGGGCACAAAAGAAUGACGAAGACGAAGGGUGCGCCAUAGCCCUGAGCAACCUUCGUUCCGAAGUAAUUGAUCUAAGGAACGAAGGUCUCGAAAAAGAUAAAAUAUUACAUUCGUUGGUGAAUAAAAUAAAAGAAGAUGAAGCUACUUUCAAAGCUCAAGCUGAGGCUCAGAAGCACGAAAUUGAGAAUCUUCGGAAACAACUAGCCAGAGCUACAGAAGAAUACACAAUUGAAGAAACAAAACGAGAAAUUAGUGAACAAUGGGCAAAUCAUUUAGAAAAAAACGUUGAAGAGCUUCGUGCGUCCAAGAAAAGGUGUUAUGAAAAAUCUAUAGAAUGUGUUAAGAAAAUAAGAACCAGCUUCACCAACGUUGGCGCGUUUUCAAGUGAAGAAAAUUUCAUGAGGGGUGACCCCGAAAGCCCAAUUGGAUGGAUCAGCCACGAAGCUGAAGCUUUUGAAUAGCCGUGGAGACAUAUGUGCCUUCUCGGGUGCCAGGGGGAUUGCCGCUGUUUUGGAGAAGAAAGGUUGCGAUCACGUGAAAUCCCUGGCACAGACCGAAGCCGUUUUAUCCUCUGAAGACAUAAAAGACCCUUCGGCCGAGGCGAGUUUGGUUGGUGGGAAAUUUUUCACCGACAUCUGGGAAAACGGUGGCCGGGAGAUGGCUCAAGAAAUUAUACGGAGAAGCGAGAAUGGUAUACAUGACGCUAGAAAAGUAGCAGAGGCCGCUGAGAAAAGUGUGGAUCUCGAAGGGCGAAUAGGUAUUAACUAGUAAUUUUUGGCUUUUUGUUGUAACCUUUUGAUUUUGAACUUGUUUACACUUUGUAACAUGGUCGCACCUUCUCCUCCCUCAGAGCCUGCCGAGCCAUCGACAGACCCCCACGUAAAGGGGGAUGACGAGAUUAGAAGAAUGGCUGAAGCUAUCAUGGACAAAGUUGUUGAUCAAUUACUAAACGAAGCUGCAGAAAUAGUUCUAAGGGAAGAUUAGAUGUUAUUGUAAAAACAUUUGGAAUGUAAUAUUUGUUGAACAAUAUGUGUAAUAUUUUGUAACUUUGAAUGUAAUAUAUAAUCUAUUUGUGGUUCAAUUCUUUACGAUGCAUGAAACUUUACAUACAUACCGUUUUUGAGCCUUCGGCGAAAAAACACCUUCCCUUCUUUUCAUGCUUCGUAAAUAAUAUCCGUAUAUCAUAAAAACAUCCAAUUUUCGUAAAAUCAGUAACCAAUAGAUCUUUUUAUUUCAUAAAAACAUCCAAUCUUCGUAAAAUCAGUAACCAAUCUUCGUAAAGGCAUGCUUCUUCAAUAAUUAUUUUUGUGCCUUGGCACUGUUUCUUCGAAACAAUCUCCGAAUAUCAACAUUGAAACCCCCUUCUUGCGUCAUUGAUGCAAUAUGAUGUAUGAUGUUAUGCUAUGCAAAUGAUGUGAUGAUGUGAUGUUAUGCAAAAUGAUAUUUGCCGAAGAUCAACGUUUAUUUUUCACUGCAAGCCUCCCUUAGGAGCUUCUUCGCCUUUUACUUCAGCGGAAUCAGCAUUUAUUUUUCGCUGUAAGCCUCCCUUAGGAGCUUCUUCGCCUUUUACUUUCAGCGGAAUCAGCGUUUAUUUUUUGCUGUAAGCCUCCCUUAGGAGCUUCUUCGCCUUUUACUUUCAGCGGAAUCAGCGUUUAUUUUUCGCUGUAAGCUCUGCAUUCCCUUCGGAACGACUUUUGAGCAGAAAACUUACGCUGCGCUCCCUUAGGAACGACUUUUUGUUAUUUCGGAGAUUCUCCUUGUAACCAUAAAUUCUUAUGCUUCGGCAACUCUGUUAUUUUGUGGAGAAGGUAUAUUUUUACUGUGGCGAAAACGAAGCUAUUACAAGAAAUUGAAAACGACAAAAAGCACUUAGGCUUUCAAUAAUUGUUCCUUAUUAAAAAGAAAAUGAUACUGAAUGUAAAAACUACUGCCGAGGUAGGAUAUUUGUUAGUAAAUAUGCUUCGAUUCUGGCACAGUACUAUUGACUGUGCGAGCUUCGGACUCUUCUCUAAAGUCCCGUUGAAGGUGGAUAUGCUGACUCCCUUCUGGCUGCUGGCUUUGUUGCAUUGGUGGUGGAGGUGGAGGCUGCUGCCAAGAUGCCUGAGGUUGGCUUGCCGAAGCAACAGAAGCUGCAGGGUGGUUGCCUACAUACUCUGGAAUGUAAGGCGAAUGGUAUGAAGCAGUGUGCAUAACUUGCUUCGGCUGGCUCUGUUGGGCUGCAGCUUCUGCUAUCUCCUUUUGUUUCUGGAUGGUAACAUGGCACAUCCUGGUGGUAUGGCCCUUGUCCUCUCCACAGAAUAGGCAAUAGAUCUUCCUGGGCUGAUCCCCAAAUCUUCCUCCGAAGCCCCUGGCACCUCUACCCCUUGGAGCUGGAGGCCGAGGAUAGCUCUGCUGCUGCCCCGAAGCCUGGGAGGAAUAUUGCGGCCUCUGCUGCUGGCUUCCCCUGUCAUCAUUCUGAGUGUUAUGAAUCGAUCUGACAUGUCUAGGGUGAACUCUCCCUCCGAAGCCACUGGCUAUUUUGGAGAACCUGUAAGCUUCCUCCCUUCUCUAUCGGAAGUCGUUGUCAGCGCGGAUGUAUUCGUCCAUCUUCUGAAGCAGUUUCUCCAGAGUCUGAGGGGGCUUCCUGGCAAAGUACUGGGCUGAAGGUCCUGGCCGAAGCCCCUUAAUCAUGGCCUCAAUGACAAUUUCAUUGGGCACUGUUGGUGCUUGUGCCCUCAGGCGUAAGAACCUUCGGACAUACGCCUGAAGAUAUUCUCCGUGGUCUUGGGUGCACUGGAAUAAGUCUUGAGCGGUGACCGGCUUCGUUUGAAACCCUUAGAAACUGGUGAUCAGCAUAUCCUUCAGCUUCUGCCAUGAUGUGAUUGUUCCUGGCCGAAGGGAGGAGUACCAGGUUUGUGCAACAUUCUUGACGGCCAUGACGAAAGACUUCGCCAUGACUGCAAUAUUGCCACCAUAGGAAGAUAUCGUUGCUUCGUAGCUCAUCAGAAACUGCUUCAGAUCUGAGUGUCCGUUGUACAUGGGGAGUUGAGGUGGCUUGUAAGACGGAGGCCAAGGUGUAGCCUGCAGUUCUGGUGAUAGAGGAGAAGCAUCGUCAAAAGCAAAAUUUCCAUGAUGGAAAUCCUCAUACCAGUCAUCCUCGUUGACGAAGCCCUCUUGGUGGAGCUCUCUGUACUGGGGCCUCCGGUUCUAUUCAUCUUGCGUAAGAUGACGAACCUCUUUAGAGGCUUUGUCUAUCUGCCUUUGUAGGUCAGCUAGCCGGGCCAUCUUUUCUUUCUUCUUUUGCACUUGUUGAUGCAGCAUUUCCAUGUUCCUGAUUUCUUGGUCCAAAUCGUCCUCCUGAGGCGUUGGACUGGUGGCCUUCCUCUUCUGGCUUCGGGCUUCCCGAAGAGAGAGAGUCUCCUGGUUCGUGUCCAGCGGCUGCAGAGCCGCAGCCCCUGUUGCUGAAGCUUUCUUUGGCGGCAUGACAAAGGUCGAUGCUUGCCGAAGGUGUUCGAAACUCAAAAAGUGGAAGUGAGUUCACCGGAGGUGGGCACUAAUGUUGGGGACUUGUUCUCAAAUGCUAAGAGUUAAGAACAAGGAAACAUAAAAAUGUUAAAUGCUAAAGUCCUUAGUCCUUCGAAGCAUUAUUUCCCUUAGGAUAUAAUGAAUUUCGGACGAAGGUUAUGAAGGACAUACCUUCAUAAGCACAACGAAUGAUGAAGAAGAAUUCAUAUAAAUUAUGAGAUAUAACAUAAACAUUUAAACAUUAUUAUUAACUCAUUUCUAUUGACUUGUCAGGGAAAAAUAGAAAUGAUAAUAAAUUACAAAUAUACCUUCGGCUUGAGAGAAGGUAAAGGUACAAGCGUGAGGCAAAAGCAAAUGCCAAGUCAGCGUGAAUAGUACGGGAACACUGUUCAUCUAUUUAUAGGCACGGGACGCAGCCCAUGCAAAAUUACAUCCAGGCCCUUUGCUUUUGACAAUAACUCUAUAGUAAUCUAUCUGGGUCUAGAUAGUCUUUUCCUCUUUAAGUCGGUUUCCUCUUUUCUGCCAUCAUGCCGAAGCUCCCUUGCGCACAACUUCUGCUCUGCUCCAUCCUUCGUAUUGUUUCCGUGCUUCUUCAUACCAUGGGCUCUUGUUCGAAGAUCCCUGUCCACACAUUAUACUCCAGAGGCAUUGCUAAAUCAUGUUUUUGAGGACCUUCGGAAGCCGAAGGCCCCCAACAGUUAUUUUGCUCUAAGAUCGGCAGUAAUGAAGUAUAAAUCAUCGUUGUGGUGUGCUACUCGGUUAAUUGAGCAUUAACACACACAAACAUGACGAGGAUGGUAUAAUCUCCAAAAAUGUGUACUUUGUUAGGUGGGACCCUAUAGCCUUGCAGAAUGUGCUAUGUUAGGCAUGCCUGGAAACGUGUGACGCAUACGUUUUGUGAACCUGUUCAUAUUAUAUGUGCUUUUAUAUUAUCGUAUUUUAUUAAAAUACUAAUAUUUAUUACUAGUAAGAUAUAACAUUCUAUCUAGCUUAAAAACUAACCAUAAAUAUUCCAUAAUAACUAGAUUUACCAAACUAAUAUACUAAAUAUACAUAAUAAAUACAAAAUUAACAAGACAAUAAUCAAUAUUUAUGAGCUUAAUAUAUUUAGACAUUAUGGUUGGUCGACGAUAAUCAUGCUAACUUUCCGUAAUUGCUUGAUUGUAAAUAUGCUUAGAAUAAUGCCUCUUUGUUCUACAUGGCAAAUAGGGACCAUUAUGGUGUAACACCCUGGGAUCCACAAACACCCUGAAAUGCUACUAAACUACACAACUAACCUUCAUAUAUUAAAUUUCGACAGCAUCUCCUUUGAAAAUUUGUAUAAACGUGGAAGCAACAGAGUAUAAACAGAUAUGAUGAUAAGGAAACAUAAUAGACAUUAAUAAUCUGCUAGAAAUGGGAAGAUAACCAUAACGACAUAAACUGAAUUAACUAGUGUGCACGGCAUGUUAAAAACAAACAUCGUUGACAAGAAGUUUCUAAUUAAAUCAUGGCUGUGCCUAGGCAGCGUUAUUAUAUGAGUGAAGGUGGACGUGAUGCUACUUCCCUCAUUCCCAACAUGAAUCAAGUACCUGUAUUGAGUAAUGCAAGAGUGAGAUGAAAACAUCUCAGCAAGUAAAUUGUUUUGACGAGAUAUUUAAACCAAAAAAAUUUGAUUUAAUCAACAUUUUAAAGGGAUCACAAUUGAGAUCAGACAUACUUGUAGAUAUAAAACUCAAUAGUCCCAAAAUAACCAAUGCCAUCUCAUUUCCACAAACAACCACAAUAGGUUGUAUAACACUUCCCUGCGUCAUCAAUACCUGCAAAUAUCACUUCAAUGUAUGCAUAGGAAUGCAAUGUUUAAGUCCUCUGCAUUCAUACUUCUUAGAGUAUAAAACCACACCAUCUGCAAAUAUCACUUCAAUGAAUGCAUAUGAAUGCAAUGCAUAUGUCCUCUGCCUUCAUACCUCUAAGGGUAUGAAGACGCAUCGUACCCCUCCUCGGGCAACGUACGAUGCUAAGUUGUACCGGUACGGUCGGACCAUAGGUCACGACAAAACUUCAGAUGCAAGUGAAUCAUGACAUGUAUAUGGCAUGCUGCAUUUAUCAAUAUACUACACUUCCUUCACAUACAAUACAAACCUCAAAUAAUACUUCGUUUACCUUCAGAUACAAUACAAACCUCAAAUAAUACUUCAUUCACCUUCAGGGGUGUUUAUUAAUCUCGUGGGUCAUACUCAAAUCAUCAUCAUCAUCAAUGAUGUUUAAGCAUCAGUAUAAUACAAUCAAGUAAAGCAUCACCAUAGAGUUCAAUUAUGAAAGAAUUCGAUGAUUCUGAAUAUUAGAGUGUAUGCGAUGAAACAACAAAGUCAAAACGGUAGCAACCACCGCUACAUUCACUUGCCUUCAUCGAAGAAGAAAAAGGUACUAGGCAUGAUUCGGAGUGUAGACACCUGCUGUGGGGCUUAAAACUUAGUACAAAUAUUCCACAAACAUUUGCCAACAACUAACAAAUCGCUCCUACACUUGUAACCAAGACCCGGUGGAAUGACUCCCACCCUGAACCACAUGUCAAACAGCAGGAGUGCUGUUUGUUAAUUUUGUAUCUUUAAAAUUAUAACAGUGGUGAUAUCAAACAAAUACUCUAGAAGUUUCUACACAAAAUACUCUACAACUUCGGUAUUCAAUGGAUAAUUAAAUUUUGCCAUCUAUAAGUUCUAAAACAUCUGACAAGAUAACUGACAGAAUCUGUUUCAGACAGCAGCAUAGUUAACUUCAAAAUUCGAUAUCUCCCAAACUCCUCAACCAAAAUUUAUGAAAUUAUGUUGACAGUAAGAACUUUUAUCCCUCUACAAAAGUCUCCAUAGUUGGAAGAGCCAAUUCGGCCAUUUACUAGAUGAAACCUACCAUUUAACAGACCCGCUCAUUUUUGUCAGGCAAACAAGAACCCUUAUAUAUCAAAGAGUAGUGGAUUUGAAUUUGUCUAAUAUGAAGUUUAUGGGCUUGGAUCAUUUAAAGUAUUUUAUAAUUCUGAAAGACAAGAUUAAACUAACUAUGUAUGAUCCUUUAGCACCGUACAGAUGGUCGAUGGGACAGUUACAUGGUUUAUAUAGAUGGACAUAUCUAUAUUCCUUCAGUGGUUGAGAAAAAGGUAAAGGUGUGUCACACUCACGCGUGCACUGCCUCCGCCGAGACGAGGCAUGGCGUUGCAAGGUGAGGCAUGGCAUGGUGCAGCACGAUCGUAUACAUGGUCGUGGCACAGUGUAGCACUGUUGUGGAUAGAUAGAUAAACUUUUGUUGUAGUUAGAGUGCAUGAGUUUUUGAAUGCAACACAAGAAUUUUCACAAUUUAACUUAAUUAAGAAGUUAUAUCUUGAUGACACAGAGUUACCUGACCAUUGAUCUCACAUGCCCUUUUAGCUCUCUCGUUCUCUAGACUCACCCUGACUAUUUAGGUCUCCUGACUCGCCAAUAUAAACACCAUCCUAUCAUUUGCUCUCGAAUACUUCUGUGUCACAACUCAACUGUCAGAUGAGUACUCCAUUACAGCACUGAGCAGGCCUCCGAAAUGAAUAUCUACUCAGAUGAAGGACGACAAUCGUGUUCUAGGGAAAUAUCAGCGACACAACUCCUUACUUCCUCCGCUUCUUCCUAGUGUUUUUUGUUGUGAUUGAGUCGACAUAGCAACAACACUGCACUAUUACAACCAGUACGACUAUAUCAACUAGCAAUGUCUUCCUUAUAUGUUACUAUUUAUUUUGCUCAUAUUCAUUAUGUUUAAAUCACAUAGGCGCCUUUAUGUUGGCAUCAAAAAAUCAGUAUCAACUUUAUAGAUUAAAAUGAAACUAAAAGUACCUAAAUUUCUAUCGGUGGGGAUCGAGUGAUUCUUUAAACCGAUUAUUACACAAGUUAACCACACUAAAAUUAACAAUGGUGAAUCGUGCCAUGAUUUUUUUCUAGUGGAAAAUAGCCAAACCAAGCAACACAUAUGUGGCUAUCGUUACACAUGUGUAAAGGUAUUGCAUCACACCAUUGUCACCCAUGUAUUUGGACAAUACCGAGAGGAAAAACCACUUAUUUAUUGUAUUAUAUCAAGUUUGUCUUGCUUACGUAUAAAUUAUAACCCAACAAAGUAAUCACUAAAUGUCAAAACCAACUAGAUACCAUGUCAUCUCUACCUUAUCUUACUAAUAUUCUUUUUGCAAAAUCCAAAAUUAAUCUUGCACAAGCACAAGGACUGAGAUGUGUAUAAAUAUCUCUUAAAUUAGUAGCUAAUAUAUCGCACAUAUUAUUGAGACCAACUAGCAACAUAGAAAGCACAAUAGUGUACCAACAAUGGCAGCCAAAAUAUUUUGCCUCCUUAUGCUCCUUGGUCUUUCUGCAAGUGCUGCUACGGCGACCAUUUUCCCGCAAUGCUCGCAAGCUCCUAUAGCUUCCCUUCUUCCCCCGUACCUCUCACCAGCGGUGUCUUCGGUAUGUGAAAACCCAAUUCUUCAACCCUACAGGAUCCAACAGGCAAUCACAGCUGGCAUCUUACCUUUAUCACCCUUGUUCCUCCAACAAUCAUCAGCCCUAUUACAUCAGUUACCUUUGGUGCAUUUAUUGGCACAAAACAUCAGGGCACAACAACUACAACAACUUGUGCUAGCAAACCUUGCUGCCUACUCUCAGCAACAGCAGUUUCUUCCAUUCAACCAACUAGCUGCAUUGAACUCUGCUUCUUAUUUGCAACAACAACAACUACCAUUCAGCCAGCUACCUGCUGCCUACCCCCAGCAAUUUCUUCCAUUCAACCAACUGGCAGCAUUGAACUCUCCUGCUUAUUUACAGCAGCAACAACUACUACCAUUCAGCCAGCUAGCUGGUGUGAGCCCUGCUACCUUCUUGAUACAACCACAGUUGUUGCCGUUCUACCAGCACGCUGCGCCUAACGCUGGCACCCUCUUACAACUGCAACAAUUGCUGCCAUUCAACCAACUUGCUUUGACAAACCCAGCAGCGUUCUACCAACAACCCAUCAUUGGUGGUGCCCUCUUUUAGAUUUCUUAUGAGUUAUAGUUCAAUAAUAAAGUUUUUUGUCUGAUGUUUGUGGCUUCCCAGAAAUAAGAAAGUACAUUUCUAGAUUCUUAUGUGCUUCUAGUCUCCAAAUGUGGUUGAUAGUUAUUUUGCUCUAAGAUCGACAGUAAUGAAGUAUAAAUCAUCGUUGUGGUGUGCUACUCGGUUAAUUGAGCAUUAACACACACAAACAUGACGAGGAUGGUAUAAUCUCCAAAAAUAUGUACUUUGUUAGGUGGGACCCUAUAGCCUUGCAUAAUGUGCUAUGUUAGGCAUGCCUGGAAACGUGUGACGCAUAUGUUUUGUGAACCUGUUGAUAUUAUAUGUGCUUUUAUAUUACCAUAUUUUAUUAAAAUACUAAUAUUUAUUACUAGUAAGAUAUAACAUUCUAUCUAGCUUAAAAACUAACCAUAAAUAUUCCAUAAUAACUAGAUUUACCAAACUAAUAUACUAAAUAUACAUAAUAAAUACAAAAUUAACAAGACAAUAAUCAAUAUUUAUGAGCUUAAUAUAUUUAGACAUUAUGGUUGGUCGACCAUAAUCAUGCUAACUUUUCGUACUUGCUUGAUUGUAAAUAUGCUUAGAAUAAUGCCUCUUUGUUCUACAUGGCAAAUAGGGACCAUUAUGGUGUAACACCCUGGGAACCACAAACACCCCGAAAUGCUACUAAACUACACAACUAACCUUCAUAUAUAAAAUUUCGACAGCAUCUCCUUUGAAAAUUUGCAUAAACGUGGAAGCAACAGAGUAUAAACAGAUAUCAUGAUAAGGAAACAUACUAGACAUUAAUAAUCUGCUAGAAAUGGGAAGAUAACCAUAACGACAUAAACUGAAUUAACUAGUGUGCACAACUUGUUUAAAACAAACAUCAUUGACAAGAAGUUUCUAAUUAAAUCAUGGCUGUGCCUGGGUAGCGUUAUUAUGAGAGUGAAGGUGGACGUGAUGCUACUUCCCUCAUUCCCAACAUGAAUCAAGUACCUGCAUUGAGUAAUGCAAGAGUGAGAUGAAAACAUCUCAGCAAGUAAAUUGUUUUGACGAGAUAUUUAAAGCAAAAAAAUUUGAUUUACUCAACAUUUUAAAGGGAUCACAAUUGAGAUCAGAAAUACUUGUAGAUAUAGAACUCAAUAGUCCCAAAAUAACCAGUGCCAUCUCAUUUCCUCAAACAACCACAAUAGGUUGUAUAACACUUCCCUGCGUCAUCAAUACCUGCAAAUAUCACUUCAAUGUAUGCAUAGGAAUGCAAUGUUUAAGUCCUCUGCAUUCAUACUUCUUAGAGUAUAAAACCACACCAUCUGCAAAUAUCACUUCAAUGAAUGCAUAUGAAUGCAAUGCAUAUGUCCUCUGCCUUCAUACCUCUAAGGGUAUGAAGCCGAAUCGUACCCCUCCUCGGGCAACGUACGAUGCUAAGUUGUACCGUUACGGUCGGACCAUAGGUCACGACAAAACUUCAUAUGCAAGUGAAUCAUGACAUGUAUAUGGCUUGCUGCAUUUAUCAAUAUACUUCACUUCCUUCAUAUACAAUACAAACCUCAAAUAAUACUUCGUUUACCUUCAGAUACAAUACAAACCUCAAAUAAUACUUCAUUCACCUUCAGGGGUGUUUAUUAAUCUCGUGGGUCAUACUCGAAUCAUCAUCAUCAUCAAUGAUGAUUAAGCAUCAGUAUAAUACAAUCAAGUAAAGCAUCACCAUAGAGUUCAAUUAUGAAAGAAUUCGAUGAUUCUGAAUAUUAGAGUGUAUGCGAUGAAACAACAACGUCAAAACGGUAGCAACCACCGCUACAUUCACUUGCCUUCAUCGAAGAAGAAAAACAUACUAGGCAUGAUUCAGAGUGUAGACACCUGCUGUGGGGCUUAAAACUUAGUACAAAUAUUCCACAAACAUUUGCCAACAAUUAACAAAUCGCUCCUACACUUGAAACCAAGACCCGGUGGAAUGACUCCCACCCUGAACCACAUGCCAAACAAUAGUAGUGUUGUUUGUUAAUUUUGUAUCUUUAAAAUUAUAACAGUGGUGAUAUCAAACAAAUACUCCAGAAGUUUCUACACAAAAUACUCUACAACUUUGGUAUUCAAUGGAUAAUUAAAUUUUGCCAUCUAUAAGUUCUAAAACAUCUGAUAAGAUAACUGACUGAAUUUGUUUCAGACAACAGCAUAGUUAACUUCAAAAUUCGAUAUCUCCCAAACUCCUCAACCAAAAAUUAUGAAAUUAUUCUGACAGUAAGAACUUUUUUCCCUCUACAAAAGUAUCUAUAGUUGGAAGAGCCAAUUCGGCCAUUUACUAGAUGAAACCUACCAGUUAACAGACCCGCUCAUUUUUGUCAGGCAAACAAGAACCCUUAUAUAUCAAAGAGUAGUGGAUUUGAAUUUGUCUAAUAUGAAGUUUAUGGGCUUGGAUCAUUUAAAGUAUUUUAUAAUUCUGAAAGACAAGAUUAAACUAACUAUGUAUGAUCCUUUAGCACUGUACAGAUGGUCGAUGGGACAGUUACAUGGUUUAUAUAGAUGGACCUAUCUAUAUUCCUUCAGUGGUUGAGAAAAAGGUAAAGGUGUGUCACACUCACGUGUGCGCCGCCUCUACCGAGAUGAGGCAUGGCGUUGCAAGGUGAGGCAUGGCAUGGUGCAGCACGAUCGUAUACAUGGUCGUGGCACAGUGUAGCACUGUUGUGGAUAGAUAGAUAAACUUUUGUUGUAGUUAGAGUGCAUGAGUUUUUGAAUGCAACACAAGAAUUUUCACAAUUUAACUUAAUUAAGAAGUUAUAUCUUGAUGACACAGAGUUACCUGACCAUUGAUCUCACAUGCCCUUUUAGCUCUCUCGUUCUCUAGACUCACCCUGACUAUUUAGGUCUCCUGACUCGCCAAUAUAAACACCAUCCUAUCAUUUGCUCUCGAAUACUUCUGUGUCACAACUCAACUGUCAGAUGAGUACUCCAUUACAGCACUGAGCAGGCCUCCGAAAUGAAUAUCUACUCAGAUGAAGGACGACAAUCGUGUUCUAGGGAAAUAUCGGUGACACAACUCCUUACUUCCUCCGCUUCUUCCUAGUGUUUUUUGUUGUGAUUGAGUCGACACAGCAACAACACUGCACUAUUACAACCAGUACGACUAUAUUAACUAGCAAUGUCUUCCUUAUAUGUUACUAUUUAUUUUGCUCAUAUUCAUUAUGUUUAAAUCACAUAGGCACCUUUUUGUUGGCAUCAAAAAAUUAGUAUCAACUUUCUAGAUUAAAGUGAAACUAAAAGUACCUAAAUUUCUAUCGGUGGGGAUCGAGUGAUUCUUUAAACCAAUUAUUACGCAAGUUAACCACACUAAAAUUAACAUUGGUGAACCGUGCCAUGAUUUUUUCUAAUGGAAAAUAGCCAAACCAAGCAACACAUAUGUGGCUAUCGUUACACAUGUGUAAAGGUAUUGCAUCACACCAUUGUCACCCAUGUAUUUGGACAAUACCGAGAGGAAAAACCACUUAUUUAUUGUAUUUUAUCAAGUUUGUCUUGCUUACGUAUAAAUUAUAACCCAACAAAGUAAUCACUAAAUGUCAAAACCAACUAGAUACCAUGUCAUCUCUACCUUAUCUUACUAAUAUUCUUUUUGCAAAAUCCAAAAUUAAUCUUGCACAAGCACAAGGACUGAGAUGUGUAUAAAUAUCUCUUAAAUUAGUAGCUAAUAUAUCACACAUAUUAUUGAGACCAACUAGCAACAUAGAAAGCACAAUAGUGUACCAACAAUGGCAGCUAAAAUAUUUUGCCUCCUUAUGCUCCUUGGUCUUUCUGCAAGUGCUGCUACGGCGACCAUUUUCCCACAAUGCUCACAAGCUCCUAUAGCUUCCCUUCUUCCCCCGUACCUCUCACCAACGGUGUCUUCGGUAUGUGAAAACCCAAUUCUUCAACCCUACAGGAUCCAACAGGCAAUCGCAGCUGGCAUCUUACCUUUAUCACCCUUGUUCCUCCAACAAUCAUCAGCCCUAUUACAGCAGUUACCUUUGGUGCAUUUAUUGGCACAAAACAUCAGGGCACAACAACUACAACAACUUGUGCUAGCAAACCUUGCUGCCUACUCUCAGCAACAGCAGUUUCUUCCAUUCAACCAACUAGCUGCAUUGAACUCUGCUUCUUAUUUGCAACAACAACAACUACCAUUCAGCCAGCUAUCUGCUGCCUACCCCCAGCAAUUUCUUCCAUUCAACCAACUGACAGCAUUGAACUCUCCUGCUUAUUUACAGCAGCAACAACUACUACCAUUCAGCCAGCUAGCUGGUGUGAGCCCUGCUACCUUCUUGACACAACCACAGUUGUUGCCGUUCUACCAGCACGCUGCGCCUAACGCUGGCACCCUCUUACAACUGCAACAAUUGCUGCCAUUCAACCAACUUGCUUUGACAAACCCAGCAGCAUUCUACCAACAACCCAUCAUUGGUGGUGCCCUCUUUUAGAUUUCUUAUGAGUUAUAGUUCAAUAAUAAAGUUUUUUGUCUGAUGUUUGUGGCUUCCCAGAAAUAAGAAAGUACAUUUCUAGAUUCUUAUGUGCUUCUAGUCUCCAAAUGUGGUUGAUAGUUAUUUUGCUCUAAGAUCAACAGUAAUGAAGUAUAAAUCAUCGUUGUGGUGUGCUACUCGGUUAAUUGAGCAUUAACACACACAAACAUGACGAGGAUGGUAUAAUCUCCAAAAAUGUGUACUUUGUUAGGUGGGACCCUAUAGCCUUGAUUAAUGUGCUAUGUUAGGCAUGCCUGGAAACGUGUGACGCAUAUGUUUUGUGAACCUGUUGAUAUUAUAUGUGCUUUUAUAUUACCAUAUUUUAUUAAAAUACUAAUAUUUAUUACUAGUAAGAUAUAACAUUCUAUCUAGCUUAAAAACUAACCAUAAAUAUUCCAUAAUAACUAGAUUUACCAAACUAAUAUACUAAAUAUACAUAAUAAAUACAAAAUUAACAAGACAAUAAUCAAUAUUUAUGAGCUUAAUAUAUUUAGACAUUAUGGUUGGUCGACGAUAAUCAUGCUAACUUUUCGUAAUUGCUUGAUUGUAAAUAUGCUUAGAAUAAUGCCUCUUUGUUCUACAUGGCAAAUAGGGACCAUUAUGGUGUAACACCCUGGGAACCACAAACACCCCGAAAUGCUACUAAACUACACAACUAACCUUCAUAUAUAAAAUUUCGACAGCAUCUCCUUUGAAAAUUUGCAUAGACGUGGAAGCAACAGAGUAUAAACAGAUAUCAUGAUAAGAAAACAUACUAGACAUUAAUAAUCUGCUAGAAAUGGGAAGAUAACCAUAACGACAUAAACUGAAUUAACUAGUGUGCACAACUUGUUAAAAACAAACAUCGUUGACAAGAAGUUUCUAAUUAAAUCAUGGUUGUGCCUGGGCAGCGUUAUUAUGAGAGUGAAGGUGGACGUGAUGCUACUUCCCUCAUUCCCAACAUGAAUCAAGUACCUGCAUUGAGCAAUGCAAGAGUGAGAUGAAAACAUCUCAGCAAGUAAAUUGUUUUGACGAGAUAUUUAAACCAAAAAAAUUUGAUUUACUCAACAUUUUAAAGGGAUCACAAUUGAGAUCAGAAAUACUUGUAGAUAUAGAACUCAAUAGUCCCAAAAUAACCAGUGCCAUCUCAUUUCCUCAAACAACCACAAUAGGUUGUAUAACACUUCCCUGCGUCAUCAAUACCUGCAAAUAUCACUUCAAUGUAUGCAUAGGAAUGCAAUGUUUAAGUCCUCUGCAUUCAUACUUCUUAGAGUAUAAAACCACACCAUCUGCAAAUAUCACUUCAAUGAAUGCAUAUGAAUGCAAUGCAUAUGUCCUCUGCCUUCAUACCUCUAAGGGUAUGAAGCCGAAUCGUACCCCUCCUCGGGCAACGUACGAUGCUAAGUUGUACCGGUACGGUCGGACCAUAGGUCACGACAAAACUUCAUAUGCAAGUGAAUCAUGACAUGUAUAUGGCUUGCUGCAUUUAUCAAUAUACUUCACUUCCUUCAUAUACAAUACAAACCUCAAAUAAUACUUCGUUUACCUUCAGAUACAAUACAAACCUCAAAUAAUACUUCAUUCACCUUCAGGGGUGUUUAUUAAUCUCGUGGGUCAUACUCGAAUCAUCAUCAUCAUCAAUGAUGAUUAAGCAUCAGUAUAAUACAAUCAAGUAAAGCAUCACCAUAGAGUUCAAUUAUGAAAGAAUUCGAUGAUUCUGAAUAUUAGAGUGUAUGCGAUGAAACAACAACGUCAAAACGGUAGCAACCACCGCUACAUUCAUUUGCCUUCAUCGAAGAAGAAAAAUGUACUAGGCAUGAUUCAGAGUGUAGACACCUGCUGUGGGGCUUAAAACUUAGUACAAAUAUUCCACAAACAUUUGCCAACAAUUAACAAAUCGCUCCUACACUUGAAACCAAGACCCGGUGGAAUGACUCCCACCCUGAACCACAUGCCAAACAAUAGUAGUGCUGUUUGUUAAUUUUGUAUCUUUAAAAUUAUAACAGUGGUGAUAUCAAACAAAUACUCUAGAAGUUUCUACACAAAAUACUCUACAACUUCGGUAUUCAAUGGAUAAUUAAAUUUUGCCAUCUAUAAGUUCUAAAACAUCUGAUAAGAUAACUGACUGAAUUUGUUUCAGACAGCAGCAUAGUUAACUUCAAAAUUCGAUAUCUCCCAAACUCCUCAACCAAAAAUUAUGAAAUUAUGCUGACAGUAAGAACUUUUUGUCCCUCUACAAAAGUAUCUAUAGUUGGAAGAGCCAAUUCGGCCAUUUACUAGAUGAAACCUACCAGUUAACAGACCCGCUCAUUUUUGUCAGGCAAACAAGAACCCUUAUAUAUCAAAGAGUAGUGGAUUUGAAUUUGUCUAAUAUGAAGUUUAUGGGCUUGGAUCAUUUAAAGUAUUUUAUAAUUCUGAAAGACAAGAUUAAACUAACUAUGUAUGAUCCUUUAGCACCGUACAGAUGGUCGAUGGGACAGUUACAUGGUUUAUAUAGAUGGACCUAUCUAUAUUCCUUCAGUGGUUGAGAAAAAGGUAAAGGUGUGUCACACUCACGUGUGCGCCGCCUCUGCCGAGAUGAGGCAUGGCGUUGCAAGGUGAGGCAUGGCAUGGUGCAGCACGAUCGCAGUCAUGGUCGUGGCACAGUGUAGCACUGUUGUGGAUAGAUAGAUAAACUAUUGUUGUAGUUAGAGUGCAUGAGUUUUUGAAUGCAACACUAGGAUUUUCACAAUUUAACUUAAUUAAGAAGUUAUAUCUUGAUGACACAGAGUUACCUGACCAUUGAUCUCACAUGCCCUUUUAGCUCUCUUGUUCUCUAGACUCACCCUGACUAUUGAGGUCUCUUGACUCGCCAAUAUAAACACCAUCCUAUCAUUUGCUCUCGAAUACUUUUGUGUCACAACUCAACUGUCAGAUGAGUACUCCAUUACAGCACUGAGCAGGCCUCCGAAAUGAAUAUCUACUCAGAUGAAGGACGACAAUCGUGUUCUAGGGAAAUAUCAGUGACACAACUCCUUACUUCCUCUGCUUCUUCCUAGUGUUUUUUGUUGUGAUUGAGUCGACACAGCAACAACACUGCACUAUUACAACCAGUACGACUAUAUUAACUAGCAAUGUCUUCCUUAUAUGUUACUAUUUAUUUUGCUCAUAUUCAUUAUGUUUAAAUCACAUAGGCACCUUUUUGUUGGCAUCAAAAAAUUAGUAUCAACUUUCUAGAUUAAAGUGAAACUAAAAGUACCUAAAUUUCUAUCGGUGGGGAUCGAGUGAUUCUUUAAACCGAUUAUUACACAAGUGAACCACACUAAAAUUAACAUUGGUGAAUCGUGCCAUGAUUUUUUCUAGUGGAAAAUAGCCAAACCAAGCAACACAUAUGUGGCUAUCGUUACACAUGUGUAAAGGUAUUGCAUCACACCAUUGUCACCCAUGUAUUUGGACAAUACCGAGAGGAAAAACCACUUAUUUAUUGUAUUUUAUCAAGUUUGUCUUGCUUACGUAUAAAUUAUAACCCAACAAAGUAAUCACUAAAUGUCAAAACCAACUAGAUACCAUGUCAUCUCUACCUUAUCUUACUAAUAUUCUUUUUGCAAAAUCCAAAAUUAAUCUUGCACAAGCACAAGGACUGAGAUGUGUAUAAAUAUCUCUUAAAUUAGUAGCUAAUAUAUCACACAUAUUAUUGAGACCAACUAGCAACAUAGAAAGCACAAUAGUGUACCAACAAUGGCAGCCAAAAUAUUUUGCCUCCUUAUGCUCCUUGGUCUUUCUGCAAGUGCUGCUACGGCGACCAUUUUCCCACAAUGCUCACAAGCUCCUAUAGCUUCCCUUCUUCCCCCGUACCUCUCACCAGCGGUGUCUUCGGUAUGUGAAAACCCAAUUCUUCAACCCUAUAGGAUCCAACAGGCAAUCGCAGCUGGCAUCUUACCUUUAUCACCCUUGUUCCUCCAACAAUCAUCAGCCCUAUUACAGCAGUUACCUUUGGUGCAUUUAUUGGCACAAAACAUCAGGGCACAACAACUACAACAACUUGUGCUAGCAAACCUUGCUGCCUACUCUCAGCAACAACAGUUUCUUCCAUUCAACCAACUAGCUGCAUUGAACUCUGCUUCUUAUUUGCAACAACAACAACUACCAUUCAGCCAGCUAUCUGCUGCCUACCCCCAGCAAUUUCUUCCAUUCAACCAACUGACAGCUUUGAACUCUCCUGCUUAUUUACAGCAGCAACAACUACUACCAUUCAGCCAGCUAGCUGGUGUGAGCCCUGCUACCUUCUUGACACAACCACAAUUGUUGCCGUUCUACCAGCACGCUGCGCCUAACGCUGGCACCCUCUUACAACUGCAACAAUUGCUGCCAUUCAACCAACUUGCUUUGACAAACCCAACAGCAUUCUACCAACAACCCAUCAUUGGUGGUGCCCUCUUUUAGAUUUCUUAUGAGUUAUAGUUCAAUAAUAAAGUUUUUUGUCUGAUGUUUGUGGCUUCCCAGAAAUAAGAAAGUACAUUUCUAGAUUCUUAUGUGCUUCUAGUCUCCAAAUGUGGUUGAUAGUUAUUUUGCUCUAAGAUUAGCAGUAAUGAAGUAUAAAUCAUCGUUGUGGUGUGCUACUCGGUUAAUUGAGCAUUAACACACACAAACAUGACGAGGAUGGUAUAAUCUCCAAAAAUGUGUACUUUGUUAGGUGGGACCCUAUAGCCUUGCAGAAUGUGCUACGUUAGGCAUGCCAAUGGAAACGUGUGACACAUACGUUUUGUGAAUCUGUUGAUAUUAUAUGUGCUUUUAUAUUACCAUAUUUUAUUAAAAUACUAAUAUUUAUUACUAGUAAGAUAUAACAUUCUAUCUAGCUUAAAAACUAACCAUAAAUAUUCCAUAAUAACUAGAUUUACCAAACUAAUAUACUAAAUAUACAUAAUAAAUAUAAAAUUAACAAGACAAUAAUUAAUAUUUAUGAGCUUAAUUUAUUUAGACAUUAUGGUUGGUCGACGAUAAUCAUGCUAACUUUCCGUAAUUGCUUGAUUGUAAAUAUGCUUAGAAUAAUGCCUCUUUGUUCUACAUGGCAAAUAGGGACCAUUAUGGUGUAACACCCCGGGAUCCACAAACACCCCGAAAUGCUACUAAACUACACAACUAACCUUCAUAUAUAAAAUUUCGACAGCAUCUCCUUUGAAAAUUUGCAUAAACGUGGAAGCAACAGAGUAUAAACAGAUAUCAUGAUAAGGAAACAUACUAGACAUUAAUAAUCUGCUAGAAAUGGGAAGAUAACCAUAACGACAUAAACUGAAUUAACUAGUGUGCACAACUUGUUAAAAACAAACAUCGUUGACAAGAAGUUUCUAAUUAAAUCAUGGUUGUGCCUGGGCAGCGUUAUUAUGAGAGUGAAGGUGGACGUGAUGCUACUUCCCUCAUUCCCAACAUGAAUCAAGUACCUGCAUUGAGUAAUGCAAGAGUGAGAUGAAAACAUCUCAGCAAGUAAAUUGUUUUGACGAGAUAUUUAAACCAAAAAAAUUGAUUUAAUCAACAUUUUAAAGGGAUCACAAUUGAGAUCAGAAAUACUUGUAGAUAUAGAACUCAAUAGUCCCAAAAUAACCAAUGCCAUCUCAUUUCCUCAAACAACCACAAUAGGUUGUAUAACACUUCCCUGCGUCAUCAAUACCUGCAAAUAUCACUUCAAUGUAUGCAUAGGAAUGCAAUGUUUAAGUCCUCUGCAUUCAUACUUCUUAGAGUAUAAAACCACACCAUCUGCAAAUAUCACUUCAAUGAAUGCAUAUGAAUGCAAUGCAUAUGUCCUCUGCCUUCAUACCUCUAAGGGUAUGAAGCCGCAUCGUACCCCUCCUCGGGCAACGUACGAUGCUAAGUUGUACCGGUACGGUCGGACCAUAGGUCACGACAAAACUUCAGAUGCAAGUGAAUCAUGACAUGUAUAUGGCAUGCUGCAUUUAUCAAUAUACUUCACUUCCUUCAUAUACAAUACAAACCUAAAAUAAUACUUCGUUUACCUUCAGAUACAAUACAAACCUCAAAUAAUACUUCAUUCACCUUCAGGGGUGUUUAUUAAUCUCGUGGGUCAUACUCAAAUCAUCAUCAUCAUCAAUGAUGUUUAAGCAUCAGUAUAAUACAAUCAAGUAAAGCAUCACCAUAGAGUUCAAUUAUGAAAGAAUUCGAUGAUUCUGAAUAUUAGAGUGUAUGCGAUGAAACAACAAAGUCAAAACGGUAGCAACCACCUCUACAUUCACUUGCCUUCAUCGAAGAAGAAAAAGGUACUAGGCAUGAUUCGGAGUGUAGACACCUGCUGUGGGGCUUAAAACUUAGUACAAAUAUUCCAUAAACAUUUGCCAACAAUUAACAAAUCGCUCCUACACUUGAAACCAAGACCCGGUGGAAUGACUCCCACCCUGAACCACAUGCCAAACAACAAUAGUGUUGUUUGUUAAUUUCUAUCUUUAAAAUUAUAACAGUGGUGAUAUCAAACAAAUACUCUAUACGUUUCUACACAAAAUACUCUACAACUUCGGUAUUCAAUGGAUAAUUAAAUUUUGCCAUCUAUAAGUUCUAAAACAUCUGACAAGAUAACUGACUGAAUCUGUUUCAGACAACAGCAUAGUUAACUUCAAAAUUCGAUAUCUCCCUAACUCCUCAACAAAAAAUUAUGAAAUUAUGCUGACAGUAAGAACUUUUAUCCCUCUACAAAAGUCUCCAUAGUUGAAAGAGCCAAUUCGGCCAUUUACUAGAUGAAACCUACCAGUUAACGGACCCGCUCAUUUUUGUCAAGCAAACAAGAACCCUUAUAUAUCAAAGAGUAGUGGAUUUGAAUUUGUCUAAUAUGAAGUUUACGGGCUUGGCUCAUUUAAAGUAUUUAAUAAUUCUGAAAGACAAGAUUAAACUAACUAUGUAUGAUCCUUUAGCACCGUACAGAUGGUCGAUGGGACAGUUACAUGGUUUAUAUAGAUGGACCUAUCUAUAUUCCUUCAGUGGUUGAGAAAAAAGUAAAGGUGUGUCACACUCACGUGUGCGCCGCCUCCGCCGAGACGAGGCAUGGCGUUGCAAGGUGAGGCAUGGCAUGGUGUAGCACGAUAGCAGUCAUGGUCGUGGCACAGUGUAGCACUGUUGUGGAUAGAUAGGUAAACUAUUGUUGUAGUUAGAGUGCAUGAGUUUUUGAAUGCAACACUAGAAUUUUCACAAUUUAACUUAAUUAAGAAGUUAUAUCUUGAUGACACAGAGUUACCUGACCAUUGAUCUCACAUGCCCUUUUAGCUCUCUCGUUCUCUAGACUCACCCUGACUAUUUAAGUCUCUUGACUCGCCAAUAUAAACACCAUCCUAUCAUUUGCUCUAGAAUACUUCUGUGUCACAACUCAACUGUCAGAUGAGUACUCCAUUACAGCACUUACGUACACGAGUUCUAUGAGAGCAGGCCUCCAAAAUGAAUAUCUACUUAGAUGAAGGACGACAAUCGUGUUCUAGGGAAAUAUCAGCGACACAACUCCUUACUUCCUUCGCUUCUUCCUAGUGUUUUUUGUUGUGAUUGAGUCGACACAGCAACAACACUGCACUAUUACAACCAGUACGACUAUAUCAACUAGCAAUGUCUUCCUUAUAUGUUACUAUUUAUUUUGCACAUAUUCAUUAUGUUUAAAUCACAUAGGCACCUUUCUAUUGGCAUCAAAAAAUUAGUAUCAACUUUCUAGAUUAAAAUGAAACUAAAAGUACAUAAAUUUCUAUCGGUGGGGAUCGAGUGAUUCUUUAAACCGAUUAUUACACAAGUUAACCACACUAAAAUUAACAUUGGUGAAUCGUGCCAUGAUUUUUUUUCUAGUGGAAAAUAGCCAAACCAAGCAACACAUAUGUGGCUAUCGUUACACAUGUGUAAAGGUAUUGCAUCACACUAUUGUCACCCAUGUAUUUGGACAAUACCGAGAGGAAAAACCACUUAUUUAUUGUAUUUUAUCAAGUUUGUCUUGCUUACGUAUAAAAUUAUAACCCAACAAAGUAAUCACUAAACGUCAAAACCAACUAGAUAUCAUGUCAUCUCUACCUUAUCUUACUAAUAUUCUUUUUGCAAAAUCCAAAAUUAAUCUUGCACAAGCACAAGGACUGAGAUGUGUAUAAAUAUCUCUUAAAUUAGUAGCUAAUAUAUCGCACAUAUUAUUUAGACCAACUAGCAACAUAGAAAGCACAAUAGUGUACCAACAAUGGCAGCCAAAAUAUUUUGCCUCCUUAUGCUCCUUGGUAUUUCUGCAAGUGCUGCUACGGCGACCAUUUUCCCGCAAUGCUCACAAGCUCCUAUAGCUUCCCUUCUUCCCCCGUACCUCUCACCAGCGGUGUCUUCGGUAUGUGAAAACCCAAUUCUUCAACCCUACAGGAUCCAACAGGCAAUCGCAGCUGGCAUCUUACCUUUAUCACCCUUGUUCCUCCAACAAUCAUCAGCCCUAUUACAGCAGUUACCUUUGGUGCAUUUAUUGGCACAAAACAUCAGGGCACAACAACUACAACAACUUGUGCUAGCAAACCUUGCUGCCUACUCUCAGCAACAGCAGUUUCUUCCAUUCAACCAACUAGCUGCAUUGAACUCUGCUUCUUAUUUGCAACAACAACAACUACCAUUCAGCCAGCUACCUGUUGCCUACCCCCAGCAAUUUCUUCCAUUCAACCAACUGGCAGCAUUGAACUCUCCUGCUUAUUUACAGCAGCAACAACUACUACCAUUCAGCCAGCUAGCUGGUGUGAGCCCUGCUACCUUCUUGACACAACCACAGUUGUUGCCGUUCUACCAGCACGCUGCGCCUAACGCUGGCACCCUCUUACAACUGCAACAAUUGCUGCCAUUCAACCAACUUGCUUUGACAAACCUAGCAGUGUUCUACCAACAACCCAUCAUUGGUGGUGCCCUCUUUUAGAUUUCUUAUGAGUUAUAGUUCAAUAAUAAAGUUUUUUGUCUGAUGUUUGUGGCUUCCCAGAAAUAAGAAAGUACAUUUCUAGAUUCUUAUGUGCUUCUAGUCUCCAAAUGUGGUUGAUAGUUAUUUUGCUCUAAGAUCAGCAGUACAACAACAACAACAACAACAACAACAACAACAACAAAGCCUUUUUGUCCCAAGCACGUUGGGGUAGGCUAGAGAUGAAACCCCGUAUGAAAACCUCAGAGCUCAACCCCCAAAGAACAGAAAAGGGAAACAAAGGCAAAGGAGAACCGAAAACAACGAAACGGGGAAACACAUAAAAGAGAUAAAACCCACAAGGACCAGCAAGAUCUAAAAUGGACACAAGAAAAGGUCAAACGAUUAAGGAGGAAAAGCGAAACUAUCAAUCAGGGUUCUGGCACGUGAAUUGCACACUUCCACCCCUUCCUAUCUGCGGCGAGCUCUUUGUCAAUAUUCCACUCCUUCAGGUCUCUCUUCACAGCCUCUGUCCACGUCAAAGUUGGUCGACCUCUACCUCUCUUCACAUUUUCGGGACGCCUAAUUAUUCCGAUAUGCACUGGUGCCUCUUCAGGUCUUCGUUGGAUAUGUCCAAACCAUCUCAAGCGAUGUUGCAUAAGCUUCUCCUCAAUUGGCGCCACUCCUACUCUCUCUCGUAUAUCAUCAUUCCGGACUCGAUCUCUCCUUGUGUGGCCACAUAUCCAGCGCAACAUACGCAUCUCUGCCACACUUAGUUGUUGGACAUGUCGUCUUUUAGUGGGCCAACAUUCUGCUCCAUACAACAUAGCCGGCCGGAUUGCUGUCCUGUAGAAUUUGCCUUUUAGUUUGCGUGGCACCCGGUGGUCGCAUAAGACACCCGCAGCUUGUCGCCACUUCAACCAUCCGGCUUUAAUUCUAUGACUGACAUCCUCAUCGAUGUCUCCCUCCUUUUGAAGCAUUGAUCCUAAGUAACGAAAAGUGUCUUUCUUGGGUACCACUUGCCCAUCAAGACUAACAUCGCCAUCCUCAUACCCCAUGGCACUGAAAUCACACUUCAUAUACUCUGUUUUAGACCUACUAAGCCUAAAACCUUUUGCUUCCAGCGUCUGCCUCCACAAUUCCAACUUUUGAGAAACACCACUCCUACUCUCCUCAAUAAGUACCACAUCAUCGGCAAAAAGCAUACACCACGGUAAAACUCCUUGUAUGUCCCUUGUGACCUCAUCUAUCACCAAAGCGAAAAGAUAAGGGCUCAAAGCCGACCCUUGAUGUAGUCCUAUGUUAAUUGGAAAGUCAUCGGUGUCUCCAUCACUUGUUCGGACACUUGUCACAACAUUAGUGUACAUAUCUUUAAUAAGAUUAAUGUACUUUGUUGCUACUUUGUGUUUUUCCAAGGCCCACCACAUUACACUCCUAGGUACUUUGUCAUAAGCCUUCUCCAAGUCUAUGAAGACCAUAUGCAGGUCUUUCUUUUGUUCUCUGAAUCUCUCCAUAAGUUGUCUUAGUAAGAAAAUGGCCUCCAUAGUUGAUCUCCCGGGCAUGAAACCAAACUGAUUUUGGGUCACGCUCGUCAUCUUUCGCAGGCGGUGUUCAAUGACUCUCUCCCAUAGCUUCAUUGUAUGGCUCAUGAGCUUAAUUCCACGGUAAUUAGUACAACUUUGAACAUCUCCUUUGUUCUUGAAGAUUGGUACUAAUGUACUCCGCCGCCACUCGUCGGGCAUUCUGUUUGCCCGAAAGAUGGUGUUGAAAAGCUUAGUCAGCCAUACUAUCGCUAUGUCUCCAAGACAUCUCCAUACCUCGAUAGGGAUACCAUCAGGGCCCAUCGCCUUUCCUACCUUCAUCCUUUUUAGCGCCUCCUUAACUUCAUAUUCUUGUAUCCUUCGUACAAAACCCCUGUUGUUGUCAUCGAAUGGUUCGUCCAAUUCUAUUGUAGCACUCUCAUUCCCUCCAUUGAACAAUUUGUUGAAGUACUCCUUCCAUCUGUUCUUGAUCUCUUCACUCUUCACUAAUAGUUGGUUUGCUUCGUCCUUGAUGCAUUUGACUUGGUUGACAUCCCUUGUCUUCCUUUCACGAAUCUUGGCCAUCCUAUAGAUAUCCUUUUCUCCCUGCUUUGUGUCCAGCCGUUGAUAAAGGUCGUCAUAGGCUUGACCCCGGGCUCUACUAACCGCUCGCUUUGCAGACUUCUUCGCUAUCCUGUACUUCUCUAUGUUUUCUGCACACUUGUCAUGAUGUAAGCGUUUGUAGCAAUCUUUCUUCUCCUUGAUAGCCUUUUGGACAUCUUCGUUCCACCACCAAGUGUCUUUAACUUCCCUUCUGUUCCCUUGACUCAACCCAAACUCUUCUGAAGCUAUCUUUCGGAUGCAUGUCGCCAUCUUCCUCCACAUGAUAUUUGCGUCUUCCUCUCCUGCCCAAGGGCCCUCCUCGAUAACUCUCUUCUUGAAAGUUUGGGCCACAUCCCCUUUAAGCUUCCACCACUUUGUUCUAGUGACCUUGUUAUGCUUAUUUCGUUGUAAACGAAUCUUAAAACGGAAGUCAGCAACGACAAGCUUAUGUUGGGUUACCACACACUCUCCAGGUAUAACCUUGCAAUCUAAGCAGGCAUGCCUGUCCUCUUUUCUCAAGAGGACGAAAUCAAUCUGGCUAGUGUGUUGGCCACUACUGAAGGUCACCAGGUGGGAUUGCCUCUUCUUAAAGAAAGUGUUUGCUAUAAACAUGUCAUAGGCUAGGGCAAAGUUCAGGAUUUCCUCUCCUUCUUGAUUCCUAGUCCCAAAGCCGAAGCCUCCAUGUACACCCUCGAAACUGGUGCUAGAUGUACCCACAUGGCCAUUGAGAUCUCCUCCUAUGAAGAGCUUCUCGCCAACUGGCACACUACUAACCAUGUCCUCUAGGCCUUCCCAGAACUCUCUCUUUGAGUUCUCAUUAAGGCCUACUUGAGGAGCAUACGCGCUGAUAACAUUGAGAACCAAGUCUCCAAUGACCAGCUUGACUAGGAUGAUUCUAUCUCCUACCCUCUUAACAUCUACUACCCCAUCUUUGAGGCUCUUGUCGAUCAAGACGCCUACUCCAUUCUUGUUUGUUGCAGUCCCCGUGUACCACAACUUGAAACCUGUACCUUUCACUUCCUUCGCCUUCUGUCCCUUCCACUUGGUCUCUUGAACGCAUAAAAUAUUUACCCGUCUCCUCACCGCAACGUCAACUAUUUCUCGUAACUUACCUGUUAAGGAACCUACGUUCCAACUGCCUACACGGACCCUAGUUGGCUCGACUAGCUUCCUUACCCUUCGCACCCGCCGAGGAAGAUGCAAAGACCCUUGCUCAUUUUUCACUACACCCGGGCGCCGAUGUAGCGCGCCACUAAGGAUGCGACGACCCGAUCCUUGCUCACUUAUCACCGGCUCCAGAUCAAGAGACAGCGCGUCACUUGAGGGGUGACGACCCGGCCCUUGCUCAUUUAACACCAUACCCGGGUUCCGAUAUGGCGCGUCGCUAAGAGGGUUACGCCCCAACGGUUUUCUUUGUGGUUUCAUCUCCAUAAGAUUUGGCUGGUUUUUUACGUUGGUUUGCCGGACCUAACACAACCCUCCUCCUUUACCGGGCUUGGGACCGGCUAUGUUGAAACGACUCAAGGAAGUCUUCCAAUCAACAUAGGCGGAGUUUAAGAUCAGCAGUAAUGAAGUAUAAAUCAUCGUUGUGGUGUGCUACUCGGUUAAUUGAGCAUUAACACACACAAACAUGACGAGGAUGGUAUAAUCUCCCAAAAUGUGUACUUUGUUAGGUGGGACCCUAUAGCCUUGCAGAAUGUGCUACGUUAGGCAUGCCGAUGGAAACGUGUGACGCAUACGUUUUGUGAACCUGUUGAUAUUAUAUGUGCUUUUAUAUUACCAUAUUUUAUUAAAACACUAAUAUUUAUUACUAGUAAGAUAUAACAUUCUAUCUAGCUUAAAAACUAACCAUAAAUAUUCCAUAAUAACUAGAUUUACCAAACUAAUAUACUAAAUAUACAUAAUAAAUACAAAAUUAACAAGACAAUAAUCAAUAUUUAUGAGCUUAAUAUAUUUAGACAUUAUGGUUGGUCGACGAUAAUCAUGCUAACUUUCCGUAAUUGCUUGAUUGUAAAUAUGCUUAGACUAAUGCCUCUUUGUUCUACAUGGCAAAUAGGGACCACUCUAGGAGACUAGGAUGUUGCUUGAGAUGAAAAUGUCAGAAUUGGUGUAGACUAAUUUCUAUCGGCCGCUGACUUCACUAUUGUAACCAUUAUAUCUUGGGUAAAUUAUAUACGAUUAUCCAGCCAAAGGGCCCAGAUGAUAAAAAACAAUUUUUAAUUGCUAUUUUAGGACAAAUGAAUUAGCAUGGUUCGAAGGAUUACGACCUUCCCCCCAUGACCUUUGUCAUACUGCUUUAGUCUAAUCGACAAAACCAAGAUUAGUUAUCAUCGAAGAAGUUCAUAAGCGAAGUUGUGACGAUGAAAGGAACAUGGUGGUAAUUGGACGAACGACGACACCUUUGUCUAAGAAUGGCAUCUAGAAGAAAUCUCAGACAAAAUAAGACAUGAAUGGCUUGUCAGUACAGCGCAAAUACUGAAACAUGCGCCCUUGAAUAUGAAACAUUUAUAUGUAAGAGGAAGGGAUAAAAAAACUAAUUACUCGUGCCUAAUGAUUUUAUUGGGAAUUUUAAGGCGAGACUUAUGGCAAAGGGUUAUACCAAAAAUAGGGGAGAGAUUAUUUCGAUACUUAUUCACUUGUUUCCCUUCAAAUGGCCAUACAUGUGUUACUUUUUUUGGCUGCCUCGCAUGGUCUUAUCGUUCAUCAGAUGAAUGUUAAGACUGCUUUCCCAAAUGGAGAGCUUAAGGAACAGAUCUACAUUGACUAGCCUAGUGGUUUUAUAUCAAAUGGUAAAGAGGAAAAGGUGUUUAAAAUAAUUGUUUGGUUUAAAACAAGCACCAAAGCACAUGAGAAAAUCGAUAAAGUUCUGACUUUGGCUAAAUUUGUUGUAAAUGAAGUUGAUAAAUGUGUCCAUUACCAGUUUGACAGGGGCGAAGGUAUGACCUUUUUAUAUGUGGACAAAAUAUUAACCUUUUGUAACGAUGUUAAUAUGAUAGAAGAAGUAAAGUAAUUUUUGUCUAGUAACUUAGAAAUAAACAAUCUGGGAGAGGCUAAUGUUGUUCUUAACAAAGAGAUGUUGAGAGAAGGAGGAAAUAGAGGGUUACUCUUGUGCAAUCCUAUUAGGUUGAAAAGUCGCUGAGUCGCUUUGGAUAUAGUGAUUACACGUCUGGUCCAACAACUUAUGACCCAAGUGUGUUAUUAAGGAAAAAUCAUAUAAUUGCAUAUGAUCAAUUGAGAUAUUGUCAAAUCAUGGUCUUCUCAUAUAUUUGGCAAGCCCAACGAUGUCUCAUAUCUGAUUUGUUAUGAGCAAACUCAGUUGCCUUGUCUCCAAUCUAGGGGAGGAUCAUGACAUGCCCUAGAGAGGGUAUUGCGCUUUCUCAAAGGGAUAUGAGUAAUGUCAUUUACUAUACUAGGCACCUAAGAGUACCAGAGUGUUAUAGUCAUGCAAAUAGGAUAUCUGAUGUUGAUUAGAUUUAUGCCACAAGUAGACUUGUGUGCUUCCUUGGAGGUGUGAUUGUUUCAUGGAAGUCUUGUAAGUAGACCAUCUUAACAAGGUCAACAAUAGAAGUAGAACUCACAACAUUAUAUACUACCAAAGUUGAAGUUGAUUGGCUCCGUGAACUCCUUACGGAUUUACCAGUAGUUGAAAAACCAAUACUGGUUAUCUCUAUGAGCUACAAUAAUCAAACAUUUGUAAUCGAAGUAAACAGUUCUAAAGUUAACAUGAUGUCUACAAAGCAUGUAAAAAUGGUUGAAACUGUUAAAACACUAAGAAACUCUAGAUUAAUUAUGUUGGACUAUAUCCAUACAUCGAAUUUGGUAUGCCAGUUUACAGAAGAUUUGUCACAUAAUAUGAUUCAAGGUGCAUCGAGGAAUAUGGGCUUGAGACCCACUUAAUGUCAAUCCAUAGUGGUAGCAGUUUCUAUGUGAUUGGAGAUCCCAUAAAGUAGAAUGGUGAAACAAGCUAGAGAAUGACUGAUGGAGAGACUCCUUAAAUAAAAUCUUGAUAAUUUGAGAUGCACAUUUCUCAUUUGAUGUAUUGUAGGCGAACUAAAAUCUUAAUAUGAUUUGAGUGACUUAUCUAAGCAGGGAUGUUAUCUUACAGAACAUCCUAGAAAGAACACACCUAUAUGAGUUUGCAUGUUAGUCAUAGUCUAUCAUGUGUGGUAAUCUUUAUAUACUCAUGAAAGGCUUGAAGUUUGACUUAUAUGCUUCAAACCAAGGGGGUGCUUGUAACAGUCUAGUACAAGAUAAGAACAUUGGUAAAACUCACUUAACGCAAAAUUGUCAAUUUAAGGCAUAGUUCAUUGUUUAGAUGUGAAUGUGUAAUCCCUGUUCUAGAUGGAUGGUCAACUUAACAGCCUCCACCAAAACCCUGAUAUCUCAAAGAGUAGUGGAUUUGAGUUUGUCUAAUAUGUGGUUUAGAUUUUGGUGGGGAAUUUUAAUAUUUUAUGGGCUUGGCCCAUUUAAGGUAUUUAAUACUUUCAAAAGACAAGAUUAAACAUGUGUGAAUAGUGUCAUGAUUUUUUUCUAGUGCAAAAUAGCCCAACAAAUCAACACAUAUGUGGCUAUCAUUACACAUGUGUAAAGGUAAUGCAUCACACCAUUGUCACCCAUGUAUUUAGAAAAUACCAAGAAGAAAAACAACUUGUUUAUUGUAUUUUAUGGAGAUUAUCUUGCUUACAUAUAAUUAUAACCCAACAAAGUGGUCACUAAAUGUCAAAACCAACUAGGUACCAGGUCAUCUCUAGCUUAUCUUGCUAAUGAUAUUUUUGCAAAAUCCAAAAUUAAUCUUGCACAAGCACAAGGACUGAGAUGUGUAUAAAAAUCUCUUAGAUUAGUAGGUAAUCCAUCACACAAAGCGCAAUAGUGUAGCAAAACUGGCAGUCAAAAUAUUUUGCCUCCUUAUGCUCCUUGCUCUUUCUGCAAGUGCUGCUAACGCGACCAAUUUUCUGCAAUGCUCACAAGAUCCAAUUGCUUCCCUUCUUCCCUCAUACCUCUCACCAGCGACAUCUUCAGUAUGUGAAAACCCAAUUCUUCAACCCUAUAGGAUCCAACAGGCAAUCACAGCAAGCAUCUUACCUUUAUCACCCUUGUUCCUCCAACAACCGCCAGCCCUGUUACAACAAUUACCUUUGGUGCAUUUGUUGGAACAAAGCAUCAAGGCACAACAACUACAACAACCUGUGCUGACAAACCUUGUUGCCUACUCUCAGCAACAAUAGUUUCUUCCAUUCAACCAACUGGCUGCACUGAACUCUGCUGCUUAUUUGCAACAACAACAACAACUUCCAUUCACCCAGCUAGCUGCUGCCUACCCCCAACAAUUUCUUCCAUUCGACUAACUGGCUGCAUUGAACUCUGUUGCUUAUUUACAACAGCAACAACUAAUACCAUGAAACCAGCUAGCUGUUGCGAGCCCUGCUACCUUCUUGACACAACCACAGUUGAUGUCGUUCUACCUGCAAGCUGUGGCUAACGUCGGCACCCUCUUACAACUACAACAAUUGUUGCCAUUCAUCCAACUUGCUUUGACAAACCCAAUAGUGUUCUACCAACAACCCAUCAUUGGUGGCGCCCUCUUUUAUAUUUCUUAUGGGUUAUAGUUCAAUAAUGAAGUUUUUGGCUGAUGUUUGUGGCUUCCCAGAAAUAAGAAAGUAUAUUUCUAGAUUCUUAUGUGCUACUAGUCUCCAAAUGUGGUUGAUAAUUAUGUUGCUCUAAGAACGGGAGUAAUGAGGUAUAAAUCAUUGUUGAGGUGUGAUACUCGGGUAGUUGAGCAUUAGCACGCACAAAUAUGAUGAGGACGGUAUAAUCUCCAAAAAUAUGUACUUUGUUAGGUGGGACCCUAUAGCCAUGCAGAAUGUGCUCUGUUAGACACGUCGAUGGAAACGUGUCACACAUACGUUUUGUGAACCUAUUGAUAUUGUAUGUGCUUUUAGUUGUGUGGUGCUAUAGAUAUGAGGGCUUGUUUCACGUAAUGAGCUAGGGUAGAAAAAUAAUUAUUUGCCUUGGAUUGUUAUGGAAGAACAUACCAAUUGUGACUGCCAUCUCAAUCUAGCUAACAUCUAAGUGACCUAAAAGGAGAGCAUAAGGAACUGAUCUACAAUGACUAGCCUAGUGGUUUUAUAGGAAAUGGCAAAGAGGAAAAUGUGUUUAAGUUAUUACAAUUGUAUGGUUUAAAACAAGCACCUAAGCACAUGAGAAAUUUUAUGAAGUUCUGACUUUGGCUAAAUUUGUUGUAAAUGAAGCUGAUAAAUGUGUCUAUUGCUAGUUUGAGAGGAGGGAUGGCAUGACCUGUUUUUUAUAUUUGGAUGAUAUAUUAAUCUUUUGUAAUGAUGUUAAUAUUAUCGAGGAAGUAAAAUACUCUUUGUGUGGUAACUUUGAAAUAAAUGAUUUUGGAGAGGCUAAUGUUGUUCUUAACAUAAAGAUGUUGGGAGAAGGAGGAAAUAGGGGGUAACUCUUGUGAAUCCUAUUAGGUUGAAAAGACAUUUAGUUGUUUUGGAUAUAGUAACUACACAUCUGGUCAAAUUACUUAUGACACAAGCGUGUUGUUAAGGAAAAUGAUAUAAUCGCAUAGAAUCAAAUGAGAUACUAUCAAAUCAUGGUCUUCUCGUGUAUUUGGCUAAUCCAACGAGGCCUAAUAUCUCAUUGCUAUGAUUAAACUUAGUCGAUUUGUAUACAAUGUAGGGGAUGAUCAUGGCAAGCCCUAGAGAGGGUAUUGCGCUACCUAAAAGGGACUAUGAGUAAUGUAAUUUACUAUACCAGGCACCUAAGGGUACCAGAGUGUUACAAUGAUGCAAACAAGAUAUCUGAUGGUGACGAGAUUUAUGCCACAAGUGGAUAUGUGUGCUUGCUUGGAGGUGUGAUAGUUUCAUGGAAGUCUUGUAAGUAUACCAUCUUAACAAGAUCAACAAAACAAGUAGAACUGGCAACAUAAGAUACUACCAUAGUUGAAGCUAAGUGGCUUCUUGAACUCCUUAUGGAUUUACCAGUAGUUGAAAACUAAUAGUGGUUAUCUCUAUGAUCUAUGAUAAUCAAAUAGUCGUAAUCAAAGUGAACAGUUCUAAGGAUAACAUGAAUUCUACAAAGCAUGUCAAAAAGCGAUUGAAACUAUUAGAACACUAAGAAUCUCUAGAGUAAUUGUGUUGGACUAUGUCCAUACAUCUAAGAAUUUGGUAGGUCGAUUUAGAGAAGGUUUGUCCAUAAUGUGAUAGAUGGUGCAUCGUGUAAGAUGGGCUUGAGACCCUCUUAAUGCCAUUCCUUAGUGGUAGCAUGUUCUAUGUGAUUGGAGAUCUCGUGAAGUAGAAUGGUGAAACAAGAUAGAGAAUGACUGAUGGAGAGACUCCUUAAAUAAAAUCUAGGUAAUUUGAUAUGCAUAUUUCUCCUUUGAUGUAUCGUAGGCUAACUAAAAUCUUAAUAUGAUCGGAGUGAUUUAUCUAAGCAGGGAUGUUAUCUUAUAGAACAUCCUAGAAGGAACACACCUAUAUGAGUUUGACUGCUAUUCAUAGUCUAUGAUAUUUGGGAAAUCUUUAUAUACACCUGAAAGGCCUAGAAAUGUGACUUCUAUGCUUCAAACCAAGGGGAUGCUUGUAACAAUCUAGUAUCAGAUAAGAACUUUGGUGAAACUCACUUCAUGCAAAACCGUUAAUUCAAAGCAUAGUCCAUUGUUCAGAUGUGAAUGUAUAACCCAUGUUCUAGAUGGAUGGUCAACUUAAUAGCCUCCACCAAGACCAUGAUAUAUCAAAGAGUAGUGGAUUUGAGUUUGUCCAAUAUGUGGUUUAGAUUUUGGUGGGGAAUGUUAAUAUUUUAUUGGCUUGACCCAUUUAAAGUGUUUAAUAAUUUUGAAAGACAAGAUUAAACAAAC